rnacentral:lncRNA from 1 species
UUCUUUUUUCUUACUUUCAGGACCCCACUCUCCGGAAGGCCUGUCCGGCAGUUCAAUCGCCGAACACAUGAUGCAGCAGCCAGGGAGGCAGCAAGCUACGUCGAAUGUCCAGGUGGUCUCUAUAACGAGCUAAAUACCUGUCUUACAUAAAGUCUCGCAGCUUGCCCCUGGAGGGGGACAUGUCAAAUAAUCCCACCCCUUGCUUAUCGCACUAUUUGUACCAUUCUUCUUUCACAGCAGCCUUUUAAUAAACAAUACAUAGCUCUUGUCUAUUAUUGCAUUCAUUUUUUACGAAAAUAUGUUCAGUUAUGACAUUAUGCAACCGUACACUUUGGUACGGCCAAUACACCAGGGGCUCAAGCACCCCCAGAAUAUGGUGUGCGAAGUCCGAACACUCUCAUGAGUACAGCACCCCGAACUUAUAGCAUUAUAUGCAUCGGCUCUGAAUCAUGUCUUGGGUUAAUAGUUGGGUUUGCCCGGCUCCCAUGUUUUGGUACCUUACGUUCCGCUAUAUCGGCUAAGGUAGCACUUGGAGAACUACUGCGAUUGUGCCCCAGUUGAGCUGGGUUAAGCACCUCAGUAGAGAAAGCUAAAAUUGACCGUCAUGAUAGGGCGAGAGCCGGUCGCUGUUCGAGAGGUUUUCGAGUCCCUAAAGACUUAUGCCGCUUAGAGCGAGGAGCUGGCUUUGUCCGGCCUAGGAGUGGAUAGCGCCCCGAACUCGGUCUUCCGAAUACUAGGGGCUUCGCCAAAAUUUAAAAUUAUAGAAUUCUAUGGCAAAGUGAGAGUGAUAAAGAAUUAUAGUCCGAUUUCCUGGUUCAUUGUGCUGAGCGCCUCCCUCGAAGGACCCAAGAAUGGGAACAAGAGCGCUCAGGUUUAUCCCGAACACCCCAGCACUCGUGGCAUGGGGGUAGAAGCCGACGACCCGCAUCUCUCAGAUUUAAUAAACGGCCGCACAGAAGGUAAUAUUUUAAAUUCAAAAGGUGUUGAUUAGCGCAUAUGAACAGGUUUUCAGUGCACAGGAUAACAUGAGCGAGUUUACUCAAAAAUUACAUCCUUUGAACACUCAUUCGCCACAAGGCAGGCACCCUUCAGAACGCCCUCAUAAUACAACUCAGGCUUGCGAUGCUCCUUCCCCUAUGGUGGCCCAUCUGUCACCAUCUUCUCAGCAUCCAUCUUGCCCUAGUGUACUUUAACACAGGCAAGGGCCCUACGGGCGCCUUUGAUGCACACGGAGCGCUUGAUGAUUUCAAGCCAUGGACAGGCAUCCACCAGCCGCCUCACCAGCCCAAAGUAACUCCCAGGCAUGGCCUCCCCAGGCCAUAGCCGGCCUAUAAGGCCCUUCAUGGCCUGUUCGGCUGCCUUAUGGAGCUCGACCAGCUGCUUCAGCUGGUCACUCAAGGGCACCGGGUGUCCGGCCUCAACGUACUAGGACCAAAACACCUUCUCUGUCGAGCUACUUUCCUCGGCUCGGUAGAAUGCGGCGGCGGCGGACACACUGCGGGGCAGAUCUGCGAAUGCUCCUGGAGAGCUCCGGACUCGAGUAAGUAACAAGUAAUUCACUUUCACGUGCUUGCUUUGCAUAAAGAAUGCCUUACCCGCCACUAUCUUCUUCAUCGCCUCAAUUUCCUGGAGGGCUUUUUGGGCUUCGGCUUUGGCAGAUUUGGCGCUCUCAAGGGCCAAGGCAAGCUCGGACUCUCGAGUCUUUGAGUCAAGCUCCAAACUCUUGUGUUUUUUCACAAGAGCAUUGAGCUCUUACCGCACCUCCGCCACCCGCGCCUCCUAUUUUUCUCGCUCGGUGUGCUCCACACCCGCAUUGCCUUCGGCCUUGGACAACGCUUCCUUCAGGGUCGCCACCUCGGUUGUGGCGAUGUAACACUCACGUUGGUCCUGUCAUUAUUUGCAACCAAAUCUUUUUAUAUAUUUACAUAAGGUACUACUUACCUUCCUUGUCCUCGAGCUGCUUCUUGGCAAGGCCGAGCUCGUUCUCGGACCGCUUGAGGCUCUGCUUCAAUGCAUCAACCUCCGAGAUCAGUGCGGCAGAGGUCAGCAGCGUAGCCUGCAUUCCCAUAUUGACAUACUUAUAUUAGACUCCUGCUUAUAUCUUUUUAGAUCCUCAGUCCGGUUUUUCUUUCCGAACACCAAACUGAGCAUCAGGGGCUACUGUCUAUGCGGUAAUAUUUUAACAUGUCUUAAAUACAUACCUCAAAGCUUGUUAUAAGGCUAGAACAGGCUUCCGUCAGCCCGCUCUUGGCGGACUGAACCUUCUGGAUCACCACACUCAUAAUAGUGCGGUGCUCCUCGUCGAUGGAGGCGCCGUUAAGCACCUCCAGCAAAUUAUCUAAUGCCUCCGGUUGGACGGAGGUCACCGGCGUUGCAGGCCUGCCCUUCUUACUAGGGGGCCGCCUGCUGGAUUCCGGAACCACUAAAGGUUCCGGUGCGGUGUCCGGCCCAGGGCUGGACUUAGAGCCCUCUAGGGUUUCAUCCCCUUUGCGCCUGGAGUCCGGGACGUCACCUUGCAGCGCCUCCAGGACCACCUCCUCCUGACUUAGCCCCUUUUGGGACUCCACCUCGGCAUCGUCCGUAGGGCGAGGGGAGGUAGCAGUCGGGAGUGAAAGACUAUUCACAUCCAACGAAUCCAGGGAGCCGCUCGACGAAGCGUCGAGCCGAGCCUUGGGCGGACUGCAUGAUUAUAUUUGGCGUCAGAAGGUAUUGUGCAAUAAAGGAACGCCAUGAGUUAUUCUGGUAUCCGGAUACUUACGAUUUUGCCAGGGGCUUGGCCUUGGAUAGCCACUCCUCUCCGCCGUUGUCAACGCUGGUGGAGUAGUCCGGAAGAAGGGUCUUUCCCUUCUUGGACCCUCCGGCCUCCCCGGUUGGGGUGGCCUUCCUUUUCUUUCCUCCCCCCGUUGGAGGGGGAGAGACUUCUUCUUCCUCCUCCUUGUCUUCGGGGGAGGAGUGCGCUUUGGGGUCGUCGGGUGAUGAAUCCGACACCACCAGGCGUCGGGAACUCUUUCGAGUUCCCGUGGCCUUCUUCUUGGCCUUCUUCUCUGGCACCACGUGAGGUGCCGGGACCAGCAGCUUCACCAAGCGUGCGUUUGCUGGGCCUUCGGGAAAAGGUGCCGGGCAAUCAAUCUGUCCGAACGUCUUCUUCCAGUCAUGUCAAAGGAGUGGGAGCUUAGAUCCCGCAUCGAGUCAAACUAUGAAAAACAAGUGUCCUAUAGAGGGUAAAACAAGCUUACUGCGCUAGCUUGGCGCUUCACGCAGAAUCCGUGAUCCUCGGUAAUGGGAGGGGGAGCCUCGGAGCCCUUGAAUAGCACCUUCCAGGCAUCUUCGUGCAUUGUGUCGAAGAGCCUAGACAAAGUUUGGUGCUGGGCCGGGUAGAACUCCCACAAGUUAAAUGCCCGUCAUUGACACGGGAGGAUCCGGCGGAAGAGCAUGACCUGGACUACGUUGACAAGUUUAACCUUCUUGUCCACCAGGUUUUGGACGCAGGUUUGGAGUCCGGUCACCUCUUCCGAAUUACCCCACGACAGGCCCGUCUCUUUCUAGGAGGUGAGCCAUGUGGGAAUGCCAGAUUGGAAUUUGGGGGCCGCUGCCCAUUCAGGGUCACGCGGCUCGGUGAUGUAGAACCACCCCGAUUGCCACCCUUUGAUGGUUUCCACAAAGGAGCCCUCGAGCCAUGUGACAUUGGGCAUCUUGCCCACCAUGGCGCCUCCGCACUCCACUUGCUGGCCGCCCACAACCUUCGGCUUGACGUUGAAGGUCUUCAGCCAUAAGCUGAAGUGGGGCUUGAUGCGGAGGAAGACCUCGCACACGACGAUAAACGCCGAGAUGUUGAGGAUGAAGUUCGGGGCCAGAUCGUGGAAAUCCAGGCCGUAGUAGAACAAGAGCCCCCGGACGAAUGGGUGGAGUGGGAAGCCCAGUCCGUGGAGGAAAUGGGGGAGGAACACCACCCUCUCAUGGGGCCUAGGGGUGGGGAUGAGCUGCCCCUCGUCUGGAAGCCGGUGUGCGAUGUCGUUAGACAAGUAUCCGGCUUUCCUCAACUUUUUGGUGUGCCCCUCCGUGACGGAGGAAGCCAUACACCUGCCUCCCGCUCCGGACAUGGCUGGAGAAGGUUGAGGUGGGAAGUGAGGACUUGGGCGCCGGAGCUCGAGUGCGCAGAGAUGGAUAAGCAAAGGAGGAAGAAGGCGUGGAUGGAAAGGAUGGAUCCUUAUCCCCUUAUAGGGGCGUACAAAACUAUGUGCCCCCACUAGCCUGGUAAAACUCGCUUAUCUACCAAGCGUCGUGAUUAAUGGCACGGUUGGGUUACCCACGACCGUAUUAAUGAGAAUCCCGGAAUAAGGGAACACGAUCUCUGCUUUGAGAAGACGUGCCAAGGAAACCGCCUUGCUAAACGCGCUGAGGUGGGAAAGUAAAACGAUUCGAAUAAAGGCUUGGCCGUGGCAUGAUGUCACACUGCGGAAUACGUCAGCAGAUUAGAUUUGUACCAAUAUUAUUCUCUCUACGGUGGUAUGUGGAACUUAUUUUGCAGAGCCAGACAAUGUCCUUGUGUUCAAAAUCUUCUAUGAAGUAUUCGGAGGUGGAACCCGCCUUGCAAUGCCGAAGACAAUCUGCGCGCCGGACUCGUCGUCAUUGAAGCCUGGUUCAGGGGCUACUCAGGGAGUCCCGGAUUACGGGGUGUCCGGAUGGCCGGACUAUGACCUUUGGCCGGACUCCUGGACUAUGAAGAUACAAGAUUGAAGACUUCGUCCUAUGUCCGGAUGGGACUUUCCUUGGCGUGGAAAUCAAGCUUGGCGAUGUGAUAUGUAGAUCUCCUCCCAUUGUAACUGACUCUGUGUAACCCUAGCCUUCUCCAGUGUCUAUAUAAACCGAAGGGUUUUAGUCCAUAGGACGAACGACAAUCAUACCAUAGUCUCUGAUCUCGUGGUAGAUCUACUCUUGUACUACCCAUAUCAUCAAUAUUAAUCAAGCAGGAGUAGGGUUUUACCUCGAUCGAGAGGUCCUGAACCUGGGUAAAAACAUCGUGUCCCUUGUCUCCUGUUACCAUCCGCCUAGACGCACAGUUCGGGACCCCCUACCCGAGAUCCACCGGUUUUGACACCGACAAUGCUCUUCAAGGUCUUCGACGAAGAUGGGCGCCGGCUAGAGUGUUGUCCCAGAGGCAACGGCCGAAGUUCUGGAGCGGCAAGGACCAGGCCUGCCGCCUGCUCUUCCAGCAGCUUCCCUGAUGGCAGCGGGCGCUCCGGAGGGUCCAGCGACUCUUCCAGGCUCCUCCUAACUCCGGCGACGAGCGACGACAGCUACGAGCCUCCGAGCUCGCACCGUGCCCGGAGCAGGGCCGGCAAGCCCGGCAGUCGGCGCGGCAGAUCUGGAUGAGGCUGGCGCUGGCCUUACGUGGCCCACUGUUGAUGAUGGCAUCUGCCGUCAGGGUCCUUGUAGUUAGGCCUGCUUAGGUGUCGCGCCUUUUGUUCCUGCGAGGAGCCAAGAGCACACCCCGUGGGGGUUUGUAAGGUGCCUGUAGUUCUUUUGUUAAUAUGAUCCUUAUCGUGAAGCGGUGUGAAAUGCUCGUCCCGUCUUAGCUUAGUUCUUCCUUUCGAACCUCGCGAGGACUUGAUGCUCUGCGCUGAUAGGUCCCGGUCCCAAGGCAAGCUUCAGCCAUCGCUGGUAUGCCAGGUCGCGAUGCCGUGGUCAAGGCCAGGAGGUGAGCAGCCCGGGGUCCAGUAAGAGCCCCUGAGUCAUGAUGCUCAGGAGGUCCCCUUUAGCGCUCAAGCAGCCAUCGUUUGGUGAGAAAGGAGCGCAAUUUUGCCAAAACGAGACUGCAUUAGGUGCAAGAUCGGUGCUGCGGUAGCUAAUAUUUCCGGAGGAUGACUUAUCUCGGGAGUCAGAAGCCACUCCUUAGCGCUGUGCCAGGCCCGCGCAUCGUCAGCUAAGGAGUUGCCUAGCGAGGUCCCCACAUGCCUCUUCCCCCUCGCCUUUACUCCCCUUCGUGCUCUACGUCCUCAGGUCCCGGCCCUCGAGCGAGCUCAGCCAUCACUGGUAUGCCAGGUCGCGAUGCCGUGGACAAGGCCAGGAGGUGAGGGCUGGAGAGCCAGUAAGAGUCCAUGAGUCGUGAUUCUCAGGUACCUCCCCCUUUAACGUGCAAGCGGUUCAUGCGGACGAGAGUGAAGGAGACGCUAUGAAGGCCUCGCUCGACGCUGCUCCUUAAAGGGAUCAUGCGAGCUCAUCACAAGAAAAACGAGAGUUGCUGUUACAAUUGCCAGCCAGCUGUUGGUUGCUCUGGAAGGGUGACGAGGGCACUGAGGGCUUGGUGAGGUGGCACCUUGCGGGGUUGUCGCGGCCAGAGCUCAGCCACUCGGGUUUUUUGACAUUGCAGGGACGGACCCAUGCGCAAGCGUCGUGCCGUUAAGGAGCAGCUCCAUCAGUUGGUGUCAAUGGAGCGGGCGAUUAAGUCAAGCACGUUAAUCAUGAAGGAGCAAAUCCAUUUAGAUAGACACAGAAAAAGGGCAAACACCGAUGGGCCGGGCCCGAGCGACUUGAGGAUAAUGCAGCCCGGGGGCGCCCCCAACAAAGUAAGCUAAAAACAUGAACAAAAGGGAUACAUGCCGCAGGGGCGGACCCACGCGGUCUAGGUAUGAUGCAGCCCUAGGGGCGCUCCCAGCUGAAAAUGAAACUCGAAGGAUGUCACCUGAUGAUGUUGAAGAUGAAGGGAUGCUGAGGUAGCGGACGGUGUGCGCUAUGGAAGCUGAUCUUUACAAGCCCCCAGGCCCAGGAGCUUCGGGAGGCUCCGGAGGCGCUGGCGGCUCCUCGCGGUCCAUCUCCAUCUCUACCAGGACUGUGGAAUGCCUGGCCGCUUGAGCCUCCAGGAUGCUCCUCAUGAGGCGCUGACACACAGCGGCCGCGUUCGGCAAGCUGUAAGGCAUGCGAACAUAGCUGUGGGGUGGACCUUCACAGCGUCCCAUGCGUGAGGGCCAGAGGCACUCCUGAGAGGUGGCUCGGUUGAGUCCUGGUAUGUCGAUGCAGACGCGCAGCCCACCAUCCUCGCCCGAAUGGGGAGCUACGACGGGUAAGCGGCGGCUGCCACUCAUGACUCUUGACUCCUGGAGCUCCUGAAUGAUCUCGCUGACGAACUCCUGAGGGUUUGGACAUCCUUGCCUUGCUCCUUCCUGAGGGAAACGUGCUUUGAAACACGCCUCCAAGUGGUGCCCGAGCGCCUCCCUCGUGAUCCUAGCAAAGUCGAUGGCCCUCCAGGAGAGAGCCCCCGAGCCUUGCGCGAGGAGGGCGCCGGGCGUGCCUUCCUAUGCGACAGAAGGAGGCGCCCCCUGAACGGGCGCGGAUCCUGAGGGGCCUGCCUCCCGAGGGUUUGGACCAGGCGAUGUCUUCUUCUUCUUAGGGACUGUCUCGGGGAGCCAUCCGCUCCUGUGAUCUGGGUCUUCGAUUGAUGCGGCUUGAAAAGCACGCUCCAGAGAACACACAGCAUCUCUCUCUUCACAAGGCACCGUGAUGACUCCACCGCUUCCUGGCAUCUUGAGGACAUUGUAGCCGUGACGAGUCACGACCAUGAACUUGGCCAGAGCUGGGUACCCGAGGAUGGCAUUGUAUGGCAGGCGGAUGUGGGUGACGUCAAAGUCAAUGAUCUCGGUGCGCUAGUUGCCGCGCUUCCCGAAGGUAACAGGAAGGCGGACAUGCCCUAUUGGAACAGUGGAACCAUCAGUGACUCCUGAGAAAGGCUUGGUUGGCUGAAGCUGAUUGUAUGGCACUUGGAGAUUGUUGAAUGUCUCGACGGACAGGACAUAGAGCCCUGCUCCGCCAUCAAUGAGGGUCCUAGUGCCUUGCACAUUGCUGAUGAUUGGGGAACAAAGCAUCGGGAGGACUCCGGCUGUGGCCGCGCACUUGAGCUGAUCUGUUGAGCUGAACGUGAUGGCGCAUGCUGACCACCUGAGAGGGCGUGUGGCCUCGAGCUUGGGGUGGACUGCAUUCACUUCGCGAGCAAACUGCUUGAAGAUACGCUGAGAGGCCGGGGCCUGAGCGCUGUCCAAGAUGCAAGCGAUUGCGCGCGGCUUCUGGAAGCCUCCAGUCCCCUCGUCUUGAUGAUGGUCUUCAUUCCUCCUCAGCUGUGGUGGUAGAGGAGGGAGGCCCGCGUUGCCUUGUGGGCGAUCCUCACGAGGUUGAUCCCUCCAACCUCCCUCGCGAGGCUGGUCCUGCCAGCGGUCCUCGCGAGGUCGGUCACGCCACCCUUGGCGAGGGCCACGGUCUUCCCAUCGUCCUCCACCUCUUCCUCCUCCUCGGCCAUAGCCCCGGUCGUUGCGCUUGGGGCGUCGGCCGGCACGCACGUCCCGCACGGCCCUGAGCUGUUGGCAUUCGUUGGUGUUGUGGGUGUGGAGGUCCUGGUACACGCAGUACCAGCUGCCCUUGGAUGACUCAGGCUGAUCCCUGCCUUGCUUGGUGUCCGGUUCUGCUACAAGCACGGCAGCCCCCUUGCGCUUCACGUCCUUGACCUUGGGCUUCUUCUCUUCUGGGUCGGUAGCCGACAGCUCAAGAAGGGAAAGGCAUCGUUCCUCAGCCCUGGCGCACUUGGUCGCCAAAUUGAACAGUUCCAGGGAGGUUCACAGGUAUUCGUGGAUCGCAAGCUCCUCUUUCAUUUUGAUGUCACGCACGCCGUCGAAGAAGGCUGAGAUGAUGGCCUCCUCAGACACCCUGGGGAUCUUAAGGCGAGCAUUGUUGAAAUGCUGGAUGAACUUUUGCAGGGUCUCUCCUGGCUGCUGCUUGAUGCGGCGCAAGUCGCUCAUGGCCGGGGGCUAGUCGCGGGUGCCUUGGAAGUUGGCGAUGAAUCGGGUGUGCAUCUCGUCCCAAGAGGAAAUCAUGCCAGGAGCCAGGUUCAGGAGCCAGGUGCGGGCACCAUCCUUGAGCGCCAUGGGAAACCAGUUCGCCAUGACCUUCUCAUCCCCGUUGGCGGCUUCAAUGCCCAGCUCAUAGAGCUGGAGGAACUCCGCAGGGUCAGUCAUGCCAUCAUAGCGCAGGGGCAGAUCUGGCUUGAACUUGCCCGGCCAGGCGACGCUAUGCAGCUCGGCGGUGAAGGCACGGCAGCCUGCAGUGUCCACGGGAGGCCUUUGGUGGCGGAGAGCUUGGUCCUGGAAGUUUUCAUGCGCUGCUGCCAGGAGCAGCGUGGGGUCUUGGCGCGCUGGAGCAGGAGCGCGGCCGUGACGGGCCGGUGCGAGGAGCACACGGGCGGCUUCUUGGGGACGAGGGAUCUCUUGGAAGCUCUUCUCUUGCUGUGCUGGCGCCGGACAGAGCGGGUCCCGUCGAGGGGCCAUGCGCCUUGGGGCCAAGGCGCCUUCUUGAGGGGGAGGCGACUGAGGCGCCCCCGGAGCUUCGUUGCCCACGCAGGGCGGGGCACGGUGCAGGGAGAGGGAUGGCGCAGGGGAGCCCCCAGCGGCGCUGACGAGCUCGGUGAUGCAGGCGAGCCACUCGUCGUAGAGGUCGUCGACGGGACGGCAGUGCAUGAGCUCCCGCGCCAGGAGCAGCACGGCGUGCGCGUCCGCAGGAGCGCGACGGGCGUGGGGCAAGGAACCGGCUGGAGUCAGCGACGGUGUGGCGGUGCGGCCUUCUCGCUGCACCGAAGGAUGCAGGCACGACGUCUGCUGCUCGUUCCCUGCCGAGCCGGUGGCGGCGUUGACGGCAGGCGACGGGGAACGUCGGGGGCAUCCACCAACGGGGGCCGUCUGGGUGACGUGAGUGGCGAGGGCGGCCCGGCGCUCAGCGCGGGCUCGACGAGCGUGUGACAUGGAUGCGGCGGGCGGCGAAACACAGGGCAGCGGAAACAAGGACUCUUGCCUGCGUUCGAGUAGGUAAAUGAUAAAACAGAUAAUUUUUUAUGUGGAAUGCUACCUUGCAUAAACUUGAUCAUAUAUCUAAUCAUGCCAUCAAUAUUAAGACAUAAGUGAUUCAAAGUAAUAGUCUAUAAUUUGACAUAAAACUUGAUUCAAAGCAAAAGUCCAUAUAUUAAAACUUGAUUUUUGGGUUAUUUGUUAACGCAUAGUUAACUUCUAAUUUGUGGUGAAGUUAUUUUAAUUAGUUGGUAUUUCAUGUCUCCCUAUUUCAUAUACAAGUAUGGAACAAUUAACAACAUGAUCAAAACCGAAAUGAUCCAGUUCUGGUCAUCUUGUGGAUGGUGAAAAGAACACCUGCCUACCAAUUCUCUAAUGGUAUAUGUGUUAGACAACUGUAGCAUGCCUAGAUAGUUCAUUAUUCAUAUUUUUAUUAGAAAUGACAUUCUUUUAAGUCCAAUUCAAAAGUUUUUUCCCCUUUUGAUACACUUCAUAAUUAUCUUUUUAAGCUUGCAUUUUUCUUUUCAUUAGUUUUAAUUAUUUUUAGCAACUAUAUAUCCAUUUUGUAACAAUGUACCACAACAACACAUGGGGCAUCAUCUUGUAUCACAUAUGUUUGGCAGUUGGCUAUGAUGCAAUAGGAAGGGCUUAAAACUGCAAGUUUUGUUAGGGUGGCUACUACGCGUUGGUCGCUUUGGUUAUGCAAGAAUGGUCUAGUUUUUGGCAGUAAAAAGAUUUAUAUCAUUUACAUAUUAUAUAUAGUUAUCCACUAGCUAUGUACCCAUGCUAUUCCAUAGAACGCGGGUUAUUCGGAUUUGGUUGCAAUGACAUGUCAGCAGUUGAAUCUGGUGAUGAAAGAGUGUUUCUCCUAUAGUAGCAUGGGUUGCGAGUAGUAUGGUGACGAUGGUUGAUACGUCCAUUUUGUAUCAUGCUUUUAUAUCAAUAUUUAUUGCAUAAUGGGCUAUUAUUACACAUUAUAUCUCAAUACUUAUGGCUAUUCUCUCCUAUUUACAAGGUUUACCAUGAAGAGGGGGGAUGCCGGCAGCUGGAAUUCUGGCUGGAAAAGGAGCAAACAUUGGAAACCUAUUCUGCACAGCUCAAAAAGUCCUGAAACUCCACGAAACAACUUUUUGGAAUUAAUAAGAAUUUCUAAGCAAAAGAAAUAGGCCAGGGGGCCCACACCCUGUCCAGGAGAUAGGGCCCCCCCCCUAUAGGGCGCGCCCCUUAUCUCCUGGGCCCCCUGGUGGGCCUCCGACGUCCAUCUUCUGCUAUAUCAUCACUUGUACCCUGGAAAAAAUUGUGGGCAAGCUUACGGGACGAAACUCCGCUGCCACGAGGCGGAACCUUGACGGAAUCAAUCUAGGGCUCUGGCAGAGCUGUUUUGCCGGGGACACUUCCCUUGGGGAGGGGGAAAUCAUCACCAACGAUCCUCUCAUCAGGAGGGGGUCAAUCUCCAUCAACAUCUUCACCAGCACCAUCUCCUCUCAAACCCUAGUUCAUCUCUUGUAUCCAAUCUUGUAUCAAAACCACAAAUUGGUACCUGUGGGUUGCUAGUAGCACUACAAAAAAAUACACUUCCGUGAUAAUACGUGUUUGUCACAGUAGGUCGCGUUUUUUGUCAUGCAUGUACAUCCAUGAAAAAUUUAUGACAGAAUCAAGAUAGUCAUACCUGUGUUGUCGUAGAAGUGUUCCAUGACAUUACCAAAAUUAUCAUCAUGGAAGUGUCCACUUCCAUGGCGAUAAAUCGCGUGUCACAGAAGUGCUUUCGUCAAGGGUGACCGACACGUGGCAUCCACCAUAAUGGAACAUCGUUAAGCUAUCGGGUCGGAUUUUGGAUUCGAUAACCCGUUAACAACCACGACCAAUGCCGAUUUUCCACGUGUAAAAUUCUCAUUGGCUGACGGAUCCACGUGUCAGCUCUACGUUGGCAUCGGUGUCACUCAUCCAACGGUCGAGAUGGACCUAUGAUAUGUUGACACGUGGACCGGCCCAAAAGUGGCCCAUAAAGUUUAAAUGGGCCGGCCCAACCGAAGGCCCAUAAGAUUUAGCGGACCAUAAUGGGCCGGCCCAGCUAAAGACCCACAAGAUUUAGCGGACCAUAAUGGGCUGGCCCAGCUAAAGGCCCUCAAGAUUUUGCGGACCACAAUGGGCCGGCCCAGCUAAAGGCCCACAAGAUUCUACAGACCAUAAUGGCUCGGCCCAGCUAAAGGCCCAACAUUCUCUGUCAAAUCGGCCCGUCAACGGCCUGGUCUAAACUUGUAAUUAAUGCGGCCCAUGGUCACUUCUGGCCCGUUAACAGUCCGCUAAGUAAUUGGGCCGAAUUACGGCCCGGUGUAUUUCCGGCCUAUUAAAGGUCCAGCUUCAUUUGGGCCCAUUUACAGGCCAUCAAAAAUUUCGGCCCAUAAAUGACCAUGAAGGAUUUGGUUCAUAUUCGGCCAUGUCUGUCAUUUGGCCUGUUAGAGGCCCACUAUAGAUUUGCGCCACUUUCGGUCUGUUGUCAUUUUCGGCCUGUUAACACCAGACGUAAACCAUGGGCCAUAUGUGGCCCAACGUCAUAUUGGGCCCAUUAACGGCCCAUAUAAAAAUGACGAUAAUCUAGCCCGACCGAAGUUCCGGCCUGUUAAAGGCCCGUGUAUUAGGUCGACGCAUUUACGGCCCGUCGGAAUUUUGGCCUGUCAAAUAUCCGCAUCAUAAAUGGGCCACCAUUUUGGCCUGCUAAGUCUAGUGGGUUAUUUGGCACAAUGAGGGCCCAAUCUCACUUUCGGUCUAUUAAAGGCCCAUGUUUUUUAUGGGCUCAAGAUAUUUACACCUGUAAACGGCUUAUUUUUACUGAGGGCCCAAAUUAUGUUUAGGCCUGUUAAAGGCCCACUAUGGGCACAGGCCUACCAGAAAAAUUUGAAAGCUUAUGCUAAUUUAAGCCUAGAUAUUUUUAGUGGGCUACAUGCCAAUUUUGGCCCGUAAUCGUUUUUAGCCCAACUGGAAUGGGCCCGACGAAUGUUGUCAUGUUGGGCUCCUAUGAAGCUUUCGGCCGAAUACAUUACUAAGAUAAACCUACACUAUACAAAAAUAGCGUCGUAAUUACUGCAGCCUGUGGCAGCAUCAUAAAUGUUGUAUCACAACAAAAUAAAUUCCAAUCAUACAACAAAAGGCCUGUUGGCAUAAAUUUACAGUCCUUCCAGAUAAAAGCACCAUCAGAUGUAUAGAAGCACAGAUCAUUUGACCUGAGUGCUAAUAUUUCAGGCUAUAGAAUCUGACGGAGCAGCACGAUCUCCACCUUUUUUCCGCCAUUGCUCUUCAACAAUGAAGCGAAUGUCUGAUAGUCUAGUUUCAAAACCAUUCAUAUCUUGACGACAUUUCUCAACCACUAUUCUUGUUUCUGAAACAACGUCCAUUAGGGAUUGGACUUGUGUCUGGAGCACAGAUAUAUCACUCUGUCUAGCAGGAAGAUUUUGUUCAGUAGGCGAUUUGGACGAGGUUACCUUGACAACCAACCCACAAUUACGCAAGGAAGGUGGUUUUUGCACUGUUAGUGGAGAGAUACUGACGCACUGCAGCAAGAGGUGACAUUGUGCCUGUAGUAGCCUCGUCACCUUCAGGUGGUUGUGGUUGUUCAAUCAUUUGUUCCAUAGCUUCCUGAAAGUUUGAACUUGUAGAUUAGUGUACCAGAUAAGUUACUAAUGAGAAAAAAACAAACAAAGUAGGUUAAACAUUUAUACAUAACUUAUUUUGGUGAACUAAUGUAAUACAUUAGCAUGUAUUGUAGUGCCAACUACAUAAUAAAAUCACUUUCGGAAUAUAUGUCCAUGUAGCUUGCCUACUAUAUUGUCUAUUUCCUCACAUUCGUUGACAUCUAAGGAUAAAGAGACAUGGUUUAAAGUAGGAUGAACAUAGUAUGACAUCAUUCAUAUCAUGGGCAAACAGAUAUAAAACAAACGGGCUAUUUUAUCAUUGUGUGCACACGUGAACAUAACAACUAGAUUACAGAUCAAGACCAAAAGAAUAUCCUUCAUCUCUUUUAAACCAUGUAAGGUGAAAUGAUACGUUAAGACAACUGUGUAUAAAAGUGAACAGAGUAACUGACAUUGGCUGCAAACCAAGUAGUUAAAUGAACACAUCACAGUACCAAUCAGUUCAAGGCGGGAGGAGUAAGGACUUACAACAGCGGCUUGAGCUGGUGUGCUCAUGCCCUUCAUCUUGCUGGUGUGGCAAUCCUUGAAUAUUUGCACUGCAUUCGGUUUAGGUUCUUUUUGGUCCACACAGGCUUUCCUCUGUAUUUGGAACAAGUCAAUAUAGAUACGAUAAUAUGGCACAAAAAAAGAAGGAAGUAUCAGCUAUUUACAAGAGCCUCGUAGUGUGCAAUAUAGCUACGAGAUCCUAUUGUCUGUUGGAAUUUCACUUUAGAACGGUUGGUUUUGUUCUUCAAACAGUUAGCCUAGAAGAAGAUACACUUGUAAGGCACAUACAUAAAUACAAGUUCAAUAUGUGGUCUAAUAAAAUACAUAUAGCCUACCUGAUACUUUGGAUCAGACCAGUGUUUAACGAGGGCUGUCCAGUCUUCAUCUGUAAUAUAUUCCACUGGAGAUGUUUGGGUGAUUUCAUUGUUAGCCUUGCCUUCAAAGUGAGAUUUUCUAAGGUGGUACCGAUACUGUCGCAGAGCAGACUGAAAAACAUGAGUGCAUGCUUGUUUAGUUGCAUCAUCUUUCAGAUCCAACUUGAACCUCAUCUGUUGAGAAAAGAAUGUGAGUCUUAUUAGGAGGAAGCUAGAAAGUAUGGGACAGGCAAGACAAUAUUACCAAUUGCGAUGAAUAACAUUACUUACGGAUAAAUGGUCAAGGAAGGUGUUAAACUGGGUACUAUCUUUCUCAUUCCUGUACUGGAUCCACGUUGGGAGGAUACACGCAUGACACCUAACGGCAACGGCUGCCUCUGAUACUAACUUGGCUGACUCUGUAGCAUCACGUGGCCUUUUUAAACCUGCCUCAAAAUGGAUCUCCAUUCUUCCUCCUUUAGAUUUUGUUAAUCUGUCAAGCAUUAUCCCUGAUGUCUAUUUCCGCUUGCGCUGUGGUGCUAGUUCAACAACGAAUAUGGAAAGUGUUAGUGUACAUCAAACUGUGAGAGUACAUAUAAAGGAGCAUGCAACUGCAACUUGACUCGGCCAGGUACCGUCUUGGUGUUGAUGCUCAUGAGGUUCAUCUGAUCUUGCCAAGUCCUGUUGUGUCAGCAGUGCUUCGAAAGUAGUGUUAGGUGUGAAGGCAGCUUGGGAACUGGCCAGUUCCGGAGCAAACGAACGAGUAACUGGUUGAGAUGCUGGUAUAGUUGAAGCGGAUGUUGCAGCUGGUGGAGCAGGUGAUACUGUGUUUGUAGAUUUAGCCGGUGGACUUGGACCUUCUACUGCACUAUAAGUACCAGCAGAAUCUCGACGGCAGAACCUUUUCUGUUUCACCCGACGAGUAACAGCACUCCCUACUAUAUUAUUUUCCUUGCUCUUUUUUGACUUUGCCAUGUCAAGCUGUACCCACAACACAAAAGAAUAAAAUCACUCUUCAGAACUCAUUGAUGCAUGAUACAGACAAGCAAUACUUUGAUGUAAGACAACCGUAUGAGGAUGGAAUAUGUAAGAAAAAUAGGACGGCAUGACAUAUUCACAGCUACGAUGUGCAAACUAAGCAGAAGGAUUUUCAAGAAAAUAGAGGUAAUGCAAGCUAGACACCAUAUGAAAGAUGCAACCAAUAUUACUCUGCCAAGUUAAAAGUGUCCUGUCAUAAGUGGCAAUUCGAAAAAUUAGAAGCAGUACAACAUAGAAAUCAAUGCAAGAUGCAACCACUAUCAAACUGCCAUGUUAAAAGCGUCCAAUCAUGAGUUACUGAUGCGGGAUACACAACAACAGUACUUUGAUGUAAGAACAUGGUAUGAUAGAUAGAUGCAGUGUAUUCUAGACACAGAAAGCCAUGUCAUAUGCACAUGUAUAACGUAUAAACUAAGUAGGUGCAAUUUAAUCAAAAUAGAAGAAAUACAGGCUAGACAACAUAUGCAACAUGAAACCAAUUAUCACAGUGUCAACUUAGAGCAAGCACCUGCGAUGGUGGAGUGCGGGAGAUGAACUCAUCAUGUAGACUUGGGACUUCAACUUCAUUAGCAGUAGUAGUGGCAAAUCUAGAGAGUCUCUGUUUGCAUCGGUGCGGAGUACCACCAACAUCCCCUAACUUACUCUUUUCCUUCCUAUUUUCUGAUAUUGCCUUAUGAAGUCAAAACCACAAGAAGAUGAAUAAAAUUAGCUCUGCAUAACUGGUUGAUGCAUGAUACAGACGAACACUACUUUGAUGUAAGGCAAGCGCAGGAUAGGAGGAUGGAAUAUAUACAAAAAAGACAGCAUUUCAUAUUCACACGUACGAUAGGAGGAUGGAAUAUGUAUGAAAAAAUAGUAAGCGGAAGGCAUUUCAACAAAAUUAGAAGAAAUGAAAGCUAGGCACCAUAUGAACAUGCAACCAAUAUCACUCUAUCAGGUAAAAAGUGUCUCGUCGUAAGUGCCAUUUCAAGAAAUUAGAAGCAGUACAAGCCAGAAGACAAUGCAAGAUGCAACCUACAUCAUAGUCCCAAGUUAAAUGUGUCUUAUGGGUAAGUGAUCGUUGCAGGUAUAAGAUGCAAUUCUACAUAAUCAGAAGCAAUACAAGCUAGACAUCAUACGGAAAACGCAACCACGUAUAACAGUUCCAAGUAAGAGCAAGCACCUGUGAUGGAGGAGUAGGGGAGAUGUGCUCAUCAUGUACACGUAUGUUCUAGAAACAGGAACACGUGUCAUAUUCACAGGCAUUAUGUGUAAAGUAAGAAGAUGCAAUUCAAGUUAGAAGCAAUACAAGCUAGACAUCAUAUGCAACAUGCAACCACAUAUAAUAGUGUCAAGUUAGAGCAAGCACCUGUGAUGGUGGAGUAGGGGAGAUGUGCUCAUCAUCUACACAGCUACGUUGACUGUCCAGCCUUGUGUUGUCUUGCAAAUCUUGUUGGGAGGAUGGCGGAGUAGAAUCUUUAGAGACCCCCUGUUUGAGUUGCUCUGAAGGACCACCAUCAUCCACUCCUGGACUAAUUUCCUUCAGCUGUAAUGAUUUUUGCAUUGUGAAGUCAAACCGAUAAGAAAAAGGAAUAAAAUUCGCUUUUCAGAACUCAUUCAUGCAUGAUACUGACAAACACUACUCGGAUGAAAGGCAAACACAUGAUGCGAGGAUGGAAUAUGUAUGAAAAACAGGAUGGUGUGACAUAUUCACACCUAUGAUGUGGUAACUAAGCAGAAGGCAUUUCAACAAAUUAGAAGCACUGCAAGCUAGACACCAUAUGAAAGAUGCAACCAAUAUCACUCUGCCAAGUUCAAACUGUAUGGCAUUUCAACAAAUUAGAAGCAGUAUAUGCUAGAAAUCAUAUGCAAGACACAACCAAUAUCACAGUUGCGACUUAAAGGUGCCUUAUCAUAAGUGACUGAUGCGGGAUAUGCAAGAAUAGUAGUCUGAUGUAGAAACAGGAACACAUGUCAUAUUCACAGGCAUUAUGUGUAAAGUAAGCAGAUGCAAUUCAACAAAGUUAGAAGCAAUACAAGCUAGACAUCAUACGCAACAUGCAACCACAUAUAAUAGUGCCAAGUUAGAGCAAGCACCUGUGAUGGUGGAGUAGGGGAGAUGUGCUCAUCAUCUACACAGCUAUGUUGACUGUCUAGCCUUGCGUUGUCUUGCGAAUCUUGUUGGGAGGAUGGCGGAGUAGAAUCUGUAGAGAACCUCUGUUUUAGUUGCUCGGAAGGACCACCAUCAUCCAAUGCCUUGCCAAUUUCCUUCAGCUUUAUUGAUUUUGCAUUGUGAGGUCAUACCGACAAGAAAAAGGAAUAUCAUUCGCUCUUCAGAACUCAUUCAUGCAUGAUACUGACGAACACUACUCUGAUGAAAGGCAAAGUCAUGAUACGGGGAUGGAAUAUGUACGAAAAAAUGGACGGCUUGACAUAUUCACACCUAUGAUGUGGUAACUAAGCAGAAGGCACUUCAAAAAAUUAGAAACACUGCAAGACACCACAUGGAAGGUGCAAUCAAUAUCACUCUGCCAAGUUAAAACUGUCUCGUCAUAGGUGGAGUUCACCAAACUAAAAGCAAUACAUGCUAGAAAUCAUAUUCAAGACGCAAACCAAUAUCACACUGCCAACUUAAAGGUGUCCCAUCAGAAGUGACUGAUGCAGGAUACACAAGAAGAGUAGUUUCAUGUAAGAACAUGGUGUGAUAGACAGAUAUAGUAUGUACCAAAAAUAGGAAAGCGUGUCAUAUUCACAUGUAUCAUGUGUAAGCUAAGCAGAUGCAGUUUACACUAAUUAGGAGCAAUACGAGCUAGACACCAUAUGCAACAUGCAACCAGAUAUCACACUGCCAAGUUAGAGCAAUCACCUUGGAUGGUGGAGUAGGGGAGCGGAGACUUGGACCAUGUAAUGCACUAUCAGUACAAGGAGAAUCAGUACAGAUGCUCCAUUUAUGUUGCUGCAGAGGACCACCAUCAUCGCCUUCCUUACUCUUUUCCUUCCUCUUUCUUGAUUUUGCCUUGUCAAGUCAAACCCACAAGAAAAAGGAAUAAAAUUUGCUCUUCAGAACUUAUUGAUGCAUGAUACUGACGAACACUACUUUCAUGUAAGGCAGCCGUAUGAUAGGAGGAUGGAAUAUGUAUGAAAAAUGGGAUGGCGUGACAUAUUGACAUGUAUGAUGUAUAAAGUGUAAACUAAGCACAAGGUGCUUGAACUUGUUAGAAUCGAUGCAAGCUAGAACCCAUAUGAAAGAUGAAACCAAUAUCACUCUACCAAAUUAAAAGGGUGCCCUAACAAAUGCAUUUGACCAAAUUAGAAGCAAUACAUGGCAACAGGCUAGAAAUAAUAUGCAAUAUGCAACGAAUAAAGGUGACUCAUCGUAAGUGAUUGAUGCAGGAUACAGAAGAGAGGUAGUUUCAUGUAAGAACAAGGUUAACACAUAGAUGUAGUGUGUACCAAAAAUAGGAAGGUGUGUCAUAUUCACAGGUAUAGUGUGUAAACUAAGCAGAUGAAAUUUACCCUAAUUAGAAGCAUUACAAGCUAGACACCGUAUGCAACAUGCAACCACAUAUCACACUAAGAAGUUGGAGCAAGCACCUGAGAUGGUGGUGUAGGGGAAGUGUUGUCUUCAGGUACAGAGCAACGUUCAGUAUCUUCAUUUAGGCUUGUUGUUUCUUGAGAAUCAUGUGGAGAGGAUGAAAUUGCAUUCUUUAUAAGAGUAUUUGCGUCUCAUAUUAACCCACGCAUGUGACUGACUCAUCAUAAGCGAUAGACGCAGGAUACACAAGAACAGUAGUUUGAUGUAAGAACAUGGUGUGAUAGGCAGAUGUAGUAUGUACCAAAAACAGGAAGGCGUGUCAUAUUCACAUGUAUAAUGUGUAAGCUAAGGAGAUGCAAUUUAACAAAUUAGGAGCAUUGAUGAGGGAUACACAAGAAAAGUAGUUUGAUGUAAGAACAUGGUUCAUAGAAAGACGUAGUAUGUACCAAAAACAGGAAGGCAUGUCAUAUUCACAGGUAUAAUGUGUUAACUAAGCAGAUGCAAUUUACCCUAGUUAGAAGCAUUACAAGGUAGACACCAUAUGCAACAUGCAACCACAUAUCACACUGCCAAGUAAGCAAGCACCUGCGAUGGUGGUGUGGGGGAAUUGCGAUGAUCAACUAGAGAGCUAUGUUGACUAUCUUCAUUUAGCCUUGCUGUUUCUUGAGAAUCAUGUGGGGAGGAUGACACUUCACUCUUUAAACGAGUAGGGCGUCUCACAGUAACCCACCCGGGUGACUGUCUCAUCAUAAGUGAUUGACAAGGGAUACAAAAGAGCAUUAGUUUGAUGUACGAACAUGGUUAAUAGACAUAUGUAGUAUGUAUCAAAAAUAGGAAGGCAUGUCAUUAUCAAAGGUAUACUGUGUAAAGUAAGCAGAUGCAAUUUAACCACAUUGGAAGAAAUACAAGCUAGACACCAUAUGCAACAUGCAACCACAUUUGACAACGUGAAGUUAAAGCAAGCACCUGGGAUGGUUGUGUGUGGCAAUUGGGAUCAUCAACUGCAGAGCUACGUUUACUGUCUCCAACUGCUGACACUGCACCCAUUAGAGCGCUGAAACGCUUAGUGCGUAUCUUCGAAUUACACUGGAGCGACUUUUGUCUUUUCUUUUCUGCAUUCAUCAACACUACGUUAGAGUCUGAAAUACCCAUGCAUAAAAAAACAAUAGUGUGAGUAUGGGUGAAGUGUGUGCACAAUUAGUACAGUGUAAAGGUAGCAGAUAGCAGGUCGGUGAGAAAUAAAUGACGGGAGACAUAUGAUAGCUCUACAACAUGCAUGGCACACUCAAUUACUACAGGAUUCUAUGAAAAUAACAGUCGACUGAAAGCAAAUAGGUCAGUCCAUUUUUUCUGCACCGUCCGAUGUACAAAGAAUGGGCAGAUCGCCUUCAUCUACCUCCAGCCAGUCAGUGUUCACGAUCUUCCUCAAAACGCCAGCAACCAUCGGCCCAGUAUUCUUCCCUUGCAUGCGCCCUCCCCUCGACCUCACCGCACCGCCGUGCUUGGCACCGCCCCCGGCCAUCCAUUCAAGCCCCGCCGACCUCCAGAUCGGGCGCAAGCAGCUCCUGCGCCCCACACCCCUAUGAUAGACACUGAUGCGCUGCUUCCCCGGGGAACAGAUGGACUAGGUGCUCCGCGCGCCUAAGCGGGCGCUGCUUCUUUUAAUUGCGGUUCAACUGACCCUGAAUUGAAAUCCAGGCGGGCUACUGACCUCUUGCAAAGGUGAAAUAGUAAAAGGGAGGAAACCUUGUGCAUUUAUUAUCACGAAGAAGAUGCAGUAAGAAGCGCUCAACUAGUUUCUUUCGUGGGAUGAAUACGGUGUGAGCGGAGACGUAAGAUUUGCACGAAUAAGGGAAGAGGAGUACCUCUUUCUGCUGGCAGUGCUGUGUCCUCCUUCUGUUUUUCCGAUGAUCUUGUUGUUUGCAGAAAACCAGAAGUUGUGGAGGACGGUGCAGCCUUGGACGAACCGAUGGCCAAGUUGUUGAGUGUGGUGCGGUGGCCGUCUGUCGGCGGCGGGGAAGCAGAUCCGAGGCAGUGAACAAUGACGUAGCGGGAACAGCUCCGGUGCGGUGGACGGUUGCGACAGAGGAGCCGCAGCAGUGAGGCACAGGACGGCGUGGUCGGAGUGGUUCUGGUACGGCGCACGUCGGCGUCGGCAUCGUGGAGGCAGCUCUGCCUCGGCUUCAGCUGCUAAGUCCUUGAGUGUGUUGUGGUUGCGGUUGCGUUGGAUGACGACAUCGGAGUAGCGGCUCCGGCGUGAUGGAGGAGGGCGGCGGUGGAUUGGCCGCUAUGAGGUGGAGGACGGAGGAGGCUGAGGUUUCACGGCUGGUGGAGAGGGCGUUUUCGCGCCCACGGAGUAUGAAUGGAGAAAAGGAGGGAGGCGGAAAACUAAGGGGGAACAAUGUUUCGGUUUGAGACGCGCUUGUUUGAAAUUUGGGGAAAGUUACAAACUUUGCCCCCAUCUAAAAUUUCAGACAUAUUGCGGGUUGGGGGUAGGGCAGUCAUGUCAGGUGUCCCAAAUGUGGGUGGGAUAGAUUUCGGCCGAGCGCAUGGGUGUUUAGGUGCCCACGGCGUAUGAAUGCUUCUCGAAGGCGGUUGAGACUGGCAUCUUGGUGAAUUUACAAACCUAUCCCAGUUUAGACCUUUGGACAUCGGGCCGAUAGGCUACACAGGCCAGAGUCAGGACAGUAAUUUCCUACCACCAAAACAUUAGUAUCGCGCGGUUUCGGGUGACCAGAGGCCUAUUUGGCGCUUCGUUCAUUAUUUGGGAGCAGAAGCAUUAACGUUUUCAGUUCUCUUGAAUUGAACUUUCAGGAUUUGUCAAACUUCACAAAUCUUUACUUUUGAAAAUCCUAAAGCUACGAUUAUUUGGGAAUGGAGGGGGUACAUUUUAAUAUACAUUGUACACGAGUAUAUAUUAAAAAAUAUGCAACUUACCUCAGUUCAUGCAUGGUUCCAGGUAUAAUCUCCUUGGUUGCAAAAAAAAGUUAGAUAUGCGUAUGAAUAUAUAUAGCAUGUUCAAACUCACAACAAAGGUUGAUGCCCCCUUUUACAUCUGAUUUACAAAUGCCAUUAUCUCGGGUUCAAAUAGAUGAAUGCACUUCCUAUGAAUUCGAAUCUUCGAAACCCCCCUUAUGUUGAAUUCUACAUGUAUUUUAUUUCGUAGCUAGCAAUUUGGAAUGUAUCCAUGCAAGUGAAAAAUGUAUAAAGUGCUUCACACUAACAACAUGGAGUGCACUAAUUAAUGUUUAUAUAUGAAUUGCAAAAGCAUCCAUUGCCUGUAUUUCAAACCGCUCUCACUAUAUGGAUCGAUAAUAUGAAAUAAACACAUGCACAUGCUAGAAUUCAAUAGAGUAUGGGUGUCUGAUAAACCGAUUUUUGUCCAUACGCAAAUUUGCAAAAUUCAUGAUCUCAUCCAAAUAUAAUAAUGAAAUUUAUAUUUUAAUUUAAUGCGUAGAACCGCCUUUUACACGUAGAUGCACUAUGCCUUGCCCCGUUCUCACAAACGUGUUAUAUCUCUCUCUAUCUAACGCAUAAGUGCACACACUUUAUAUGCAUCGGUAUUUCUCUUCCACACAUUCUCACAAUCUCUCUCAGGGUGUCGGGGUGUCUCACGCACAUGCUCUCUCUGUUUCUCUCUCUCUCUCUCUUUCUGACUACUAUGUACCACUCUUUUCACUAAUCUCAGUUGGAAAACACUAUUUCUCUCACAUGCAUAUAUACACAUUCACGGUCUCUACUAGCCGUCUAUACGUGUCUCCCGCACGCACAUUAUCUUUAGGCCUCUCUCGCACACAUUGCCCCCCCCCCCCGACACACCUCUCUAAUAGUAGUUGGCAGAUAUGAUUUCAUCAUAUCAUUCGGUAGGAUAUCCCUGGCUGUUAGGCUGGAUGGUAAUACGAGGCAAAGUUUUACCCUAGUUCAGAUUGGACCCUUGCAAUUGAAGAAAGAGCCUACUCCUGGUACUGUAUAUUAGUGAUAGGGUGUGUACAAAGUACACGUGAAUACCAGGCAUUGUGCGUGUGUGUAUACUAUCGACGAACUAGCCCCCAAGCUUGUAUAACAUACUAAGGGCCUAGGGUUACAAAUCAUAUAUAGUCGGCUUAUCACAAGUGGGGAUAGAGUCCUCCGCAACUCUGGUAGCUUCGUGUUGUACGCCGAGUCCUCCACAUGGGUCUCCGUAUAACAGGUCUCGGUCCAACCUAUAUGUGGCGUAGGAUGGAACCGACCCAUGAGUCUUCAUGUUGACCCACCACAACUAGAAAUGAUGUGCCCACCACACCACACACACAAUCGGCCACUAAGAAAAUAAGCAUAUACAAUAGUACAACGGUAUCUAGCUCACAAUACGUCUCCAUAUUUUGUUGAUGGCACUGACGGACUUUGCAUUUGAUGCAUGCUCCGUAUUUUGUUGGCGACACUUACGGUCAUUGUAUUUGAAGCGAAAGCACGAUAUGGUCACUGGACUUCAGAAUAAGCUCAUCACGGUCACCACAUACAUUUUGUUGUGCUAACCAACAUGUGGUUGGAUGGUUAGAGGAUAGUGGUUUCUCGAGCCCACCAAGGUUAAAGUCCCGGUGCUCGCAUUUAUCUUGUGUUAAUUUCAGUAUUUUCCGGCGACGUACGUUCAGUGGGAGGAGAUGUUCCACUCGACUAUGAGGCACCUAUGGUGACUUCAUAAAAUCUCAAGAUCAUAUAUGCUGGCCCACUCUCUCGAAGGUGCUCAUAGGGGUAGGGUUCGCGUGUGUGCGCUUAUAGCGGUGAGUGCUUGCGCGUAUAUAUGAGCCCUUGCGUCUGUACCGUGUUAAAAAAAUACAUGUCAUGAUUAUACUGUCACUGGCUCACCCGCACAACUCCAUAUUUUUUUGAUGACACAAUCAAUUGACUAGUCAAAUGGCACAACUAGUGUUGCACCAUCGAGGUGCGUAACCAUGAGACCCACCUGUCAGCCCGUAUAUGAAAGAAAGAAAUGGUAGUUUGAGUCUGUACUGUGUUAAUAAAAUAGGAGUACAUUUUAGGGUGAUCAUAUGGUCACUGGCUCACCAUACAGCUCCGUAAUUUGUUGAUAACAUGAUGAAUUGACCAGUCAAACGGUCCACAUUCAGCAGCGCACAUUACCAUAGGGCCCACCCGUCAGCGCGUAUAAGAAGGACAGAAAUGGUAAUAAACUAGUGGUCGGUGGGUAUUCGAAGUCGUGAGACCUCUAGUUGGCAGUCACUGGCGGUUGGGGGGCGUUCAUUGGGCGGUGGGGUGCGGAUCCCCGGAGAAAAAGCUCGGCGCGGGGGGGAGGGGGCUAGAGGGAUGGCUGGUGCGGUAGUGGACCGGCGGUGGGGAGUGGUUUCGUGGAGGGCGGGCCGGCCAUGGGCGGCGGGGGCGGGCAGUUCGGCCAGUGGUGGCUGGCGGCUCAGGGGGGUGGAGUUUGAUGAUAAACUAGAGGCCCUUGAUUUCGUAUCCAACGGCUGGAAAAUCUAAUGACUAGAGAUGAAAAAGCCAGUCGACUGACAUGUAGCCUCCCCCGCACGUACACAUGCACGCACGCAAGACAAGCACGCAUGUAGGCGUGCAACAAUGACACGUACACAUAAUGUACACAUGCACGCAUGCUGGCGUGCAACACUGACACGUACACAUGCACUCACGAACACACGCAUGUACGCACCCAUGCAUGCAACACUGAAACGCACCCUUGCACGCACGCAACACUCGCACGCCUGCAUGCACACAGCACAUGAUGCAAGACACACGCUCAACCUAUACGUGCAUGCACCCUUUGUUAAGGACAUGGAUUGUUACGGGUUUCAAUCAAUCUUAUCUGUGAUAAGCAGAACAUUGAUGUUUGCAUCGGUCUUUAUGAAUCACAACGUAUCAAACGGGCUAUCAACAUAGUAGGCUUAAAUACAUGAAAAAUAUGACGUUACACUCAAUGAACAAUCAUCGGUUUAUGAAAUGCCCACUUCUGACCGCCCUGGCCCACCAAAGGUUCCUCUGAUGUGCGCUGCCUGUGUUGGGUCACUGACAUGCAAGCCAUACACCCAAAGAGCCCACACGUCAGUGGAAGAACGGAGCGGUGUCCUAGGUCAGAGUCGAGGGUGCCACUCGCGGCACGCCCGGCUGAACAUGCCUCCGUGCCGCAUUCAAACGCCUCCAUGAAACCCGCCCAUGUGGAAGCCGAGAAACCCACUCUGGACACACGUCCGAUCAUGACCGGGUCGGCGUUAAACGCAACGCCGGCCGAGCUCCUCCCAUCUGUCGUCUAUUUAAUCUCCUAUUUAAGCGAGGCCAAACGUCAGCCAAGAAUCACACACCUCCGCCGCUCCCCUAUCUCCUCCACCAUUUUGUCCACUCUUACAAUGGCUUACGAAGAGUAGUUAUUCCGCAUCCAAGCUGGCUGGGUAGCCCGCCGGAUACGAGCUAUGCAGCUCGCUGAUCCACCUCCCUCCCCUCGCCUGACGGAGCCAGUUGCCGCUGAGGGAGUCCUAGAUUAGGGGGUAUCCGGACAGCCGGACUAUGUACAUCGUCCGGACUAUCGAAGCGUGAAGAUACAAGACUCAAGACUUCGGCCCGUGUCCGGAUGGGACUCUCCUUUGCGUGGAAGACAAGCUUGGCGAUCCGGAUAUUGUGUUUCCUUCCUUGUAACCGACUCCAUGUAAACCCUAGCCCCCUCCAGUGUCUAUAUAAACCGGAGAGGAUGGUCCUUAGAAGGCCGAUCACAAUUACAAUCAUACCAUCAUAGGCUAGCUCUUAGGGUUUAGCCUCUACGAUCUCGUGGUAGAUCUACUAUUGUACUACUCAUAUCUUCAAUAUUAAUCAAGCAGGAAGUAGGGUUUUACCUCCAUCGAGAGGGCCCGAACCUGGGUAAACAUUUUGUCCCUUGCUUCCUUUUACCAUCAGCCUAAGACGCACAGAUCGGGACCCCCUACCCGAGAUCCGCCGGUUUUGACACCAACAUUGGUGCUUUCAUUGAGAGUUCCUCUAUGUCGUCGCUUCAAGGCUUGAUGGCGUCUUCAAUCAUCAACGACACGGUCCAGGGUGAGACUUUUCUCCUCGGAUAGAUAUUUGUGCUCGGCAGCUUCGCACUGCGGGCCAAUUCGCUUGGCCAUCUGGAGCAGAUCGACAGCUACGCCCCGGGCCACCAGAUCAGGUUUGGAAACUUGAAAUACACGGAGGAUAUUCGCGGAGACUUGAUCUUCGACGGAUUCGGCCCUGUGACGGGAGCGCCGGACAGUCACGACGGGCAUGGCCUAGACCUGUUCUCGGACAAUGCUUGGAACAUCGUCCCUGCAAUAGCCCCGGAUCUAAAUCCGGAACGGGUUGUGUUGCCCAAGGAUGGAGGCCUAGACCCCGCCCCGCGGGCCGCAUACUCAUCGGCGUUGGAGCCGAAUACAGGACUCACCUCUGUGGAGUCCUGCAACCCCGGACCCCCGGACUCAUAUCCGGUCGUUGGUUCCGGUCCGCACACCCUCAAGCCAGCCGAGCCAGGUUGGGCUCCGGCCAUGGAGUUCACCGCUGUGGAAAUCUUUCAACACCCGCCCUUUGGCAACAUGCUGAAUUCAUUAAAGUCUCUCUCUCUGUGUCAGAAGACUCUGGGCCGAACUAUGUCCGGCUUGAGUGGGAAGCAGGCGACGAAGGAAUUCGCUGCCCACCCACCACCCACUUGAUUGCCAUGAUCGAUGAUGUAACCGACGUGAUGGACUUCGAGUUCGAAGACAUCGACGGCAUGGACGACGAUGCCGGAGACGUACAGGAGCCACCGCUCACAGGACGGUGGACAGCCACCUCUUCAUAUGAUAUAUACAUGGUGGACACUCCGAAAGAAAUCAAUGGCGAUGAGGCAACGGAGGAUAACCCCUCCAAGAAGAAAGCAAAGCAUGGGCGUCGCCCGUGCCGCUCCAAGCCCCCCAAGAUAAUACCGGCACCAGAGACGAAAACAAUCCGGACGGUGCCGGCGAUGAAUACAACCCCGAACAGCCCGCCUUUGAGCAGGCCAAACAGGAAGACGGGCAUGACAGCCCAGAUGAACAGGCGACUGACGGGUAUCCGGAGGAGGACAACUACAUGCCCCCCUCCGAAGACGAGAUUAGCCUCAGCGACGACGAGUUCGGCGUGCCUGAGGACCCUGCGGAGCAGGAGUGCUUCAAGCGCCGGCUUAUUGCCACUGCGAGAAGCCUGAAGAAGAAGCAGUAGCAGCUCCAAGCUGAUCAAGACCUGCUCACAGAUAGAUGAACAGAAGUCCUGGCAGCCGAGGAAUAUGGACUCGAGCGCCACACGGCUGACCGGCCGCCUCGAGGUCGGGAUAAAAUGGCAUAUCAGCCCGAAUACCAGCCCACACCCCCGUGCCAGUUUACUACGGCCCGGGGCAAUACUCAGGACCUGUGCGAUAAACUGGAUAACGCUGCAGGACAACCAAGAUCGAUCUACGGAUUACAGGGGCGUGCCGCAACACAUGACGAUGGCCGUCAUACCGGAUACACUAGCAAAUCCGGCCGGGCCGAAUAUAUCGCAGCCGGACUGCGCCGCGACAUAGCCGGGCACAGAGGCGCCGCACACCCCCUCUGCUUCACCAAUGAAGUAAUGGAUCAUGAAUUCCCAGAAGGGUUCAAACCAGUAAACAUCGAAUCAUACGAUGGCACAACAGACCCCGCAGUAUGGAUUGAAGAUUUCCUUCUCCACAUUCACAUGGCCCGUGGAGAUGAUCUACAUGCCAUCAAGUAUCUUCCCCUUAAGCUCAAAGGACCCGCUAGGCAUUGGCUAAACAGCCUGCCCGCAAAUUCCAUUGGCAGUUGGGAAAACCUGGAAGAUGCAUUUCUUGACAACUUCCAAGGAACUUAUGUGCAACCUCCGGAUGCCGAUGACUUGAGCCACAUUACUCAAUAGCCCGGAGAAUCAACCAGGAAAUUCUGGACUCGGUUCCUAACUAAAAAGAACCAAAUAGUCGACUGUCCGGACGCCGAAGCCCUAGCGGCCUUCAAGCAUAAUAUCCGCGACGAGUGGCUUGCCCGACACCUCGGCCAGGAGAAACCCAAGUCUAUGGCAGCUCUCACUACACUAAUGACCCGCUUUUGUGCGGGCGAGGAUAGUUGGUUGGCACACAGCAGCACUACGCCACAUUCUAGGACGGCAGAUGUCCGUGACAAUAACGGCAAGCUACGGCGCAACAAACACAAGCGACGGAACAACGGCGACAGCACCGAAGAUACGGCGGUCAAUGCCGGAUUCAACGAUCCAAAUCCAGUCAGCGGAAGAAGCCAUUCAAGAGAAAUAAUCAGGGACCAUCCAGUCUAGACUGUAUACUGGAGCGCUCGUGCCAAAUUCAUGGCACCCCAGACAAGCCAGCCAACCACACUAAUAGAGACUGCUUGGUAUUUAAACAGGCCGGCAAGAUAAACGCCGAAAAUAAGGACAAGGGGUUGCAAAGCGACGAUGACGAGAAACCCCGGCGUCCGAACAUAGGGGGACAGAAGAAAUCCCCCCCCCCCCAGGUGAAAGCGGUCAACAUGAUCUACGCCACCCACAUCCCCAAGCGGGAAUGGAAACGAGCACUACGGGACGUCUAUGCGAUGGAGCCAGUCGUCCCCAAAUUCAACCCAUGGUUAGCUUGUCCGAUCACCUUUGAUCGUUGGGAUCAUCCUACUAGCAUUUGUCAUGGCGGCUCGGCCGCAUUGGUCUUAGACCCAAUCAUCGACGGAUUCCACCUCACGCGAGUCCUUAUGGACGGCGGCAGCAGCCUGAACCUGCUUUACCAGGACACAGUGCGCAAAAUGGGCAUCGAUCCUUCAAGGAUUAAGCCCACAAAAACCACCUUUAAAGGUGUAAUUCCUGGAGUAGAGGCCCGUUGUACAGGCUCUAUAACAUUGGAAGUGGUCUUCGGAUCUCUGGAUAACUUCCGAAGCAAAGAACUAAUCUUCGAUAUUGUCCCUUUCCGCAGUGGUUAUCACGCACUGCUCGGACGAACCGCAUUCGCUAGAUUAAAUGCGGUACCACACUAUGCAUACCUCAAGCUCAAGAUGCCAGGCCCGCACGGGGUCAUAACAGUCAACGGAAAUAUGGACCCUCUCUCCGUACAGAAGAGCACACUGCAGCCCUUGCGGCAGAAGUACAAUGCAGCCUCCUCCGGCAAACCACCAAUCCGGCGACGACAACCUCAAGCUCCGUCAAUCGAGGGCGGAACACCCCGUAACAGGAUCAGCAGGCACGCCAAGAGCAUCACUAGCAGUCCGGCCUCCGCUCAAAUCCCAUCAAAGCAGCAUUCGUGCCACGUGUACACAAUUACGCACUCAAAAUACCAUGGGCACAGGCGGAGACAUAGCAGUGGCUCAGUCAGCAGUACGGUAUUGCUUCGUAACCUUUCCAUUUACCUUUAAGAACAUUGUUUUAGUGCAGCUUCUCCAGAAGAGCCGGAUUGUCAGACCUACAUAGGAGAAAGAACCAAGGAGGCAACAGGCUUUGUGCACAGAAGGAAAUAACCAGGUGGAAUCUAUUUGCGAUCGUUAUACCUGCUUUAUCUAUCUGUACGUAGCCUGCCUCUGGAUAUGAUAUGUCAAAUUAUCCUCUUUAUGUCCGCUUAAUGCAUUCAUUGUAAACAUACGCCUAAAUGUAUUAUUCAUCAAUGGGAGAUCAUAUACAGCGUCAGCUUAUUAUUUUUCUUCGAGCAUUUUUUACAAAUGUCUAUUUAAUAUUGCAUCCGUACACUUUGGUACGUGGAGUUUGCGAGGGGCUCCUUACGGUGCCCCAUAAUACGGCACGACAAGUCCGAACACUUUCAACAGUGCGACACCCCAAACUUAUAGCAUUAUAUGCAUCAGCUACGAAUCAUGUCUUGGGUCUACAGUUGGGAUAGCCCGGCUCCUUGUUUUGGUGCCUUACGUUCCGUUAUAUCGGCUAAGGUAGCGCAGGGAGAACUACUGCGAUUGUGCCCUGGUUCUGCCGGACGAGCACCUCAGUAGAGAAAGCUGAAAACUGACCGGCAUGAUGUGGCGAGAGCUGGUCGCUGUUCGAGAGGUCUUAAAAUCCUUAAAGAUUUUUUCCGCCUUAGGCGAUAAAUAGGAUUUGUCCGAUAUAGGCGUGUGUAGCGCCCCAAUUCGGCCUUCCGGAUUCUAGGGGCUUCGCCGAAAUUUAAAAUUGUAGACUUCUAUGGCUAAGUGAAGGUUAUAAAGCCGCAUAGUCCAAUUGCCUUGUUCGCUGCGCUGGACACCUCCUUAAGGGACCAAAUAUUUGGAUAAAGAGUGUCCGGGUUAUCCACGAACACCCCAGUACUAGUAACAUGGGGGCGGAAGCCGACGACUGGCCUACUUUCAGAAUUUGAUAAACAGCCGCAGAGAAGGUAAUAUUUUAAAUAACAGAAGCGCUACUUAGCGCAAGUAACUUCGUCUUUAAAUUACAAACAUGACAGAAGUGAAUUCAUUCAAAAAUUAUGUCCUUGGUACAUUCUUCGACCACGAGACGAGCACCCUUCAAAAUGCCAUCAUAAUACUUCUCGGGAACGCGAUGCAGCUUGCCCUCUGGUGGCCCGUCCUUCACCAGCUUCUCCGCAUCCAGCUUGCCCCAAUGCACCUUCGCACGGGCAAGGGCCCGGCGGGCACCCUCAAUGCAAGCGGAUCGCUUGAUGACUUCCAGGCGCGGACAGGCAUUCACGAUCCGCUUGAUCAGGCCGAAGUAGUUGGUGGGAAGGGGCUCACAAGGCCACAUCCGGACUAUGAAAUCCUUCAUAGCCACUUCGGCCGCCCUGUGGAGUUCGACCAACUGCUUCAGUUAGUCACUCAAAGACGUUGGAUGUCCGGCCCUAGCAUACUGGGACCAGAACAGCUUCUCCAUUGAGCUCCCCUCCUGAGCACAGUAGAACUCCGCAGCGUCUGAUACACUGCGUGGCAGAUCUGCGAAUGCCCCUGGAGAGCUCCGGACUGGUGUAAGUAAAAGAAACGCCUCCUCCACAUGUUUGCUUUUCAUAAAGAAUUUCUUACCCGCCGCUAUCUUUUUGGCCUCCUGGAUUUCCUGUUGUGCCCUCUCGGCUUCGGCCUUGGCGUCUUUUAUACUUGUAAGGGCCUUCGCAAGCUCGGCCUCUUUUGCUUUAAGCUCAUGCUCCACGGACUCGAACUUUUUGCCGAGCUCCUGGAGCUCUUUUUGUACUUCGCCCACUCGGGCUUCGUGCUUUUUGCGCUCCUCGCGUUCCAAGGCCAACUUGUGUUUGGCCUCGGACAUCGCUUUCUUAAGAGACGCCGCUUCGGUGGUGGCCUCUGUAACCAAAUCACGAUGCCUCGUCGUUAGAAUAAUCAAUUUUAUUUGUACUUUACUAUAUGAGAGAGGGGAAUCAUUCACCUUUAUUCUCCUCGAGCUGCCUCCUCGCGAGGCCGAGCUCUCCCUGUGCCUGCUCCAAGUCCUGCUUCAGGCCGAUCAUUUUGGCCGUACAGACAGCAGCGGACAGCAGCACAACCUGUUUAUUCACAUUCAAACUUACUGUUAGACUCCUACGGAUUAUAAUUGACCCUACGUUUGGUUUUUCCUUCCGAACACUAAACAGAGUAUCAGGGUCUACUACCUAUCGGGUGGUAAUUUCACACAUUUUUAUUUAACUCAAAGCCUGACAGGAGGCUGGUACAGGCUUCGGUCAGUCCGCUCUUGGCGGACGAAACCUUCUGAAUCACCGCACUCAUAAGAGUACGGCGCUCUUCAUCUAGGGAAGCGUCACGAAGCGUUUCCAGCAGACAAUCCGGUGCCUCGGGCACAACAGAAGUCCUCGAUACAGACGGCCCUCCCUCCCUAACGAGGGGCUGCCCGUCUGAGUCCGGAACCACUGAAGGCUCCGGAACAGUGUUUGGCUGAGAGCCCGGCUUACGGUGGCUCUUAUCAACACGAUCCGCGGGGAUCUUGAACCCCGCGAGUCCGACGUAUGGAACGCCGCCUUGAGGCGCCUCCAGGGCCACCUCCUCCAUCUCUGGGAACAUUUGGGACAACACCUCUGUGUCAUCCGCGGGCCGAGGAGAAGUGGCCGUCGGGAGUGAGUUCAUUGCUGACUCACUCAAGGACCCGUCCGAAGACGAUACCUCGGGUUGGGCCCUGGCCGGACUGCAUGUAAGUUCGGCAUUAUAACAAAAUUAUGAAGCAAAAUUAUGAUGGAGUGCGGAUACUUCCGAUCACACCGAAGGCUUCUUCCUGGGCAGCCACCCUUCCUUGCUAUCAGCGGCGGUGGCGGAGUAGUCCGGAAGGGACACUUUUCCCUUCUUGGACGUCCCAGUCUCCCCCACCAGGGCGGCCUUCCUCUUUCUCUCCCCCCUGUACGGGGAGGAGGAGUUUCUUCUUGUUUUCCCCUGCUUCCAUGGGAGGAAUCUGCCUCGUCGUCAUCGACGACAAAGCUAUGACGGCCUUGCGCCGGGGGCCUCUCCUGGUCCGCCCUCUCAGGCCCCUCGUCCUCUCCGGAUGGGGUGGCCUCCUCUUCUUCUUCCUCUUCCCCUUUGGGGGAGGAGUGCGCCUUGUCGUCUUCGGACGAGGCUUGCGCAACCUUACGCUGGAGACCCAUUCGGGUCCCCAGGGCCUUCUUAUCGGCCUUCUUCUCCGGCCCCUUAUAGGGCACCGGGACCAGCAUCUUCGUCAGAAGAUCAUUAGCUGGGCUUUCUGGCAGCGGAGCCGGACAGUCAAUCCGCUCUGCUGUCUCCACAUAAUCCUGCACAAAUAUACACAAUUACUUAAGGAUCCCCCAUGAAUGUAGUGGCGGCCUGAGAACUCACCUGAAUAGGACGCCGUGCGGUGUGGAGCCCACAGCCCUCAGAUAUGGGAGGAGGUACUUCAGAGGCCUUGAACAACGCCUUCCACGCGUUUUUGUGCUUCAUGUCGUAGAGCCUCUAAAGCGUCUGAUGUUCGACCGGGACGAACUCCCACAGAUUGAAUGCCCGCCUUUGGCACGGUAGUAUCCGGCGAACGAGCAUGACCUGGAUCACGUUGACAAGCUUGAUGUUCUUGUCCUUCAUGCCCUUGAUGCAGGUGGUGAGUCCGGUCAGCUCUGAAGAUUCGCCCCAUAGCAGGCCCUUCUAUUCCCAGGAGGUGAGCCGCAUAGGGUUUCUAGAUUGGAACUCGGGGGCCGCCACCCAGUUGGUGUCGCGCGACUCGGUGAUGUAGAACCACCCCGAUUGCCACCCCUUCACGGUUUCCGCAAAGGAGCCGUCGAGCUAGGUGACGUUAGGCAUUUUUCCCACCAUGGCUCCUCUGCACUCCACUUGCUGGCCGCUUACGAUCUUCGGCUUCACGCAGAAGGUUUGCAGCCACAAGCCGAAAUGAGGCUUGAUGCGGAGGAAAGCCUCGCAUACGACGAUGAACGCCGAGAUGUUGAGGACGAAGUUCGGGGAUAGAUCAUGGAAAUCUAGCCCGUAGUAGAACAUGAGCCCGCGGACGAAGGGGUGGAGUGGAAACCCCAGUCCACGGACGAAGUGGGCAAGAAACACGACCCUCUCGUGGGGUCCUGGAGUUGGAAUGACCUGCCUGCCUUCUGGUAGCCAGUGCGCUAUGUCUGCGGCCAAGUAUCCGGCCGCCCGAAGACUUGCGAUGUUCUCCUCCUUCACGGUGGAAGCCACCCAUUUGCCUCCUGCUCCGGACAUCUUUAGCUGCGCGGAGAAGACUUGGACUAGGGCGCUGGAGCUCAGGGAGGCAAGAGUGGGCAGAGGAGGAAGAAGGCGUGGGUAAGAAUGGGGAACUCUUAUCCCUUUAUAGAGGCGACGAAAGCGGUGCGUCUCCCCACUAACCUGUUGAGAAUUGCUUACUUCCCAAGCGCCACGAUUGAUGGCACGGGGGGAUUACCCAUACCCGUAUUGAUGAGAAUCCUGUGAUAAGGGGACAUGAUCUCUGCUUUGACAAGAUGUGUCAAGGAAACCGCCUCGCAAUACGCGAUGUGGCUGGUUGUGGAAAAAUAGUUCUAAUAAUGACCUAGCUAUAAUGGCAUAUCAUGUCGUCUAAAAAGUUGUUAGCUGAAGUAUCAUUCUCUCUACGGUGGUAUGUGAAGAUCAUUUUGCAGAUCCGGACAUGGUUUAUGUGUUCGAUAAUAACCUUGGAGUAUUCGGAGUAGGAACCCGCCUUGCAAUGCCGAAGACAAGACUGCGCGACGGACUCAUCAUCAUUGAAGCCUGGUUCAGGGGCUAUUGAGGGAGUCCUGGAUUAGGGGGUAUCUGGACAGCCGGACUAUGUACAUCGUCCGGACUAUAGAAGCGUGAAGAUACAAGACUCAAGACUUCGGCCCGUGUCUGGAUGGGACUCUCCUUUGCAUGGAAGACAAGCUUGGCGAUCCGGAUAUUGUGUUUCCUUCCUUGUAACCGACUCCAUGUAAACCCUAGCCCCCUCCAGUGUCUAUAUAAACCAGAGAGGAUGGUCCUUAGAAGGCCAAUCACAAUUACAAUCAUACCAUCAUAGGCUAGCUCUUAGGGUUUAGCCUCUACGAUCUCAUGGUAGAUUUACUCUUGUACUACUCAUAUCUUCAAUAUUAAUCAAGCAGGAAGUAGGGUUUUACCUCCAUCGAGAGGGCCCAAACCUCGGUAAACAUUGUGUCCCUUGCUUCCUGUUACCAUCAGUCUAAGACGCACAGAUCGGGACCCCCUACCCGAGAUCCGCCAGUUUUGACACUGACAGCCGCCCCAAGCCGGCGCGCGGUUCAGCAACUCGCCGCUCCAGGCCAUCUCGACGAGGAGUGGCCCACGGGCAUCGUUGUUACCGUCCAUGCCGCCGCCUCGUACCGUGUCUCCCAUUUCUGUGGCCGAGACUCCCUGCCGGCGGCCGCACCAUGCAAGCAGCGACAGAAGCCGGGUGCGCGGAGAGCGACGAGUCGGUGGCCAGCGCCUCCGCGUCCAUCGCCAUCAUCGAGGAGAAGUAGAACACGGGAGGCCGUCGCCGCUUGGGUCUCAUGAAGGCCACCGCGGAGGCGACGCCGGCGUACACAGCAGGUGUCUUGCCGGAUCCUUUUGUUGUGAGGACCUUCGUCGACCCCGCAUGGGCUCCAUGGAAGAGGGGAAUGUUAGGAUGAAAUCGAGCCGGUGCCGGCCAUGGCGAAGUAGUGGCCGGUGAUAAACUCAAACCGGUGCCGGCCACCAUCAUCUUCGGCACCAGCCAAUGAUAUCAGUUGGGUAGUGGGGAAGCGAGUCAUCCUUUGCGCUGAAGCAUAUACCUCCGGGGCUCCCGGCAGUCCGGUGCUCGUGCUGCCGGACAUGACGAACACAAAUCGAUCGGCGGGCGACCAUUUAGGCCAGGUAUUAUAUACCUGUGCUGUCCAAAACUAGCACCGCGUAGUUCAUUUGAAUGUAAUGAAAUCCGUCAUGUUUGUGUGAAAAUCCAUGAUUUCCGUCGUUGUUUAUAUGAAAUAUCAGUUUGUCUAUGUGUUUGCAUGAAUUUCGUCCGGUUGGUUCAGUUGCUGUCAUAAUGUGUGCAGCUACGGUUGGAUGGCGUAAUUUGUGGGUCGCCGGUCGGUCUGCGGGCGGGACAAAAAAACACAGCUCAUGCGAGCUCGUCUCCAACGUGCACGCUAGAGGAUGCAUGACAGCAUGAUCACCCGAGCCAUUCCUUGUUUAUCGGUGGCAAAGGCACCGGUGGACAAAAGGGUCGCCAAUAUUUUGGCUACCCCGGGCAAGAUCCAAACAGCCCCUCCCAACAGAUUCAAAUCCCUCGUUCGCCGUGGAAUUUUGCCAUGUGUUGUUUUCAUGGACUAGCAAGAUGCCCGUGCAUUGCACGGAACAUCAAGAUGCAUUUUUUUACAAACUCCCGCAUGCAUGCAAGGGAUAAUUAAUGUCCCCUUUGCUAGUACCACGAGGCAAACACCAUUAAUAUUGCAUCGAUUAGUGUUAGUGGCCUUGUAUAUCUGCAAAUUGUAAUUUUGAUAGCGGCCCCCUGUAUAUAAAAAUGGAGGGAGAAAUAUGAGAGAUAAGGUGAGGAGGAGUGGGGCGUGGUGUCGUGGUGGUGACUGGUGGUCGGAUUGGGCGGAGGCAUGGGGAUGGACGGUGCAUUAUGUCUAGGUUUGUAUCUCUCUCACACACACCCACGUAGGUGGGGGACGUGCACGAAGAGAAGAGGUGCACGCACGGCGCACGUACUCCCGUCUCUUUCCCAACCACACCCGCGUGGGUACACGGUGGAGCUCAUAUCUGUACGAAAAAGGCAGCCCACGUGGUAAUUUGGCACGUGUAUUGGUUGUCCACUUGGUGGAGGGAGGAUCGUCUACCAUGGGUGGACAAACAAAUUGUGACUUGACGCGUUAUGUUAAAUUAAAAAAAGAGGCAAACCAUGUGGGGCCUACUGUCGGUGUCAAAACGGGUGGAUCUCGGGUAGGGGGUCCCGAAUUGUGUGUCUAGGCGGAUGGUAACAUGAGACAAGGGACACGACGUUUUUAUCCAGGUUCGGGCCCUCUCGAUGGAGGUAAAACCCUACUCCUGCUUGAUUAAUAUUGAUGGUAUGGGUAGUACAAGAGUAGAUCUACCACGAGAUCGGAGUGGCUAAACCCUAGAAGCUAGCCUAUGGUAUGAUUGUUGUUCGUCCUACGGACUAAAACUCUCCGGUUUAUAUAGACACCGGAGAGGGCUAGGGUUACACAGAGUCGGUUACAAUGGGAGGAGAUCUUCAUAUCGUAUCGCCAAGCUUGCCUUCCACGCCAAGGAAAGUCCCAUUCGGACACGGGACGGAGUCUUCAAUCUUGUAUCUUCAUAGUCCGGGAGUCCGGCCAAAGGUCUUAGUCCGGCCAUCCGGACACCCCCUAAUCCAGGACUCCCUCAGUAGCCCCUGAACCAGGCUUCAAUGACGACGAGUCCGGCGUGCAAGUUGUCUUCGGCACUGCAAGGCGGGUUCCUCCUCCGAAUAUUUCAUAGAAGAUGUUGAACACCAGGGUAGUGUCCGGCUCUGCAAAAUAAGUUCCACAUUCCACCGUAGAGAGAAUAGUAUUUGCGUCAAUUGGAUCUGCUGACGUAUUCCGCGACGUGACAUCAUGCCACGGCCAGGCUUUUAUUCAUCUUACCGUUCCACCUCAGCGCGUUUAGUGAGGCGGUUUUCUUGGCACGUCUUGUCAAAGCAGAGAUCGUGUCCCCUUAUUCCGGGAUUCUCAUCAAUACGAGCGUGGGUAACCCAACCGUGACUUAGGUAUGACUCCCUAAUUGAAAGCGAGUCUCAAACGGUUAUGGGAAGGGCUCUUGGUAUUCAUCUCCUUUAUAAAGGAACCAAGGCCCAGCUCCCUUGUUCUUAAACCAAUCAAAUCCGCCCCUCGCUUCGAGUUCCAACACCCAAAGCUCUAGUUUUAGGCGCUUCGGACCAUCAAAGAUGUCCGGCUCCGACCCUCAAGGCUGGUGGAUGCCUUCCUCUAUUACGGAAGAAGAUGUGCGAAAGCUAAGAGAUGCCAAGUAUCUAACCGGCAAAAUCUCGCAUAGACUGCCUACUCAAGGGCAAGCUGUUCCCGCUCCCCAGCCCGGUGAAAGCGUGGUGUUCGCAUCUCACUUCCUUCGAGGACUAGGCUUCCCGAUCGAUCCCUUUGUGAGGGGGCUUAUGUUUUACUAUGGGCUGGAGUAUCACGACCUAGCUCCGGAGUCCAUCCUCCAGAUCUCAUCAUUCAUUGUCGUGUGUGAGGCCUUCCUCCAUAUCACCCCUCACUUCGGAUUGUGGCUAAAAACUUUCAAAGUGGAACCAAUAAUGAUCGAGGGGCAGCACGCUGAGUGCGGAGGGGCUAUAAUAAGCAAGAUGGACGACGCUCCAUGGCCCGAAGGCUCUUUUCAAGAGGAGUUCGGCUUAUCGCAACGGGACUGGUUUUACAUCACAGCCCGUAGGGGCACCACAUGGGUGGCACCACCUACUUUUUGCUCAGGUCCCCCACCAUGGCUGGCGUCAUGGGUUAAUGAAGGACUUAUCUGGGGGCCGCCCAGAGACGUGCCCUUGCUACAGGGCCAUAUUCGAGAUCUUCUAGAAAGAGAUAUCAAUUUGACCAUAGUGGCGCAAGUCAUCGACCUCUCCGCCUGUGGGAGUUCAAUCCGGAGGGACCAUGAGUCCUACAACAUUUCAUGGGAAUGACACCCAUGGAGAUGUACAAAUUGUUCUUCGGAUCACAAGCAAGGUGUCCGGAUUUGUCCGAGGACGCAGGUCUGAGCUGCAACCGACCAGAUGCUAAAGUAAGUAGCCCUGUAUUUGAAUACACCAUCCAUAUUUUUAUCAAAUCUACACUUUAGCAGAGUUGUCCUUUGAACAGGAGUGGAUAGCGAAGGCAAAGCUUAUCAGGUGUCCAGCCCCCCUGCCCGAGACCCUGCCAGAUCCCAUGCUAACCAGGAUGCUGGAGGCCGCGCCGUUGGCGGAAGGCGAAGGGGGAACCAAGGAGCUACCGCCUCCACAAAGGAGGCCGUUAGGAAGGGAAGAAUCGAAAAUUCUCCCGACCAGGGAAAGAAAAGGACUGCCUCCGAAGACCCGGAGGUGAUGACCUCAAAACGAGGAAAGAAAUCUUCGUCAGAGGGUUCGGCACCGGAGAACGCCCCAGCCGAAUCGCCCCCUAAAGGGGACCCGCUCUCCCCCGAGGCGUAAGUGAAGGGAGGGGUUCCAUAAUGAAUCACAUUCAUGUUUUAUUCCUGAGGAAAAUAACCGAAACAUUAUCUUGCAGUUCAGAUCUCAACCCUUCUCAGCAGAGCUCAUCUUCAGGGGAUCUUCGUCCAGAGAUGAUAGAGAGCGAAACGCCUCCCCUUGUUCCACCGUCUCACGAGGCUGGCGACCCCGGGGUAUCGUCCCGGAGGGUUUUUUCAAGUCCGGACCUUGGAAAAGGUCGUCAGACUAGUCCGGCACCCUCUUGCGCGCCGGUGGAGGGGCUGAAGGAUCUGCUUAGUAGGGCGUCCAUCUCAGAAGAACAUCAUAUGUUGAUGGAUAUGGUGAUUGGAAGGAUUUCAUCCGUGGAAAGCGGAUUGUACGAGGCUGCCAGGAGUUUACUAACAGGCUUUGAGGUAUGUAAAAAGGUGUACCUUUUGGUAGAGCCUCAUAUUAAAUGUGCCAUGUAUGAAUAGUAGCCCCUGAGACUUUGUGUGUCAUCACGAGUGACGGCGCACAGAGGAUCAUAACCCCAGGUAUAAUGUGCCGCCUAUUCCAUGAAGGUGGCAAGGCGUUCGGUGGCUAGCCGAACUGAUGAAUCUGACGAACUAAAGCGGCAACUUGACGUAGCAGAUGCCGACAUCGUGCUUGUACAUAAGCGGCACAAGGUAUGUUCAAAAGACACCCAGUAAUAGGAGCUUGAUGCUCGGGCCUUAUAUAUGUUUUAUGUAGAUGGUGCUGCUGCCGUGGAGAACCUUCGAGCGGAACUUGCCCGAGCCAAGGAGCAAGCAAGGAAGAGUGAUGCGGCUGCCGCUAAAGCGGCUGAAGAGCUAAGAGCUGAACAGGCUGCUCACUACCAGAGCAAGAAGGAAAUAGUCGAGAUGGCCAUAAAAUUGAAGGAUGCUACCGACCGUUGUAGAUUUCUUGAACAAGAAGAUAGGGCGGCUCAGAAGGAUCUUGAAACGAUCACUGCCGAAGCCAAGGAUACUCGUUCUGCCAUGAGAGCAAUGAAGGAGGAGCUGCGUUAGGCCGGAGAUAUCACGGCUGGAAAGCCUUAUAUGCUGCGGAUGAAGUUCGGAGACCCCAAGUAUGCUCCAUUAAACCGGCAGUGGAGUUCGGAAAACGCUUAUCUGGAUUUGGCCGCAAGUGCGGCGGACGCGACCGAACACUUCCGCAGCCGAGGUGACCAUGAAUUGGAAGAGCUUUUUUGGUCGCAGUACCACAAUCCAGAACACCCACUGUCAGUAUCCGACCGUUUAGCCGCCUGGGCGGAGCUGAACAGAUUAUCCGGACUCACCAUGAAGUAUGUUGCGAGUCGUCUGUGGCCGGAGAAGCCGGAGCCGAAGAGUUAUUUUGGCUUGGUGCAGCAGUUCCUUGGUUCGAUGCCGCAUGCUGAUACAAUGAAGAGGUCGGCGUGCAUAGAGGGCACACAGAUGGAUCUUGCCCGUGUCAAAACAUACUGGGCAGAUAUGAAGGCCGGUAUUGUUGCGUCCCUGGAUUCGGACGAAAGUCGAGUACCUGCCAAGCACUAUUUUGAGGAAGUUCUUCCUGGCGCUCGUAUAAUAGAGUCACGGUGCUCGAAGGAUGUUGUGUUCGAAUAGCUUAUACUUUUUGUAAAACAAAUUGUGUUUUUAUGAAAAAAGCUUUUUUUAUACUUGUGCUUGCGAGAAUCAUGAUGCCUCCUGUGCGGCAGUUUAAUGUAUAUAUUUGUAUAUAACCUGAAAGAUGGCAGUCGUUGGCUUCAGCCCCCACGCAUAGAAUGCGGGGGUGUUCGCAAAAAGGCGCCUUUUCACACUUAAUCCAACGUCUUGGUCCUACAAAGGAGGUGGUGGCGCGGCGAACUAGGCAACCGGACUAUAAUGCUUUAUCACUUUCACUUAGCCAUAGGAGUUUGACAGUGGGGCUACUGAAUAGCCCCUAGGGGCACCUCACUCGCCCGAAUUCGGGGCGCGAGUGUGCCUGACCGGGAAGCGGCCCUUCGUUAAUGCGGGGGAAUCCUAAAGAUUCCGAAAGUCAUCGAGUGGUUGACCAGUCUCUCACUAUAUCAUGGCAGUCAGUUUUCGGCUUUCUCUACUAAGGUGCUCACCCGGCCGAACCGGGGCACAAUCGCAGUAGUUCUCCUGGUGCCGCGUUAGCCGAUAUAACGGAACAUAAGGCAGCAAAACAUAGGAGCCGGGCAAACCCAACAUUUGACCAAAGACAUGAUUUGGAGUUGAUGCAUAUAGGGCCAAACUCACGACGUCGAACACUCCCUAAGGUAUUCGGUCUUUAUGAAGACGGGCCGAAAUAGAUCCCUUGGUAAAAAAGCCCCUAGUGUCCAGGUAUGUGCAAAAAUUCUGGCGUGGCCACAUGCCAAGACGCGAGCCUCCUCCUCGGCUAUAGAGAAAACCGGGGGAUGUUAUCAACAAGAGACAGUAAAAAAGGUUUACGCAGGAUCUUAAACUGAAAAGAAUCCUUGAAACGGGUCCCUGCUGCACGUCUGCGCCUGUGUCUCCGUUGUGCCGUAUCCUGGACGGGCGUAGCAUGAUGUUCGUCUGUGAAAGAGAGGAACUUAGUAAAAAAAUAAGCGUGCGAGAAAUCUAUAUUGAAAUAAAUAAAAUAUAGUUGGAGCAGGAGAUGGGCCGUAUUGUCUCCGAGCGUGAGCACACGGAGCCCCUUGCACGGGGGUAUGCGGCUAUUAAGCAUGUUGACGCCGGACUCGUCUAGCCGUGUCCGGGAUAGUAGGGUUGGAUUUGUGGGUGGCUGUCUAGGCAGCCGCACCCUUGCCCGUACUUUGGGGGUCAAUUUAUGUUCCCCUGUAAUGAAAUGAUGCCCUUUGGGCCGGGCAUUUUGAGUGUAAGGGAUGCGUAAUGCGGUAUUGCGUUAAAGCGGGCGAAAGCUUCACGUCCCAGUAGCGCUUGAUAGCGACUUACGAAUGGGGCGAUGUGGAAUGUUAGCUUUUCCCUUCGGAAGUUGUCGGGUGAUCCAAACGUAACUUCUAACGCAAGGGAACCCAUACUUGGGGUAUCCGGUCCUGGUGUUACUCCUUGAAAGGAAGUGUUGCCGAGGUGGAUUAUAACUGGGUUUACCCCGAGUUUGCGGACUGUGUCCUGAUAUAAUAGGUUCAAGUCGCUGCUGCCGUCCAUAAGGGCGUUUGUAAAUUGGAGUCCGUUAAUAAUUGGAUUUACGACCAAGGCAGUCCAGCCUGCGUUCUGGUCUCCUCUGGAGUAAUCCUGAUGAUCGAAGGUGAUUGGUUGAAACAACCAGUGGGGUUGCUCCUCCGGGGCUGGUUGUACGGCGCGUGUCUUCGUGGGUGCCGUUCUGCUCUUCCCUUUUGUCACAUGGAGUAGAUUUACUGUCUUAACUUCUUGUGGGAACUUCUUUUGUUCUCCGGUGUUCUGCUUGUGGGCUGCAUCGCCAUCUUCGCUUGGUGUGUUGAGCCCCUCGUGUUCGGCGUUAAGCUUGCCGGACUGCUUAAAGAUCCAACAAUCUCUGUGGGUAUGGUUUGUAGGUCUCCCCGGAGUGCUGUCGAUUUGACAUAUUUUGUCCAAAAUUUUGUUGAGGUUGGAUAGCUCGUCCCUAUCGUCUUUGGGGGGUGGCUUUUUCUGAUUUUGCCGAGAGCUUUUGAAUCCGGCGUUUAAUGCCGUGCUCAUCGGGCUGUUGUCCUUUAUCCAGUGCGGUUCUUUGUUACGGCGCGGCUUCCCGUUCCCAUCUCUGGGUUCGGACGUAUUCGGGUCGCUGGUGCUGCUUCUCGCCAACCAGCUAUCCUCUCCUGCACAAAAGCGGGUCAUGAGGCUUGUUAACGCUGCCAUUGUUCGCGACUUUUCUUGGCCGAGGUGUCUGGCGAGCCAUUCGUCUCGGAUGCUAUGCUUGAAAGCUGCUAGGGCUUCGGCGUCCGGACAGUAGACUAUCUGAUUCUAUUUUAUAAGGAAUCUGUUCCAGAGUUUCCGGGCUGACUCUCCGGGCUGCUGAGUUAUGUGACUCAGAUCAUCUGCAUCCGGGGGUCGGACAUAGGUCCCUUGAAAAUUUGCCCGGAAAGCAUCCUCAAGCACUUCCCAACUUCCUAUGGUGUUUUCAGUAAGGCCUUUAAGCCAAUGCCAGGCUGGCCCUUUGAGCUUAAGGGGCAAGUAUUUUAUGGCGUGGAGGUCAUCUCCUCUGGCCAUGUGUAUGUGGACGAUGUAGUCCUCGAUCCAGACUCCAGGGUCUAUUGUUCCGUCGUAUGCUUCUAUGUUCACUGGCUUGAAUCCGGCUGGGAAUUCAUGGUCCAGCACCUCAUUGGUAAAACAUAGGGGUUGUGCGGCGCCCCUGUAUUUAGGCGUGUUGCGGUGUUCGGGUAUUUUUUGCAUUGCAUCACUCACUGGAGCUUACUUUCUUGGCCUGUACAUGGAUCUGGUUGGGCCAGUUUUCUGAUGCGAAUUCUUGGACGGAUCGCGCGCCGUGUUGAGUGCGGCAUCCUUUGAUGCGUGAGAUUGAUCGUAGGGUCGUCUAUCCGACCUUGUGGCUUCCUUAUUUUUUGACUAUGGGGGCUUUAUGGCCUCUUCAUCAAAUUCUGGUAGUAGUUUCCACUUCGGAUAGCCUUUUGUGUGGCGCCUAUUGCCAUACUUGUGUGCGGUAUUGAGUACUUUGCCCCAUCUGAUCCUGAGUGCAUCUUCCGCUGUCUUGAGCCUCCACUUCUGCUUUCUCAAGCUACGUGCAGUGGCGACGAGCCUUUGGUGGAGGUUUUGAUGUUCCAGCAGUUUGUCUGGUGUGAGGUUGUCCGGGCUAUUAUCUUUCCCAGGGAUUAGUUGUUCGGAUUGUCUGCCCUGUUCGGACGGAUGCUCGAUGACAUGUUCAUCGUCCGUUGAUUCACCCUGCUCUAUGGCUGGGUCUUUGUGGGGCUUGGCCUUGCGCUUACACCGCCGCUUUGAUUGUUUUUCGAGGGAGCGAUCUCUGGCCGCAUCCUUUUGGUCCUCGUUGUAGUUUCUGUUGUAUGUGUCCACCAUGCAUACAUCGUAUGAUGAGGUGGCUUUCCGGCGCCCUAUAGGUGCUGGUUCUUGAUCGUCUCCUUUAUCGGCGUCCAUACCGUCGAUAUCUUCGGAGUCGAAAUCGAGCAUGUCGGUUAGAUCGUUGACAGUGGCUAUGAAGUGGGUGGUGGGUGGGUUUCGAAUUUCUUCGUCGUCCGCAUCCCAACCGUGUUGGCCGUAGUUCGGCCAGGGCUCUCCUGACAAAGAGAGAGACUUUAAUGAAUUCAAGAUAUUGUCGAAAGGCGAGUGCUGAAAGACGACCGCGGCGGUGAACUCCAUGACCGGCGCCCAAUCAGGCUUAAUCGGAAGAGGUGCAGGAUUUACGGAGUCUGGAUCGGAGUCCGGCACCUUGGAGUCACGGGCCGUGCGAGGGACUAGGCUGGUAUCCGGCUCUAUCGCCGUAGAGGUUGCAGUUUUAGGGGCGGCGUCCAACCGUCCGUCCCUGACUGGCGUAGUGGGCUCCAAGCUAAUGGUCGGAGCAGACACCUGAGCGACACUCUGGGUGUUGUCCGAUGACAGAGCUAAAUCAUGCCCAUCAUGACAGUGCGGCGCGCCUGGUCGUGGCUCGAAUCCGUCGAAGAUCAAGUCCCCGCGGAUGUUGGCCGUGUAGUUUAAGCUUCCAAACCUGACCUCAUGGCCAGGGGCGUAGCUUUCGAUCUGCUUCAGAUGGCCGAACGAGUCGGCCCGCAGUGCGAAGCCGCCGAAUACGAAGAUCUGUCCGGAGAGAAAAGUCUCAUCCCGGACCGCAUCGCGAUCGAUGAGCGAAGAAGCCAUCGGGCCUAAAGGUGACGACACAGAGGAACUCUCAAUGAAAGCACCAAUGUCGGUGUCAAAACCAGCGGAUCUCGGGUAGGGGCUCCCGAACUGUGCGUCUAGGCGGAUGGUAACAGGAGACAAGGGACACGACGUUUUUAUCCAGGUUCGGGCCCUCUCGAUGGAGGUAAAACCCUACUCCUACUUGAUUAAUAUUGAUGGUAUGGGUAGUACAAGAGUAGAUCUACCACGAGAUCGGAGUGGCUAAACCCUAGAAGCUAGCCUAUGGUAUGAUUGUUGUUCGUCCUAGGGACUAAAACUCUCCGGUUUAUAUAGACACCGGAGAGGGCUAGGGUUACACAGAGUCGGUUACAAUGGGAGGAGAUCUUCAUAUCGUAUCACCAAGCUUGCCUUCCACGCCAAGGAAAGUCCCAUCCGGACACGGGACGGAGUCGUCAAUCUUGUAUCUUCAUAGUCCGGGAGCCCGGCCAAAGGUCUUAGUCUGGCCAUCCGGACACCCCCUAAUCCAGGACUCCCUCACCUACCUUAGAGGCAAGGCUCUAUACACUGGAGUACUUUUGAUGUGUCCCGUCAACUCGUAGAAUGAGGAGAAACUUGCUUAGUACGCCGUCUCCCCCGCCCACGAGCGCGGUGGCUCGCAGGAUGAGGUGAAGCUUACUACUACUGUACGCCUUUAUGCCCUCUCCCUCGCCCACGCGGGCGGUGGCUCGCAGCACGAGGAGAAAAUUUUACUACUCCCUCCGUUUACUCCUCGUCCCUACUACGUACAUACUUUGGUUAGUACUCCCUCCAUUUACUUAUACAAGGCCACUAUAAAAAAAUACAUUUUGCAUCUAUACAAGGCCACAAAUAGUAAUCGAUCCUUUCCAGUUUAUGGCUCAAUUUCAAAAUCUCUCCAACCAAGGUAGACGGUGAGUGGUCGAAUUAAUUUCGUAGUUUGCACAGUACGCUUGUUUUUCUCAAGAAGUUAUGUUUACCGAGGCAUUAAUUAGAACGAAUGCAUGAAUGACCACUAAAUUUCCAUGAACUUGUACAUGCAUUGGUUAGUUUCCUCUUGACACUGCUUGCGUCGGGUGAUCUAACGCACCUCGAAAUCCAACAUGUAAUGGUACUACUACUAGUAUAGUAGAAUUGAGACUUAUCAAACAGAAAAAUGAAUGUUUUUUAGAUGAGCCCUAUAAACCCUAGUGGGUAUGUACUCCGUAAAAACAGAUUUUUCCAAAACUAAGUCACUCCCUUUCAUGAAUUCUGUAGUAUACUCCUCCGUCGACGCUCCCUUUCAUGAAUUAUGUACUUCCUGUCGCCGACAUGUGGGACAUAUAGCAACCGGGUCGACGUGUCAAGCACCAAAUAACAGUGCAGAACAGUAGGGGGACGCACCCCACUCGUACCGGCCCAGUAGUAGUAAUGACCAAUGAGACGUCAAAUCACAAUGCCGCACCUUCCCAGACGGACGAAGCAACCAUUAUUUCAUGCUUCGGUUCGACAUCAUCUCAAACCACGUACUAGUAUUGCUUCUGCCUCAAGAGGGACACACGCAUCGCCUUGGUACAUCAUGACACGUGGGACCGCAUGACAGGCCAUGCUCCCCCGCCGAUCGCUUGGUAAAAUCACCUCAUUUUUACUAUACUUCCUCCGGAUCGGUUUACUACAUGGCAUGCACGUUGUUCUAGGUUGAGAAUUUAACUGGCUAUAUAUAUAUAUAUAUGUGUGCGAUGAACAGUACGCUAGCCUUUUAAAAAAUGUAUACUUUUGUACAGUAGUACUCCACUAUCGAUGGAUUGCACCAUGGAGCAAAAAUUGAAAUUUAAAAAAAAGGUGGUACAUAUAGAGAGCGCUCGUCGCCAAAUUAUGCAUAUAGUACUAUUAAAAAAGCUAGUACGUGCUUAAUUGGGGUGCUAAAUUCUAUUACAGAAAUACUAGUACUAGUAUGUACAUACUAAAGAGUUAAAGUAACAAGAAGAAACAUAACAUAGUUCUGCUGGGGGCUCAGCACAACACACCCCUCAAAUUAAACUAAGCACACCUGAAAUUAAACUAUGCAACUAAUCCGGUAGACACUGCAUUAGAAGUUUAGAACCACCAUGAGCAACGACACUGCCACCUUACUCGGAGUCCUCGUCCACGUCCUCGACUUCGUCCUUGUCCCUCUUCCUCUUGGCCGAUACUUCUUUGCUUGAACCGCCGACUUGGCUGUUGCUCUUCAUCCAACCCUUGUAGAUAUUGAAACAAAGGUAGCCAUCCAUUGCAGCAUACUGGAUGUGGUCUAUAUCUGGUACAUUCUGCUGCCAUGCAUGACGAUGAAACGUGUAUGGAGGUUUCUCCAGUUUACCGUCCGAAGGAUGAACCAUGGCUCCUGCCAGGGUCAGCAUUGAGGGCUGACGAGAGGGCACUAGCCGAUUCUUCUGGAGGUCGAAGGGGUUGCCUACAAUGAGGCCUAUCCGACGCAGGACUUCUUUGUCGUUCUUAAAGUCUACAGUAACGAAUUUAACUGUUUUGUCCUCGAGGAAGUUCUUAAAAUCCUGGCACUCAAAGUCGGCAUGGAAUAUGUGGUAGACCAAGAAAACGUUAUGUACGCAAACCUGGAUCACGGCGGGCUUCUUCCUCUCUUCGUCCUUUAGAUCCUUCUCUCGUCCCACGACUGUGGUGUACUCAACAUCUAGCCCAACGACCCACUCAUCAUGUGAGUUUUCAAACAUGCGUCUAAAGCGAGAAAGGCAUCCUUUCACCCUCGGGGAAGUACGGGUGUAGAUGACGUCGAACUCACCGCCGGUGAUGGUUCUAACAUUGUACUCACCGCCGAUCAGGGAGAUUUGGGACGCCAUGGAUUUGGGAGGAGGGUUAGGAUUAGUGGAACUGCCGUAAUGUGAAUGGACGGGACGACUAGGAGCGAACCGUCGUAGUAUUAAAGGACGUGCGGCGACGAGUAGAAGCGAACUGCCAGCGUGCGAACGGCGGGGUAGUGGCUUUCCAUUCUCCCAUGAUACGGGCUUCCGAGAGCCCUUGGAUCUGAGAUCGAACGGUUGCAUGGCGUGAUUCUAGACUUAUGGGUGAAUAUCCUAUCCUGGAGGGUUAUUCUUAAAAUUUUCAGCAACUUAGCAUGCGACCGUUUGAUCUUAGAUCCAAGGGCUGCCAGCAGCCCGUAUCAUGGUCGCGCCUACCACAAUCGUCGCGUCGCUCGCGCGGUCGCGCCCUUGGAGAUUUAACACGGUGCGUUAGGCUAUCUGAUGUUGGCAUGUCAUACAUAGUCAUCACUUAGUCACUCAUAGUACAACAAGGUUGGCUAUAAGUGUAUUUUUUACUCCUCUCUAUCUCUUUCUUCGUACUUCCUCCGUCCCAUAAUAUAAGAACAAUUUUGACACUAGUGUAGUGUCAAAAAUGUUAUAUAAUGGGACACAGGGAGUACUAGUAUUUAUUGCAUUUGCCAAGGAGUGACCUCUUCCAAUGAAAUGGUGUUGCUAAGUUUGCCUCAUUUAAUUAGCUAUAGACUCAAAAUUGUCUUUUCACCUAGGUACACGCGCUUAGCACCGUUUCUUCCUUGGGUCACCAAACUAGACUCUCUCUUAUUGAUUAACUUGCCACAUCAGACAUUAUGCCUAUGUGGCAAGCUUAAGCACAUGUAGGAGCAAGUAAGUACAAUAGUGCGCUUUACAUGGCAUUUUUGCAUAUGUGGAGGAAAGAGAGGCAAGGAAAAAGUGGAGAAGUGGGCUCUCAUGCUAGAGCCAGCCUCUACUACUACAUGGUGGAGCAUUGGGAGAGGCACCUGUAUGGAGGUGGUCAGGAAUCGGGAGACUCACGCCGGUCGUAGCGCCGCAGUUAAAAUGAUAAUGGCAAGUCAAAUCACGGGGCCCCACCUGUCCAGCAGUAACUCGCUGUCAAAUCGCACAGCCCUACAUUUGCAGCAGCCUACUCCCUCAUCUUCUCGCGUCUCUGUCGAACCAACUAGGCGGAACUACCCCGCCUACCGCGCAGGAAAAGCCCCGCCCUUGACUUUUAAAUACAACUACUCCCUCCGUCUAGGUGAGUAAGUCAUCUUACGAAAACCAAAUAAUCCCAAAAUACUAUGGCGCGGUGCAUUAACUUCUACCUCGUUUCUUGUUUCUUCACAUAUCAACCAAUAAGAAUCCAAUGAUAUACUUUUUGUGACAUAGUAACUCAUAUUUAGUUAGUCAAAUGGAUGACCUAGAACUACGUGCAGGCCCUAUAAACCGAGACGCCUACAAAUAAAAAACCGAGACGGAGAGGGUAGUUCAGCACGUAUCUUUUUAGAUCAAUAUAGUUGGGAUUCACCAAGGAGCAAAACCAUCUGGUAGGCUGCUCCUGUCUUGUUGGCGUAGCAACUCAAGCAGGGUCAUUCCGCACACGAAAUGGCGACACACUUAACAGGACCCCUUUGGCAGACAUGUUGCUCAUCCACCGUCUUGUUCCAUGUGCUAUGCACCAAAUUACAGUUCGAAGCAGCGGAUGGAAUUGGAGGCACCCCGGUCGUAGCGCCGCAGUAGUAGAAAAUGAGCGAUGAGGGGUCAAAUCACAAAGCCCCACCUUUCCCGCAUUAAGCUGGACGAACGAAGUAACCAUCAUUUCACUCUAACGCGCAAGCGCAUAAAGAAAAGAGAAAAAAAAUGAUGCGUGCGGCAGCUACCUAGGGCACCCUAGGGUAGGGGUCUCCACUAUAGAUCCUUUUUUUGAAAGCGCCUACACUACAAAUCGGCUUCUCCCUCGUCCUCUUGAAGAAAACCGAUGAUGAGUGCGACGGUAGGGUUUGUAGGAGUGCUACGGCAUGCGGGGCCAUGUCGUAGUAAACGGGUUCGAGUCGACGCCUUAAAUAUGUGUGGGCCGCUUGGUUUUAUGGGAACGAGGCAGCAUUUUGGGUUCGGGGACCAGUGCAGAUAUAGCACAUACAAAAAAUUGUGGACGUAGGUUCGACCGAAAGGCAAUGAUGCAUGGGCCCUGCAUUUUGAUAUACCCGGGGCCGCGUGAAAUUUGCUACUCUACUCAAAACUAGUAAGGUACACAUGUAUUGAACGCAUGAGAUUUCGAAACCAAAUUAUGAAUAAAUACACACUAUAGCAUGUAAAGCUUUGAGUAUAUAUGCAUGAUGUAGAUGUUCGUUUAGUUCUUAUAGUUCAUCUCAUUCAAAAUCAAUUAGUUCUAUAAAAAUGUUAAGAUUCAUGCGGUUGUGCAUUGUAAAUCAUAAAGUAAAAAACAAAUAAUGGCAAUUCAUUUAGAAAAAAUAAUCAAUUAUGAUACAGAAGAUUCUAGAACAAAGGAGAAGUGCUUGUGUUUUGAGGUUUGUGCAUUAUGCUUAAGUUCAACCAUGGAGUCUUCUAAAUUGUACGUGUGGCAGAUUUGGUGGAAUGUUGAUGAUAUCUAACGGCCAGUAGUGCUCAGAUUUUCCCAUCUCUGCACUAUCGUGUUAGCUUCAUCCAGCGACCAUCUUUCAAAGUUAUUGGCACACUAUAUAGUUCUUGUGCCAUAGUUGCAUGUUUUGGAAAAAAGCUACUAGUGGGUUGUACUAUCUAUUCAGGAAUAGAAGAUGUAUACAUGAAAGUUGUAGGGAAAGAGAUGACAUGGAGGAUCUCAAUUCCUAUGAGUAGGGAUUGGAAAAGAGAUGUCAUUUGGUUCACAUCAUAGGAACUUUUCUAUUGAAUCUAGAGAUGACAUGUAUCUCAAUUCCUAUGAGGAGGGAUUAGUAAAGAGAUGUAAUUUGGUUCAUAUCAUAGGAACUUUUCUAUUGAAUAUACGCUAAUGUUUAUUUUCCUUUGAAAUUAAGGGAGUAUAGGAAUCCAUUCAUAUGAACCAAGUGGCUCUAAAGCUAUAGAAAUGAUAUCACGUUUAUUUCCUUUGAAAUGUAGAGUAUAUGAAUCUAUUCCUAUGAACCAAUUGGCUCUAAAGGAAAAAAAUCCUAUAAAAAUCAUAUCAUAUAGAGUUCCUAUGAUAUUCCUCGACACUAAAGGAUGGUUGAAAUUGCUGCGGGUGAUACGAUGGUCUUUCUUUGUAGACUCCUCACCCAUCUUUAUAGUUACCUCUCGAAGAUGAAUGAAAUGAUAUAUACAGGGUAUUCUACAUGUGCAAUUUGGUACACGAAAACUCGGUAAAAGUUUGCGAGGUUCUAAUUUUCAAUAAAGCUAUAUGCACUGCAUUUCGGAACGGAGGGAGCAUACGGCAGUUGCUAACACUCACGUGGAAGAUUUGUGUGUAGGAGGAGUGGCUGUUCUGCUAAAUGACAUGGCAAAACUGACACUGUCGGAUGCCGAUCUAACGGUUCUUACUGCGUUCGUCAGGAAAAGGCUUGUGGCGAACGUUUGUCGGAUAAUGAUUUACAGACACAUGCAUUGCAUUGAUAUGUGCCCCCCUCUCUCUCACGCACACGCACCCUCAUGAGUCACAACUCUCCCGAGUCCUCUCGCAGACUCGCACGUGGCACCCAUCGUCUAUCUGCGGGUAGACGUCACGCACAUAUGUGCUCUUCACACCCUACCCUCAGAACUUCUAAAAAACAAAAGACGGUGCACACAUUUUAUUUUAGCUCACACGUCACACACUUAUAUUAUUACUCUUGUGGUGAACGUUCUUUGGGCAUAGUAUAUAUUGUACUCUCACGAAGAGAAGCGGUGCACGCACGCACUAGUUCUCUCACACCCACUCGCGGGUACACGUAGGAGCACAUUUUUUUGAAGCCGGUACAACAAAAUCACUCCACUAUAUAUAAAAGCAGGAGCCUUAGUGCUUGCUUUACAAGGGUUCCUCUCGUUCACUCUCUCAUGCUCUCCAGAUCUAAGCAAGACAUAGGUGGCCACACACUCUCUCUCAGCCCAUGGCUGGUCACAAAUCCGGUCGGACAACCUCGACCGGGGCAGGGGGUGUAGGUGCAUCGUUCACGCUGUCGUCGGCGUCAAUGGAGGAGACCAAUGGCUGCCCGCGCGUCCCGAUCGGCGGUCGUGUCGUUCUCUCCGAGAGAGCGCCGGCUUGGGAGGGCCUCCGACCCCUUCUUCCUCCCUGCGGUAUUGUGGCCAAGAUGCGGCCUCCCAACGCCGUCUUUGCCACAUGCCGACGACCCUCGGGUAUAUAUUCCUUCGAAACCUUCCUUGCUCUACUGCCCCAGCUCUUCCCCCUUCGUGUGGAUCCUUUUCUACUUCCUUCCGCUAUUCCAAAGCCACCUAGACUUCUACUAUUAUUAGAAGUAAAGCUAGUUCAUAUAGUUAACUCAAAGCGUUGGUUCAAACAGGGAAGAAAGUGGGAAAGUUGUAGCAUGAAUCUAGGACUUGGUUCUAAGAGGAAACGGGGGAAAGUAGUAAUAUCUGUCACUGUUUAAAUAACUGUAUUUCGUAUUUCUGCAAACAGGGAUGUAUGUCUACAUAUCUUUUCGGGAUGUCUGUCUCCGUAUCGUUUCUAUCUGCGCAAUCAAAAGCACACACCUCAGUUUUAGUACAACUGCGCAAAAUGAGAUGGCUAUCCCUCGUUGCCGUCAUCUAACCUCCCGUCUUCAAGGUAUCCCUACAUUGGUAGUAACUAAGGUAGAAUGACCAACACAAUCUAAAAGUAGCUGAUUCGUACGUUUUACUUCCUGAUUGCAGUGCAGGGACAAGCGAAAACAACUGCAUCCUAGUCCGGAAUGCACUUUCUACCAGUUCAUCCAUGGACCGAGGACUAGCUGGCACAGCUGCACGGCGGUUUUUUGGACAGGUGCGCGGACAAGAGGCAUUGUGGUCUGCUUAUUUCUGCAAAUAGCGGUGCUUAAAUUUAGUGGAAUGCACAAGAAUUUCACCUGGUCAGUACACUGCAUGGUUCAGUUCAGCAUUCCAGCUGAGACCACAAUUAUAAUUGGUUAUUAUGGAAUGAGAGAACCUAACCCUGGAUGGUGGCAACAAGAAAAAACCAGAGUGAACUCCAGGAAAUUUAAGCCUGUAGGGAGGCCCUUUGCUCAGAGAAGCCUUGCUUGUUUUUUCCUGAUUUGUAAACCUUCUCACAACUUUGUCUUUUGCUGUGAACUAGUAUAUGUUUGUUAUGUUCUAUGAAUCAUUGAGAUGUAUAAAACUGCUUAACUUAUGCUUUUCAAGAUUUUUAUGAAGACGAGUUUAAUGUGAGUGUUCCACAUGAGCGCUGGACUAGCGUUGAGCAUUUGGAAUUUAUUACAUUGUGGCCUCAAUUAACUGCAUGAACCACUGUAACAAGAUACAUAGUUGCUUAUAUGUCAGACAGCAGAUUGUUGAUUGUUAGCUGGUCGAUAGCCUAGUGUUGAAGCGAGCUGAGCCAAUGUGCCGUGUUUUGCACAACUGCUUAUGAGCGGGGUAGCACCAACAGUGUUUACAAGUACUUAUGUAUAUGUCGGCGCACGGUUCUCGAACGAGUGCUCUAUUUCAUCAAAACACACACUGCUCGUAUGAUAAACCGUGACAACUUAUGUCUUACCAUGCCAUAUUCAUGAAAAAACUAGUGAGGACGCAUCUGUUUCGGCAAUAAUUACGAUGGUUCUCACAUGAUUCACGGGCACACAAAAGUAGCAGCAGUUCCCAUAGACAGAUUCAAACAGAGUACUAGCCCCAGAGGGGUCGAUAACAGGCAAGGUUCGGAUAAUUAGACACAAUCCAAACUACUAUUAAACACUAGCUGGGGCAACUAUUUCAUGCAUCGAUCUAAUUUGGGCUGGACACAAGACGGACCUUGCCAUGAACAUCAUCGAGGACGUACCGCAGCAACUCAAUCCUGUGAACCUUCAUGAAGACAACCUUCUGGCCUUGCCACUGAUAAACUUGUUUGUGGAGGCAUGCCACGUCAUCUUCCUGCGUAAGCUUGACAAGAACAGUAUGCCUCACAAACGAAGGAGUAGCUUUGAACUUCUUGUGCUUCAGUACACCUUAGACAACACGCUUGACAACAGUGAGGCUGGAAUACACCUGUUCAUUGGUAUAACCGCAAAUGGCUUCCAGGAUCUAACAGCCUAAGAACUCUGUUUUCCCAGUGCAUAUAUUCAGGUCGUCCGCCUCAUAGCGAGUGACAUGCACAACCACACAAUCCUUGUCUGCAUCAGGGCUCUAAUUGCAACAGAAACAAAUUCUGAAUUACUUUUCAGUAUAAGAAACACAAGUUAUUUAAACCACUAUGUAUAGCAUGGCAUCAAAGCUAAUAAAAUUUUGCAUUAUUAAUCACCACAUACUUCCUUUUCUAAAAAAAUCAGCACAUACUUAGAUGAAAAACCACAAUCGAGAUUGGCAAAGAAGGAAAUCACCUUGGGCAGCUCAGGGGGGGGACAUCCUCGAAGGGGGAAAACUGCUCCUGCGGUGCCACGAGGGCUGUAACCUCAAACGGGGCGUUGACCAUCUCAGUAGUGGCCGUGAGCAUAUUUGGGGUCGACUCGGUGGUUGCCUCCAUCUUCUUGGAGCUCUCUGUCUCGUGGGGAUCAGCCUCCCGCGUCUGCUCCAAUAUCGGCAGAUCUUUGCCUGGUUCUCCUUGGUCCAUCAUGAAAAUGAUGAAUACUAGGAUACCACUGAAAGGAAAACACAAUCGCAAUGACAAUGAAACAAAAAAGAGAGUGAGGAUCGGUUACUUCUUUGUAAAAGUUCUUUUUUUUUCUCUGAACGAAAAUAUACCAACAUCACGGAUCCGCUUACCUUACCUUCGUUGGGAGAGAAGAACAGUGGCAGAUGCAAGUGUUGCCUUUCUUGAAGACAGUGAGGGAUAAGGGGAUUCAGCGAAGAGUGAAAUGAUGGUUGCUUCAUCCGUCAAACUUAGAUUGCGGGGAGGUGGGGUUUUGUGAUACGACGGCUCGUUACUGCCGCGCUACGACCGGGGUGACUCUCCGCCUGCAUACUGCCUUCUAAUUUCGUGGAUGGCAUUUGGGCCCGCGCGCUGCAUGGCCCGCAUGUCGAUGAACAAAAGUAUAAUGGCAUUCAGUAGAGGGAGACGUUUCAAUGACCUAGGAGGAGCCAGAAGCGGUAAAGUGUCUCCACUGCACUAGUAGUAAUUGUUUUUCUGGGUAGCUAUAGAGUGUCUCCACUUUACUAGUAGUAAUUGUUUCUCUGCGCCCAAGACAAAACAGCCAAUCCACACUAGUAAAUAGUAAAAUCAAUUCAAAAGGCGCUACCCACACCCAGCACACCCCCCCCCCCAAAAAAACUGGGUGCUCUUCUUCCUCCUCGCUCCCACCCACCUCACGUCAGCUUGCUCCACUCGUACCCCCAAAUUCGUCACCUCACUCCUACAGAAAACCCCAGCUCCCCUUCUUCCUCACUCCUACAGAAAACCCCCAGCUCCCCUUCUUCUUCGCUCGCACUACAACUAGGCUCGUCAUUCGUUACUCUGCUCAAAUCCAUGAGCGCGACGCGACGCCCUCGAGGAAAAUGGAGUCGGCUGACCCCAGCGCCAAGAAGAUGAGGCUCCCGCCAGCAGCGACGCCUGUUGUAGAUCCCGCACCCGGCAGCGCGGGGAGAAGCAGCGACCCCGCCCCCAUCGGAUCCCAGGAACCCGUAGAAUCUCGGGUGGACCGCAUCAGCGAUCUCCCGGACACCGUCCUUGGGGAGAUCAUCUCCCUUCUCCCCACCAAGGAUUGCUGCCGCACCCAAGUCCUCUCAAUUCGGUGGCACCCUCUAUGGCGCGCCGUGCCCCUUAAUCUUGACUGUCGUCAGCAAUCUCUCUUCAAUGAUUUUGAAAUCCCCAGAGCCAUCAUCUCCUCCCACCAGGGCUCCUUUCAAAGCCUCUGCAUCCCGUCAUGCUACCUAAGCAAGCAUACCAUGCCCUGCACGGUGGACGCCUGGCUGAAAUCCCCUGAAUUCACAGAACUAUGGCUGCUUGAGUUCUACUAUUCCCCUGGAAAUCACAUACCACAUACCAAAUGCCAUGAACUUGUGCCCUCAGCACUGAUGUCCAUCUCGCAGUUUUCCUCCUCUCUCCACACCGCACCUUUGCGAUGUGCUACCUACCAGACAAUCUGGUACUAAACCUUCGACUCCCAUUUCUCAAGAAACUUUCACUUGUGCGGGUUCGUAUAUCAGAGGCCUCAUUGCACAGCAUCAUCCACAACAGUUGCCCUACGCUGGAGUGCUUGGUGCUUGUUUUCACAGUUAGAAUCGGUUGUCUCCAAAUAAAGUCGCCUAACCUUGUAAGAAUUGGAAUUUCUUUUGACGGAAGGCAGCUCAUCAUCCAAGAUGCCCCUUCACUUCAAAGGUUGAUCCUUGAUUCUAGUUAUUCACCGUUGCAAAUAACCGUCCUCUUUGCGCCUAAACUGGAGACCUUGGGUGUAAUACAUGAUCUCUGUGCUCAUUUCAAUAUGGUGUUUGGCUCAACAGUUCUUCAGGUACUUUAUAUUAUCAUCUACACUUGUAACCAUAAGCUGCAUUUUAAAUUUCUACGCAUAAUUUAUAUAUCAUCUUGGAGUACACAUUUUGUACUAAUAUUAUGUUCUAUGCUCAACGAAGAGUUUCUCCAUGGAUGGCCUAUCAAUGGUGCUAGAUUCUGUCAAGAUCUUAUACAUCCAAAUGAAUAGUUUUGAUUUGAUCAAGAUUAUUGGCUUGCUACAAUGCUUUCCAUGUCUGGAGAAGUUGUAUAUAAAGGUGAUAAUUUCAUGCACAUUGGAAGCCCGCAUAUAGUGUACUAGAAUUAACCGUUCAGCUGUUGCUCUUUCGACACUCUUCUUUUAGACCUUAACUGUUUUCAUUUUCAUGUCUAUUUAGGCAACAGGACGGGGUAAGAAAGUUAUAACCAAUCGGUGGAUUUGUAAGCAUCAUGAUUUUCUCACUUCUCAUGAGAUUCAAUUGAAGACAAUAACGUUAGAACGAUAUGUAGCCAACCGUGCAAACACAAGAUUUGUCACAUUCUUCCUGCUGAAUGUGAGGUUACUAUUGUCCAUCAGGCUUAAGUUUAUCAGCAGCAUGGUUUUGACGGAUGGGUAUGUCGAAGAGCAAAAAAAGGAGUUUCAGGUGGGCAAAAGAGCUUCUGAACGUGUCAGGCUUCUAUUUACAACAUAUUGUGGUCAUAAUCCAGUAAAUUUUAUGACCCAGGAUGUUCAUUCUAUGGACCUGACCGAUCCAUUUGACUAUGACUGCCGAAAACAGUGCUGGAGUUAGAUGUUGUUGCCCUUUUCAAUCUGGGUUUUUUUGUAAACCUCAUGAACAAUCAACCCUCGUGCUUUUGUACAGUUUGUAAGCUGGAGUUAGAUGUUCCUGCCCUUUUCAACUCGGCUGUGACUGUCAUAUUUUCUUUGAAACAAGGCAAAUGGCUUGCCAUUCAUUUAAUUUAGAGUGAAAUAUUGUAACAAAUCACAACCAAGGGAAAUAACAUCACUCACGCCGGCUGCUUGAGCUCACUGUGCAUUACAGAAGCCAAGUGAUUAGCCCCCACCAGCACCCACAAACUUAUUUCAAACUAGCACAUCAAAUGGGCUGUAAAUUUUCAUAGGAAAGGCUGCAUGACCGUGACAGAUUUGGAUUCUAACAUUUGGGACCCGCGAGGAAAUAGCCUAUCCAAGGUGGUGUCGACUUACUAGCCAGUCAACAAACGACCCCGCCAUCUGUCGUGUAUCUUCUAUCUCUUGUCUUCUUCUUCCUCCAGCCACCCAAACCAAACCACCCCGUCAGCUCCGCCUGCUCCCGCCUCCCAUGGCUGGCUGCGCCUCCGCCGCCCUACCGUACAUACCCUCCAAUGUUGACCAGUCCCUCCCUCUAUUCCCCCACACGUCAUGUUAUUCUCCGGCAACGUCAUCCCCAACACGCACUCGUGCCCGAACCAGUCAACCAUCGUACUCCCCUCCGCCUGCGACUGGACCGGUGCAUCUUCAAUGGCUCCUGUUCAUUCCGUCUGAGGCCUCGCCGUCGUCCUUCGCCUUGCGGCCUUGGUUCGCUCGCCGUGCACGGUGCGCUGCCCUCUUGUGUUAUCAACGUCGUCAACAACCGAGAGGAACAAGGAGAUGAUUGUACGUGGAGAGGAUGAUAGUAGGGACCCACCAGCAUCAUGGCAGUACGCAAGCAAGUGCCUCUAUAGUACAAGCCCAAAAAUAUGGUUCCUCCUAGUCCUAAUGGUUGGACAUCUAGGGUUCACACCAUUGUCAACAUAAUCAAUAAACGAGAGAAUUACACUACGAGCGGCUGACACCAGGGACCCAGCAAGCCGCGCAGUUUUUUUGAGGAACAAGCAGUUGUUAUUUAUACUAGUUUUAGCGACGGAUCAGGGUAACAACGGGGUUGUGCGGGGGCUGUGGCCCGUCUAGCCAGGGUUUUAUUUAUGUUUACCACAUCAUGAGCCAAGUUGUGUUUUUUUCUUGCUGAAAAUGGCUAGCCCAGUUCUAUUUUUUUAAAAGAAAUACCCAAAUAAGGCCUACUUGCUUUAUCGGCCCUGCUGGGCUGCAAAUCUUUCCAGACGAUGAGAGUUUCAUUCGGUUUGCCCAGGAAUGGCAUGUACAUUUUUAAAAAACAUCAAACCGGGAAUUAGUUUCAAUUUUUUUUCAUUACAAGAUCUUAAAUUCCAUUGAUUUUUAUGCGUGGACAAUUAUUUGGAUUUUAUAUUUAUAUAAAUUAUUUUUCAAAAUAUUUUGAAUGUGAAUCGAUAUUUCUGGAUUAAAAACAGUUGACCGCACCGAAAUAUGCAAAAUUUCGUAUACUUUUUAACCGUGGCCACAAUAUGGGGUGUAAUGCUAACAAAAAGAAGAUGGGCUCCAAAAAAAUCUUAAGAAUUAGCAAAUGGGCUGUACAUUAUUAGAAAUAAUGGCAGAUGUGAUGUAUGAUGUUUUCCACAGAUUUGAGGCUGACUUGUGCGCCUACUACAGGUUGACGUGUAUGCUUUCAUAAAAAAAAGGUUGACGCACACGCAACGCCCUGUCAACUUAGUCAACACAUGAGAGCAAUGACUGUUGGAUGUCCAUCCAACGGCUGUCGUGCUUCUUCAAUCUCUGCUCUUCAUGCUCCAGCCGCUUAAACAAGCGUCGGCGGGACUACCUGCUCCCUCCUCGCGUGGCCGGCUAUGCUGCCGCGCAGGCCUCAUGGCACCACCGUACUCCCAUCGCUGGCCUAGCCAUCCCUCUAAUCAGCCACACAUGAUGUUAUUCUCCGGCGACGACAGACGAACCAGUAAACCCUUGUACUCCUCCGCGUGGGAAACAACUGCCGAGUAUUCCCUGGCUCCGUGUCGUUCCCUUCCUAGGCCUCGCCGUCGUCCACCGCCCUGGUGCUCUCAGUGCGGCCUAGUCAACGUAGUCAAUGAAUGACAUCCAUCGGAAGUGGACUGUACGUGGAGAGGCUGACAGCUGGGUCCAUGGCCGCACGCAAGGAAAUGCCUCCUUAUUACGCGCAAAAUAAUGAUUCCUCCACCUGACAGCUAGGACCCACAGGAAGGGCCUCUGUAUUUCGCGAAAAAAAACGUUCCCCCCGCUGACAGGUUGGACCCACCAGCUAUAUCUUCGCACGCAAGGAAGUGCCUCCUUAUUACGGCCAAAAAAAUGAAUACCCCCUGCUAGCUCGGACCCACCAUAUUGUUGGGCUAACUUGUGGGCCUACUAAGUUAACGGGGACGGAGGGCUUUGUCAACUUAGUCAAUACUCCAGUGAUCGUCUGAUGUCCAUCCAACGGCCAUAGUGCUUCUUCAACCUCUGGUCUUCUUGCUCCAGUCGCCCAAAGUAGCACCAGUCGUGCCGCGUGCUCCUGCCUCCCAUGGGCGACUAUGCUACCGCCUGCUCCUACCUCCUGUGGCCCGGCUCUGCGUCGUCCCCUUCCUAGGCCUCGCCGUCGUCCACUGCCGUGGUGCUCUCGGCGCGGCGUGGUCAAUGUGGUCAAUGACCGACUUCCAUUGGAAGAGUACUGUACAUGGAGAGGCUGACAGCUGGGUCCACGGCAGCCGCAAGGAGGUGCCUCCUUAUUAUGCAAAAAAUAAUUAUUCCUCCACCUGACAGCGGGGACCCACCGGACGGGCCACCAGUAUUUUGCAAAAAAAUCGUUUCCCCUGACUGUUGGGACCCACCGGACGGGCCACCGUAUUUCGCGAAAAAAAGGUGCCCCCGCUGUCAGCUCGGACCCACCGGAAGUGCCUCCUUAUUACGCACAAAAAAAUGAAUACUCCCCCAGCUAGCAGGGACCCACCUUGGUGGGAGGCUGUCUUGUGGGCCUACUAAGUUGACGGGGACAAAGGGCUUUCUCAACUUAGUCAAUAUGAACGAUUCUAGCUCCAGUGACCGCACGAUGUCCAUCCAAUGGCCGUAGUGCUUCUUCAACCUCUGGUCUUCUUGCUCCAGCCGCCCAAAGCAGCACCGGUCGUGCUGCAUGCUCAUGCCUCCCGUGGCCGGUUGUGCUGCCGCGGAGGCCUCACCGCCCCCUACUAUUCCCACCGCUGGCCAGGCCCUGCAGCGACGGCAGCCUCACACCGCAGCCGAACCAGUGAACCCUCGUACUCCUCUCCGUGCGGGCUUCCACUGCCGCCUCUUCCCUGGCUCCGCGUCGUCCUCUUCCUAGGCCUCGUCGUCUUCCACUGCCGUGGUGCUCUCCGCACGGCGUGGUCAACAUGGUCAAGGAACGACUUCCAUUGGAAGAGUACUGUACGUGGAGAGGCUGAUAGCUGGGUCCGCGGCCACAACCCAGUUUUUUUGUGAUUUGCCAAGUAGGUCGCUUUGUCAGGCAUGUUGGGCUGUAAAUCUUUCAAGACAAGGAGAGCUUUCAUUCGGCUAGCUGAGAAAAUGGCCCAUCAGUAAUGAGAAAUGGGUUGUACAUUUUCAAAACACAUCAAACCGGCAGUUAGUUUCAAAUAUAUUUCUUUUCAUUUCAAGAUUUUAAAUUACAUUAAUUUUUAUGCGUGGAGAAUUUGUUGGAUUUUAUAUUGAUAUACAUUUAUUUUUAAAAUUAGUUUGAGUGUGACUCAAAAUUUCGAGAUUAAAAACAGUUCGGACCGCACCGAAAUAUGCAAAAUUUCGUAUAAUUUUUUAACCAUGGCCACAAUAUGGGUUGUAAUGCUAACAAAAAGAAUAUGGGCUCCAAAAAAAACCUUAAGAAUUAGCAAAUGGGCUGUAAAUUAUUAGAAAGAAUGGCAGAUGGGUUGUAUGCUGUUUCCCACAGAUUUGAGGCUUUCCUAAAAAAAGGUUGAUGCACAAGCAGUGACGGUUGGAUGUCCAUCCAACGGCCGUCGUGCUUCUUCAAUCUCUAUUCUUCCUGCUCCAGCCGCUCAAACAAGCGCCAGCGGGACUGCCUGCUCCCUCCUCCCCGCGGCCGGCUGUGCUGCCGCGCAGGCCUUACCGCCCCACCGUACUCCCAUCGCUGGCCUAGCCAUCCCUCUACUCACCCACACCUGUCGUUAUUCUCCGGCGACGGCAGACGAACCAGUAAACCCUCGUACAGUCAUACUCCCCUCCGCGUGGGAAACAACUACCGAGUCUUCCCUGCCUCCAUGUCGUCCCCUUCCUAGGCCUCACCAUCGUCCACCGCCGUGGUGCUCUCGGCGCGGCGUGGUCAAUGUGGUCAACGACUGACUUCCAUCGGAAGAGUAUUGUGCGUGGAGAGGCUGACAGCUGGGUCCACGGCCGCAGCAAGGAAUUGCCUCCUUAUUACGUGCAAAAUAAUUAUUCCUCCACCUGACAGCGCGAACCCACCGGACGGGCCACCGUAUUUCGCGAAAAAAAAGUUUUCCCCCUGACUGCUGGGACCCACCAGCUACACCUUCGCACGCAAGGAAGUGCGUCCGGGAAAAAAUGAUUCACCCCUUGACUGUUGGGACCCACCAGCUACAUCUUCGCACGCAAGGAAGUGCGUCCGGGUAAAAAAACGAUUCGCCCCCCUGACUGCUGGGACCCACUAGCUACAUCUUCGCAGGCAAGGAAGUGUCUGACAGUCGGGACCCACCUGGUCGAAGCGUACGCAGCGUUGUCAUUCUGGUCGCGAACGUGUGCGUACAUAUAUACUGGUGGAUGUAGAGGCGCGCACGUGUCAUAGUAGAGGCGCGCACGUAGCAUGUACACGUACGUACAGCAGCCAGGGUGCAAGAAAGAAAAUACGGCCACAUAUGUGUACAUACGGGCAGGGUCUCGAACGCCUACUCGCGCAUACGUACGGCGAGGGCUCAUGUACAUGGCUGGGUCGGAACGGAGAAAUAGCGUCGUCGUCGUGUUCAUGGGGAGGCAACGGAAUGCGUCGUGUUCAUGGGGAGGCAACGGAAUGCGUCGUGUUCAUGGGAAGGCAACGGAAUGCAUCGUGUUCAUCGGGAGGCAACGAAACGCGUGGGAGCCAACCGGCUGGGUCGGAAUGGAAUGUGUAGUCAUGUUCAUCGGGAGGGCUUGGAUGGAACAGGCGAUGGAAACGAGGCCUGGCAUACCGCAGAACGGAGGAAAUGUACCUCCUACGUUCGGAACGGGGUCCUGUUGAUCGGGAGGGGUGUGGCGUACCGCAAAAUGGAGGAAACGGACCUCCUACUGUCAAAACGGGGGUCCUGUUGAUCGGGAGGGGUGUGGCAUACCGCAAAAUGGAGGAAACAGACCUCCUACGAUCGAAACGGGGGUCUUGUUGAUCGGGACGGGUGUGGCGUACCGCAAAACGGACGAAACGGACCUCCUACGAUCGAAACAGGGGUCCUAUUCAUCGGGAGGGGUGUGGCGUACCGCAAAAUGGGACUCCACGGGAUACUAUUCAUCUCCACCGUCGACCUCCUCUAGCCUCCACGGGCUCCUGUUCAUCCAGCCUCCACCGCGUGCUACUCCACCGGCUACUGUUCAACCACCCCUCGACCGUCUACUGUUCAUCCAGCCNNNNNNNNNNNNNNNNNNNNNNNNNNNNNNNNNNNNNNNNNNNNNNNNNNNNNNNNNNNNNNNNNNNNNNNNNNNNNNNNNNNNNNNNNNNNNNNNNNNNNNNNNNNNNNNNNNNNNNNNNNNNNNNNNNNNNNNNNNNNNNNNNNNNNNNNNNNNNNNNNNNNNNNNNNNNNNNNNNNNNNNNNNNNNNNNNNNNNNNNNNNNNNNNNNNNNNNNNNNNNNNNNNNNNNNNNNNNNNNNNNNNNNNNNNNNNNNNNNNGGCUUCAGUUAGCAGCAGUAGCGAAGGAAUCGCUCCAUCGGGUUCAGUUAACAGCCAUCGAUCGAUCGCUCGGGUUCAGUAACGCAUAGCCUGCAGUGCAAUCGCUCGGGUUUAGUUAGAGCCCAACGCCUCGCUCGGGUUUAGUUAGAGCCCAACGCCUCGCUCGGGUUCAGUUAGAGCCAAUGCCUCGCACACACGCGCGUACGUGUAUGAGAGAAACGCGCAUCGCUCGUCCCUCGACCUCCCACCGUAACCGGCAACUCCCCGAAAUUUUCCUCCCCCUCGCUUCUACCACGGUUUUUUCCGUCAUGGACGGCCCAAAGAAUGUCAUGCAUCUGCGUCUCCGGCCCGCCCAGGACGAAAAGCCCACUUUCUGUCAUGACUUUUUGUCAUAGAAGUAGGAGCCCACCACAUCUAUGAUGAUACCGGGUUUUGUCACAAUUAUCGUCAUAGAAGUGUCAUAUGUAUGACAGGAAAAAAAUUCGUUCGGCCCAAAAUGUCACGGAUGUGUCUUUUUUUUGUAGUGUAGUGUGGAUUACUCCUUGUAGUUGAUACUAAUUGGUUUAUUUGGUGGAAGAUCAUAUGUUCAGAUCCUUUAUGCAUAUUAUUACUCCUCUGAUUAUGAACAUGAAUAUGCUUUGUGAGUAGUUAUGUUUGUUCCUGAGGACAUGGGGUGAAGUCUUGCUAUUAGUAGUCAUGUGAAUUUCGUAUUCGUUCGAUAUUUUGAUGAGAUGUAUGUUGUCUUUCCCUCUAGUGGUGUUAUGUGAACGUCGACUACAUGACACUUACCAUUAUUUGGGCCUAGAGGAAGGCAUGGGGAAGUAAUAAGUAGAUGAUGGGUUGCUAGAGUGACAGAAGCUUAAACCCUAGUUUAAGCUUCGUUAGGGGUUGUUAUGGAUCCAUAUGUUUAAUGUUGUGGUUAGGUUUACCUUAAUACUUCUUUUGUAGUUGUGGAUGCUUGCAAUAGGGGUUAAUCAUAAGUGGGAUGCUUGUCCAAGUUAGUGUUGGAAAUAUGCCCUAGAGGCAAUAAUAAAUUGGUUAUUAUUAUAUUUCCUUGUUCAUGAUAAUCGUUUAUUAUCCAUGCAAUAAUUGUAUUGAUAGGAAACUCAGAUAAAUGUGUGGGUACAUAGACAACACCAUGUCCCUAGUAAGCCUCUAGUUGACUAGCUCAUUGAUCAACAGAUGGUUACGGUUUCCUAACCAUGGACAUUGGAUGUCGUUGAUAACGGGAUCACAUCAUUAGGAGAAUGAUGUGAUGGACAAGACCCAAUUCUAAGCCUAGCACAAAGAUCGUAGUUCGUAUGCUAAAGCUUUUCUAAUGUCAAGUAUCAUUUCCUUAGACCAUGAGAUUGUGCAACUCCCAGAUACCGUAGGAAUGCUUUGGGUGCACCAAACGUCACAACAUAACUGGGUGGCUAUAAAGGUGCACUACGGGUAUCUCCGAAAGUGUCUGUUGGGUUGGCACGAAUCGAGACUGGGAUUUGUCACUCCGUCUAAACGGAGAGGUAUCUCUAGGCCCACUCGGUAGGACAUCAUCAUAAUGUGCACAAUGUGACCAAGUGGUUGAUCACGGGAUGAUGUGUUACGGAACGAGUAAAGAGACUUGCCGGUAACGAGAUUGAACAAAGUAUUGGCAUACCGAUGAUCGAAUCUUAGGCAAGUAUAAUACCGCUAGACAAAGGGAAUUGUAUACGGGAUUGAUAAAAUCCUCGACAUCAUGGUUCAUCCGAUGAGAUCAUCAUGGAACAUGUGGGAGCCAACAUGGGUAUCCAGAUCCCGCUGUUGGUUACUGACCGAAAACGUCUCGGUCAUGUCUGCAUGGUUCUCAAACCCGUAGGGUCUACACACUUAAGGUUCGAUGACGCUAGGGUUAUAAAGGAAGUUUGUAUGUGGUUACCGAAUGUUGUUCGGAGUCCCGGAUGAGAUCCCGGACGUCACGAGGAGUUUCAGAAUGGUCUGGAGGUAAAGAUUUAUAUAUGGGAAGUCCUGUUUUGGUCACCGGAAAAGUUUCGGGUUUUAUCGGUAACGUACCGAGACCACCGCGAGGGUCCCGAGGGUCCACCAAGUGGGGCCACCAUCCUCGGAGGGCUGCAUGGGCCAAGUGUGGGAGGGGACCAGCCCCAAGUGGGCUGGUGCGCCCUCCCCCCCACAAGGGCCCAAGGCGCCUAGGGUUUGGGGAGGGGGCGCACCCACGUUUCUUGGGGGCAAGUUUCCCCUCUCCCCCCUUGGCCGCCCCCCUAGAUGGGAUCUAGGGCUGGCCGCCGCCCCUAGCGGUGGAACCCUAGGUGGGGGCGCAGCCCCCCCUCUCCCCCUAUAUAUAGUGGAGGCAAAGGGGCAGCCCAACACACGAAGUUCUUCUCCAGUUGGCGCAGUCCUACCUCUCUUUCUCCUCAUAUCUCGCGGUGCUUGGCGAAGCCCUGCUGGAUCACCACGCUGCUCCACCACCACCACGCUGUUGUGCUGCUGCUGGAUGGAGUCUUCCCCAACCUCUCCCUCUCUCCUUGCUGGAUCAAGGCAUGGGAGACGUCACCGGGCUGUACGUGUGUUGAACGCGGAGGUGUCGUCCGUUCGGCACUAGGAUCUCCGGUGAUUUGGAUCACGACGAGUACGACUCCUUCAACCCCGUUCUCUUGAACGCUUCCUCUUAGCGAUCUACAAGGGUAUGUAGAUGCACUCUCCUUCCCCUCGUUGCUGGUUUCUCCAUAGAUAGAUCUUGGUGACACAUAGGAAAAUUUUGAAUUAUUGCUACAUUACCCAACAGUGGCAUCAUGAGCUAGGUCUAUUGCGUAGAUUCUUUGCACGAGUAGAACACAAAGUAGUUGUGGGCGUUGAUUUUGUUCAAUAUGCUUACCGUUACUAGUCCAAUCUUGUUUCGACGGUAUUGUGGGAUGAAGCGGCCCGAACCGACCUUACACGUACACUUACGUGAGACAGGUUCCACCGACUGACAUGCACUUGGUGCAUAAGGUGGCUAGCGGGUGUCAGUCUCUCCCACUUUAGUCAGAACGGAUUCGAUGAAAAGGGUCCUUAUGAAGGGUAAAUAGCAAUUGGCAUAUCACGUUGUGGUUUUGCGUAGGUAAGGAACAUUCUUGCUAGAAACCCAUAGCAGCCACGUAAAACAUGCAAACAACAAUUAGAGGACGUCUAACUUGUUUUUGUAGGGUAUGUUAUGUGAUGUGAUAUGGUCAAAAGAAUGUGAUUAAUGAUAUGUGAUGUAUGAGAUUGAUCAUGUUCUUGUAAUAGGAAUCACGACUUGCAUGUCGAUGAGUAUGACAACCGGCAGGAGCCACAGGAGUUGUCUUAAUUUAUUGUAUGACCUGCGUGUCAUUGAACAAACGCCAUGUAAUUACUUUACUUUAUUGCUAACCGGUAGCCAUAGUAGUAGAAGUAAUAAGUUGGCGAGACAACUUCAUGGAGACACGAUGAUGGAGAUCAUGAUGAUGGAGAUCAUGGUGUCAUGCCAGUGACAAUGAUGAUCAUGGAGCCCCGAAGAUGGAGAUCAAAAGGAGCAAAAUGAUAUUGGCCAUAUCAUGUCACUAUUUGAUUGCAUGUGAUGUUUAUCAUGUUUAUACAUCUUAUUUGCUUAGAUCGACGGUAGUAAAUAAGAUGAUCCCUCAUUAAAAUUUCAAGAAAGUGUUCCCCCUAACUGUGCACCAUUGCGAAAGUUCGUCGUUUCGAAGCACCACGUGAUGAUCGGGUGUGAUAGAUUCUAACGUUCACAUACAACGGGUGUAAGCCAAAUUUACACAUGCGAAACACUUAGGUUAGCUUGACGAGCCUAUCAUGUACAGACAUGGCCUCGGAACACAAGAGACCGAAAGGUCGAGCAUGAGUCGUAUGGUGGAUACGAUCAACAUGAAGAUGUUCACCGAUGAUGACUAGUCCGUCUCACGUCAUGAUCGGACACGGCCUAGUUGACUCGGAUCAUGUAAUCACUUAGAUGACUGGAGGGAUGUCUAUAUGAGUGGGAGUUCAUUAGAUGAACUUAAUUAUCCUGAACAUAGUCAAAAGCCCUUUGCAAAUUAUGUCAUAGCUCGCGCUUAGUUCUACUAUUUUAGAUAUGUUCCUAGAGAAAAUAUAGUUGAAAGUUGACAGUAGCAAUUAUGCAGACAAUAGAAGGCUUAUGUCCUUAAUGCACCGCUCGGUAUGCUGGACCUCGAACGUGGUCUGUGGAUGUUGUGAACAUCUGACAUACAUGUUUUGAUGACUACAUGAUAGUUCGGUAAUGUUAAAUGGUUUAGAGUUGAGGCACCGAAGACAUUUUUGAAAUGUCGCGGAACAUAUGAGAUGUUUCGAGGGCUGAAAUUGGGAUUUCAGGCUCGUGCCCAAGUCAAGAGGUAUAAGACCUCCGACGAUUUUCUUAGCCUGCAAACUAAGGGAGAAAAGCUCAAUCGUUGAGCUUGUGCUCAGAUUGUCUGAGUACAACAAUCACUUGAAUCGAGUGGGAGUUGAUCUUCCAGAAGAGACAGUGAUGUUUCUCCAAAGUCAUUGCCACCAAGCUGCUAGAGCUACGUGAUGAACUAUAACAUAUCAGGGAUAGAUAUGAUGAUCCUUGAAGUGUUCGUGAUGUUUGACACCGCGAAAAUAGAAGUCAAGUAGGAGCAUCAAUUGUUGAUGGUUGGUAAAACCACUAGUUUCAAGAAGGGCAAGGGCAACAAGGGAUACUUCAUGAAAUAGCAAAACAGUUGCUGCUCUAGUGAAGAAACCCAAGGUAGAACCCAAACCCGAGAAUAAGUGCUUCUGUAAUGAGAGGAACGGACACUGAAGCAGAACCACCCUAGAUACUUGGUAGAUGAGAAGGCUGGCAAGGUCGAUAGAAGUAUAUUGGAUAUACAUUGAAUUAAAUGUGUACUUUACUAGUACUCCCAAUAGCACCAGGGUAUUAGAUACCGGUUUGGUUUCUAAGUGUUAGUAACUCGAAAUAAAAGGCUACGGAAUAAACGGAGACUAGCUAAAGGUGAGCUGGCGAUAUGUGUUGGAAGUGUUUCCAAGGUUGAUGUGAUCAAGCAUCGCACGCUCCCUCUACCAUCGAGAUUGGUGCUAAACCUGAAUAGUGUUAUUUGGUGUUUGCAUUGAGCAUAGACAUGAUUGGAUUAUGUCUAUCGCAAUGUUGUUAUUCAUUUAAGGAGAAUAAUGGUAACUCUAUUUAUUUGAAUAAUACCUUCAAUGGUCUUACACCUAAAAGAAUGGUUUAUUGAAUCUCGAUCGUAGUGAUACACAUUUUCAUGCCAAAAGAUAUAAGAUAGUAAUGAUAGUACCACUUACUUGUGGCACUGCCAUGUAAGUCAUAUUGGUAUAAAACGCAUGAAGAAGCUCCAUGUUGAUGGAUCUUUGGACUCACUCGUUUUUUGAAAAGUUUGAGACAUGCAAACCAUGUCUAUUGGUGUAUACGCAUGAAGAAACUCCAUGCAGAUGGAUCGCUUGGACUCACUUGAUUUUGAAUCACUUGAGAUAUGCAAAUUAUACCACAUGGGCAAGAUGACUGAAAAAGCCUCGUUUUCAGUAAGAUGGAACAAGAUAGCAACUUGUUGGAAGUAACACAUUUUGAUGUGUGUAGUCCAAUGAGUGUUGAGGCAUGCAGUGAAUAUCAUUAUGUUCUUACUUCACAGAUGAUUCGAGUAGAUGUUGAGUAUAUUUACUUGAUGAAACACAAGUCUAAAUUAUUGAAUGAUUCAAGUAAUUUCAGAAUGAAGAUCAUUGUGACAAGAGGAUAAAAUGUCUAUGAUAUGAUCAUAGAGAUGAGUAUCUGAGUUACGAGCUUUGGCACGCAAUUAAGACAUUGUGGAAAUUGUUUCACAAUUAAUACCGUCUGGAACACCAUAGUGUGAUGGUGUGUCCGAACAUCAUAGUUGCACCCUAUUGGAUAUGGUGCGUAGCAUGAUGUCUCUUAUCGAAUUACCACUAUCGUUCAUGGGUUAGGCAUUAGAGACAACCACACUCACUUUAAUAAGGGCACCACGUAAUUCCGUUGAGACGACACCGUUUGAACUAUGGUUUGGAGAAACCUAAGUUGUCGUUUCUUAAAAAGUUUGGGGCUGCGACGCUUAUGUGAAAAAGUUUCAUCGUGAUAAGCUCGAACCCAAAAUGGAUAAAUACAUCUUCAUAGGAUACCCAAAAUGGUUGGGUAUGCCUCCUAUCUCAGAUCCGGAAGCAAAAGUAAUUGUUUCUAAAACGGGUCCUUUCUCGAGGAAAAGUUUCUCUCGAAAGAAUUGAGUGGGAGGUGGAGACUUGAUGAAGUUAUUGAAUCAUCACUUCAACCAAUGUGUAGCAGGGCACAGGAAGUUGUUCAUGUGGCACCUACACCAAUUGAAGUGGAAGCUGAUGAUAGUGAUCAUGAUGCUUCGGAUCAAGUCACUACCGAACCUCAUAGGACGACUAGGACGCGUACUGCUUCGGAGUGGUACGGUAAUCCUGUCUUGGAGGUCAUGUUGCUAGACAACAAUGAACCUACGAGCUAUGGAGAAGCGAUGGUGGGCCCGGAUUCUGACAAAUGGCUUGAGGCCAUAAAAUCCGAGAGAGGAUCCAUGUAUACAAAGCAUGGACUUUGGUGGUCUUGCUCGAUGAUCGGCAAGCCAUUGAGAUAAAUGGGUCUUUAAGAAGAAAACGGACAUGGACGGUAAUGUCACCGUCUAUGAAGCUCGACUUGUGGCGAAGAGUUUUUUCACAAGUUCAAGGAGUUGACUACGAUGAGAUUUUCUCAUCCAUAGCGAUGUUUAAGUCCGUUGGAAUCAUGUUAGCAUAAGUUGCAUUUAUGAAAUCUGGCAGAUGGAUGUCAAAACAAGUUUACUUACCAGUUUUUCGUGAGGAAAGGUUGUAUGUGAUACAACCAGAAGGUUUUGACAAUCCUGAAAGACGCUAACAAGUAUGCAAAGCUCUAGCAAUCCUUCUGAGGACUGGAGUAAGCAUCUCGGAGUUGGAAUGUACGCUUUGAUGAGAUGAUCAAAGAUUUUGGGUUUAUACAAAGUUUAUGAGAAACUUGUAUUUCCAAAGAAGUGAGUGGGAGCACUAUAGAAUUUCUGAUGAGUAUAUGUUGUUGACAUAUUGUUGAUCAGAAAUAACAUAGAAUUUCUGGAAAGCAUAUAGGGUUAUUUGAAAAGUGUUUUUCAAUAGAAAACCUGAAUUAAGCUGCUUGAACAUUGAGCAUCAAGAUCUAUGAGGAUAGAUCAAAAACGCUAAAUGGUACUUUCAAAUGAGCACAUACCUUGACAUGAUCUUGAAGGUGUUUAAGAUGGAUCAGUAAAAGAAGGAGUUCUUGCCUGAGUUGUAAGGUAUGAAGUUAAGAGUUAAAGCUCGACCAUGGCAGAAGAGAGAGAAAGGACGAAGGUCGUCCCCUAUGCUUCAGACAUAGGCUCUAUAGUAUGCUAUGCUGUGUACCGCACCGGAAGUGUGCCUUGCCAUGAGUCAGUCAAGGGGUACAAGAAUGAUCCAGGGAUGGAUCAUUGGACAGCGGUCAAAAAUUGUCCUUGGAGUAAAUAAAUGACAUGUUUCUCGGUUAUGGAGGUGAUAAAGAGUUCGGCGUAAAGGGUUACGUCGAUGUAAGCUUUAACACCUAUCCGAAUGACUCUGAGUAGCAAACCGGAUACGUAUAGUGGAGCGACCAUUUGGAAUAGCUCCAAGUGGAGCAUGGAAGCAGCAUUUACAAUAUGACCUAGAGAUUUGCGAAAUACAUACGGAUCUGAAUGUUACAGACCCGUUGACUAAAACCUCUCUCACAAGCAAAACAUGAUCAAACCCCAGAACUCAUUGAGUCUUAAUCACAUGGUGAUGUGAAAUAGUUUAGUGACACUAGUAAACUCUUUGGAUGUUGGUCACAUGGCGAUGUGACCUAUCAGUGUUAAUCACAUGGCGAUGUGAACUAGAUUAUUGACUCUAGUGCAAGUGGGAGACUGUUGGAAAUAUGCCCUAGAGGCAAUACUGAAUUGGUUAUUAUUAUAUUUCCUUGUUCAUGAUAAUCGUUUAUUAUCCAUGCAAUAAUUGUAUUGAUAGGAAACUCAGAUAAAUGUGUGGGUACAUAGACAACACCAUGUCCCUAGUAAGCCUCUAGUUGACUAGCUCAUUGAUCAACAGAUGGUUACGGUUUCCUGACCAUGGACAUUGGAUGUCGUUGAUAACGGGAUCACAUCAUUAGGAGAAUGAUGUGAUGGACAAGACCCAAUUCUAAGCCUAGCACAAAGAUCGUAGUUCGUAUGCUAAAGCUUUUCUAAUGUCAAGUAUCAUUUCCUUAGACCAUGAGAUUGUGCAACUCCCAGAUACCGUAGGAAUGCUUUGGGUGCACCAAACGUCACAACAUAACUGGGUGGCUAUAAAGGUGCACUACGGGUAUCUCCAAAAGUGUCUGUUGGGUUGGCACGAAUCGAGACUGGGAUUUGUCACUCCGUCUAAACGGAGAGGUAUCUCUAGGCCCACUCGGUAGGACAUCAUCAUAAUGUGCACAAUGUGACCAAGUGGUUGAUCACGGGAUGAUGUGUUACGGAACGAGUAAAGAGACUUGCCGGUAACGAGAUUGAACAAAGUAUUGGCAUACCGAUGAUCGAAUCUUAGGCAAGUAUAAUACCGCUAGACAAAGGGAAUUGUAUACGGGAUUGAUAAAAUCCUCGACAUCAUGGUUCAUCCGAUGAGAUCAUCAUGGAACAUGUGGGAGCCAACAUGGGUAUCCAGAUCCCGCUGUUGGUUACUGACCGGAAACGUCUCGGUCAUGUCUGCAUGGUUCUCAAACCCGUAGGGUCUACACACUUAAGGUUCGAUGACGCUAGGGUUAUAAAGGAAGUUUGUAUGUGGUUACCGAAUGUUGUUCGGAGUCCCGGAUGAGAUCCCGGACGUCACGAGGAGUUUCAGAAUGGUCUGGAGGUAAAGAUUUAUAUAUGGGAAGUCCUGUUUUGGUCACCGGAAAAGUUUCGGGUUUUAUCGGUAACGUACCGAGACCACCGCGAGGGUCCCGAGGGUCCACCAAGUGGGGCCACCAUCCUCGGAGGGCUGCAUGGGCCAAGUGUGGGAGGGGACCAGCCCCAAGUGGGCUGGUGCGCCCUCCCCCCCACAAGGGCCCAAGGCGCCUAGGGUUUGGGGAGGGGGCGCACCCACGUUUCUUGGGGGCAAGUUUCCCCUCUCCCCCCUUAGCCGCCCCCCUAGAUGGGAUCUAGGGCUGGCCGCCGCCCCUAGCGGUGGAACCCUAGGUGGGGGCGCAGCCCCCCCUCUCCCCCUAUAUAUAGUGGAGGCAAAGGGGCAGCCCAACACACGAAGUUCUUCUCCUGUUGGCGCAGUCCUACCUCUCUUUCUCCUCAUAUCUCGCGGUGCUUGGCGAAGCCCUGCUGGAUCACCAUGCUGCUCCACCACCACCACGCUGUUGUGCUGCUGCUGGAUGGAGUCUUCCCCAACCUCUCCCUCUCUCCUUGCUGGAUCAAGGCAUGGGAGACGUCACCGGGCUGUACGUGUGUUGAACGCGGAGGUGCCGUCCGUUCGGCACUAGGAUCUCCGGUGAUUUGGAUCACGACGAGUACGACUCCUUCAACCCCGUUCUCUUGAACGCUUCCUCUUAGCGAUCUACAAGGGUAUGUAGAUGCACUCUCCUUCCCCUCGUUGCUGGUUUCUCCAUAGAUAGAUCUUGGUGACACGUAGGAAAAUUUUGAAUUAUUGCUACGUUACCCAACAGUUAGGGCAGUACCCAAGUACCGGUCCCCGCACAUAUCAAAUUAUCGAAGUACCGAACGCGGAUCAUUUGAGCGUGAUGAAAACUAGCUUGACGAUAAUUCCCAAUGUGUCCUCGGGAGCUCCUUUCUCAUUAUUAGAAAUUGUCCAGGCUUAUCCUUUGCUACAUAAAGGAUUGGGCCAACUUGCUGCACUUCAUUUACUUUAUUUACUUGUUCCUCAUUACUAUUUAUCUUAUCACAAAACUAUCUAUUACCUACAAUUUCAGUGCUUGCAUAGAAAACCUUACUGAAAACUGCUUAUCGUUUCCUCGUUGGGUUCGACACUCUUACUUAUCGAAAGGACUAUGAUAGAUCCCCUAUACUUGUGGGUCAUCAAGACUCUUUUUUGGCGCCGUUGCCGGGGAUUGUAGCGCUUUUGGUGAGUGGAACUUGGUAAGGAAACAUUUAUAUAGUGUGCUGAAAUUUUCUGUUACUUGUCACUAUGGAAACUAAUCCUUUGAGGGGCCUGUUUGGGGUAUCUUCACCCCAACCAGAAGAGCAAAUAGUUGCUCCUCAACCUAUUGAACUUGAUGAAAAUAUUUAUUUUGAGAUUCCUUCGGGUAUGAUAGAGAAACUGCUAGCUAAUCCAUUUGCAGGAGAUGGAACAUUGCAUCCCGAUUUACACCUUAUCUUUGUGGAUGAAGUUUGUGGAUUAUUUAAGCUUGCAGGUAUUCCCGAUGAUGUUGUCAAAAGGAAGGUCUUCCCUUUAUCUUUGAAGGGAGAUGCAAUGACAUGGUAUAGGCUAUGUGAUGAUACAAGAUCUUGGAAUUGUAAGCGAUUGAAGUUGGAAUUUCACCAGAAGUUCUAUCCUAUGCAUCUUGUUCAUCGUGAUCGUAAUUACAUAUAUAAUUUCUGGCCUCGCGAAGGAGAAAGCAUCGCUCAAGCUUGGGUGAGGCUUAAGUCAAUGUUAUAUUCAUGCCCCAAUCAUGAGCUCUCUCAGGAAAUGAUUAUUCAGAAUUUCUAUGCUCGGCUUUCUCUUGAUAAUCGCAACUUGCUCGAUACUUCCUGUGUUGGUUCUUAUAUGCUGAAGACUAUUGAUUUCAAAUGGGACUUAUUGGAAAGAAUUAAACGCAGCUCUGAAGAUUGGGGUUCCGACGAUGGUAAGGAGUCAGGUAUGACACCUAAGUUCAAUUGUGUUAAAUAUUUUAUGGAUACCGAUGUUUUUCGUGGAUUUAGCACUAAGUAUGGACUUGACUCUGAGAUAGUAGCUACUUUUUGUGAAUCUUUUGCUACUCACGUUGAUCUCCCUAAAUAGAAGUGGUUUAAAUAUAAUCCUCCUGUUGAAGUGAAAGUAGUUGCACCUAUUACAGUCGAAGAAAAGACUAUUACCUAUAGUGAUCCUAUUGUUCCUACUGCUUAUGUUGAAAAGCCUCCUUUUCCUGUUAGGAUAAAGGAUCAUGCCAAAGCUUCGACUGUUGUUCGUAAGAGUAAUACUAGGACUUCUACACCUCCUGAGCAAAUUAAUGUUGAACCUAGUAUUGCUAUGGUUAAAUAUCUCUUGGAUGAGGACUUAGAUGGGCAUGUUAUUUCUUUCUUGGGUGAGACUGCUAAUAUUGCUAGACCUGAUACUAAGACACGUAGACCUGUUGUAGGCACGCUUGUUAUUUCUGUUAAAAUAGGAGAUCAUUGUUAUCAUUGCUUAUGUGAUAUGGGUGCCAGUGCUAGUGCGAUACCUUAUGAUCUUUAUAAAGAAAUUAUGCACGACAUUGCACCCAUUGAAUUAGAAGACAUUGAUGUUACUAUUAAGCUUGCUAAUAGGGAUACCAUUAAACCUAUCGGGAUUGUUAGAGAUGUUGAAGUUUUGUGUGGGAAGGUUAAAUACCCUGCUGAUUUUCUUGUUCUUGCUUCCCCACAAGAUGCCUUUUGUCCCAUUAUUUUUGGUAGACCCUUCUUGAAUACUACUAGUGCUAAGAUUAAUUAUGAAAGGAAUAUUGUUACUGUUGGCAUAGAUGGUAUGUCUCAUGAGUUUAAUUUUGCUAAAUUUAGUAGACAACCUCGUGAAAGGGAACCACCUAGUAAGGAUGAGAUUAUUGGUCUUGCUUCCAUUGCUGUUCCUCCAACUGAUCCUUUAGAACAAUAUUUGCUAGACCAUGAAAAUGAUAUCUUUAUGAAGGAAAGGGAAUAAAUAGAUGAAGUGUUCCUUAAACAGGAACCUAUGCUGAAACAUAACCUUCCCGUUAAAAUUCUUAGGGAUCCCCCUCCACCCAAGGGUGAUCCCGUGUUUGAACUCAAACCAUUACCUGAUAAUCUUAAGUAUGCUUAUCUUGAUGAAAAAGAAAUAUAUCCUACUAUUAUUAGUGCUAACCUUUCAGAUAAAGAAGAAGAAAGAUUAUUGAAAACUCUGAAGAAGCACCGUGCAGCUAUUGGAUAUACUCUGGACGAUCUUAAGGGCAUUAGUCCCACAUUAUGUCAACACAAGAUUUCAGUGGAGAAAGAUGCCAAACCAGUUAGAGAUCCUCAAAGAUGACUAAAUCCCAAGAUGAAGGAAGUGGUAAGAAAGGAGAUACUAAAGCUCCUUGAGGCGGGUAUUAUUUACCCCGUUGCUGAUAGUGAAUGGGUAAGCCCUGUCCAUUGUGUCCCUAAAAGGGAGGUAUUACCGUCAUUCCUAAUGAUAAAGAUGAAUUGAUCCCGCAAAGAAUUAUUACAGGUUAUAGGAUGGUAAUCGAUUUCUGUAAGUUAAAUAAAGCUACUAAGAAAGAUCAUUACCCUUUACCUUUUAUUGAUCAAAUGCUAGAAAGGCUAUCCAAACACACACAUUUUUGCUUUCUAGAUGGUUAUUCUGGUUUCUCUCAGAUACCUAUGUCAGCGAAGGAUCAAUCUAAAACUACUUUUACUUUCCCUUUUGGUACUGCUUAUAGACGUAUGCCUUUUGGUUUAUGUAAUGCACCUGCUACCUUUCAAAGAUGCAUGAUGGCUAUAUUCUCUGAUUUUUGUGAAAAGAUUUGUGAGGUAUUCAUGGAUGAAUUCUCCGUCUAUGGAUCCUCCUUUGAUGAUUGUUUGAGCAACCUUGAUCGAGUUUUGCAUAGAUGCGAAGACACUAGUCUCGUCCUGAAUUGGGAAAAGUGUCACUUUAUGGUUAAUGAAGGCAUUGUCUUGGGGCACAAGAUCUCCAAGAGAGGUAUUGAAGUUGAUAAAGCCAAAGUUGAUGCUAUUGAAAAGAUGCCAUGUCCCAAGGACAUAAAAGGUAUAAGAAGUUUCCUUGGUCAUGCUGGUUUUUAUAGGAGGUUCAUUAAGGACUUUUCUAAAAUCUCUAGGCCUCUGACUAAUUUAUUGCAAAAAGAUAUCCCUUUUAUCUUUGAUGAUGAUUGUGUAGAAGCUUUUGAAACACUUAAGAAAACUUUGAUCACUGCACCUAUUCUUAAGCCACCUGAUUGGAAUUUACCUUUUGAAAUUAUGUGUGAUGCUAGUAAUUAUGCUGUAGGUGUUGUUCUUGGGCAAAGAGUUGAUAAGAAAUUGAAUGUCAUCCAGUAUGCUAGUAAGACUCUUGAUACUUCCCAGAGGAAUUAUGCUACUACUAAAAAAGAGUUCUUAGCAGUUGUGUUUGCAUGUGAUAAGUUUAGACCUUAUAUUGUUGAUUCCAAAGUUACUAUUCACACUGAUCAUGCUGCUAUUAAAUAUCUUAUGGAAAAGAAAGAUGCUAAGCCUCGACUUAUUAGAUGGGUUCUCUUGCUCCAAGAAUUUUACCUGCAUAUUAUUGAUAGAAAAGGAGCUGAGAACCCCGUUGCAGAUAACUUGUCUAGGUUAGAGAAUGUUCUUGAUGACCCACUGCCUAUUAAUGAUAGCUUUCCUGAUGAACAAUUAGCGGUCGUCAAUGCUUCUCGUACUGCUCCUUGGUAUGCUGAUUAUGCUAAUUAAUUGUUGCUAAAUUUAUACCGCCUAGUUUCACAUACCAGCAAAAGAAAAAGUUCUUUUAUGAUUUAAGACAUUACUUCUGGGAUGAUCCACACCUUUAUAAAGAAGGAGUAGAUGGUGUUAUUAGACGUCGUGUGCCUGAGCAUGAACAUGAACAGAUUCUAUGUAAGUGUCACUCUGAAUCUUAUGGAGGACACCACGCUGGAGAUAGAACUGCACACAAGGUACUACAAUCUGGUUUUUAUUGGCCUACUCUUUUCAAAGAUGCUCGUAAGUUUGUCUUAUCCUGUGAUGAAUGUCAAAGAAUAGGUAACAUUAGUAGACGUCAAGAAAUGCAUAUGAAUUACUCUCUUGUUAUUGAACCGUUUGAUGUUUGGGGCUUUGAUUAUAUGGGACCUUUUCCUGCCUCUAAUGGUUAUACACAUAUCUUAGUCGAUGUUGAUUACGUUACUAAGUGGGUAGAAACUAUUCCAACUAGUAGUGCUGAUCAUAACACUUCUAUUAAAAUGCUUAAAGAAGUUAUUUUUCCGAGGUUUGGAGUCCCUAGAUAUCUUAUGACUGAUGGUGGUUCACAUUUUAUUGAUGGUGCUUUCCGUAAGAUGCUUGCUAAGUAUAAUGUCAAUCAUAGAAUAGCAUCUCCUUAUCAUCCGCAGUCUAGUGGUCAAGUAGAGUUGAGCAAUAGAGAGCUUAAAUUAAUUUUGCAAAAGACUGUGAAUAGAUCUAGAAAGAAUUGGUCCAAAAAACUUGAUGAUGCAUUAUGGGCCUAUAGAACUGCAUACAAAAAUCCUAUGGGUAUGUCUCCUUAUAAGAUGGUUUAUGGAAAAGCGUGUCAUUUACCUCUUGAACUUGAACAUAAGGCCUAUUGGGCUAUCAAAGAGCUCAAUUAUGACUUCAAACUUGCCGGUGAGAAGAGGUUAUUUGAUAUUAGCUCACUUGAUGAAUGGAGAACCCAAGGUUAUGAGAAUGCCAAGCUUUUCAAAGAAAAAGUCAAACGCUGGCAUGAUAAGAGGAUACAAAAGCGUGAGUUUAACGUAGGAGAUUAUGUGUUAUUAUUCAACUCUUGUUUAAGAUUUUUUGCAGGAAAACUUCUCUCAAAAUGGGAAGGUCCCUACGUUAUCGAGGAAGUCUACCGUUCUGGUGUUAUAAAAAUCAACAACUUCGAAGGCACAAAUCCGAGGGUGGUAAACGGUCAAAGAAUUAAACACUAUAUUUCAGGUAAUCCUAUCAAUGUUGAAACUAAUAUUGUUGAAACCGUAACCCCUGAGAAAUACAUAAGGGACACUUUCCAGAACGUUCCAGACUCCGAAAAGGCAUAGGUAUGUGGUACGAUAAGUAAACCGACUCCAAAACAACUCCAAUGGCAAUUUUUAUCAGUUUUGGAUUAUUUAAGAAUUUUAGGAAGAAAGAAGUGGUCCGAAAGGGACACGAGGCUCCCACGAGAGUGGAGGGCGCGCCCCUCUGUCUCGUGGGCACCUCGUGUGCCUCUCGGACUCCGUUUUCUUGAAUGUUACGUAUUUUGGUCGGUAAAAAUUCAUUAUAUAUACUCCCGAAGGUUUUGACCACCGUAUCCUCUGUUUUGAUCACGUAAAUAUCCUCUGUUUUCGUUUCGAGCUAUUUCUAUUUCAGAUUUAGAGCACCAUGACUUCACCCUCCUCCAACAAUGAAGACAAGGAUGCUUGGCUUUUGAAGAUAGUGCUAAAAAGAGAAGAACCAGAAGAGAUCAACAAGGAUGAAGGGAUCAAGAAAGCCAUGGAGGUUCAAGUUCCGGCGGUGAAAGAAGAAGAUAUCCCUCAACCUUUACCUAACCUCUUUACUCCAACAGAGAUUGAAGCUUUCAAGAUGAUUGAGUUAGCUCGCAUACAGAACAAGUAUCUCACACAAGAGAAUAUUUUGUUGAAGGAUCAUAUUGAUGGGCUUAAGGGCAUUAUCCGCAAGUUGGAUGAACUUUUACGCUCAAUGUGCGAUUAUUCAACGUCAUCAUCACCACCUCCAUCACCUCUGAGGACAUAAUCACAUGGGUAUGGGCACUCCCCUUGGCAACCGCCAAGCUUGGGGGAGGUGCCCCCGUAUCGUAUCACCAUCACACUCCUAUCUUUACCGCUUUAUUUACUGCCGCUGCGUCGCCCAGUCGGGCCGCAACGCGGAUCCCACAAGAAUUUUAGGAAGAAAGAAGUGGUCCGAAAGGGACACGAGGCUCCCACGAGAGUGGAGGGCGCGCCCCUCUGUCUCGUGGGCACCUCGUGUGCCUCUCGGACUCCGUUUUCUUGAAUGUUACGUAUUUUGGUCGGUAAAAAUUCAUUAUAUAUACUCCCGAAGGUUUUGACCAUCGUAUCACGUAAAUAUCCUCUGUUUUCAUUUCGAGCUGUUUCUAUUUCAGAUUUAGAGCACCAUGACUUCACCCUCCUCCAACAAUGAAGACAAGGAUGCUUGGCUUUUGAAGAUAGUGCUAAAAAGAGAAGAACCAGAAGAGAUCAACAAGGAUGAAGGGAUCAAGAAAGCCAUGGAGGUUCAAGUUCCGGAGGUGAAAGAAGAAGAUAUCCCUCAACCUUUACCUAACCUCUUUACUCCAACAGAUAUUGAAGCUUUCAAGAUGAUUGAGUUAGCUCGCAUACAGAACAAGUAUCUCACACAAGAGAAUAUUUUGUUGAAGGAUCAUAUUGAUGGGCUUAAGGGCAUUAUCCGCAAGUUGGAUGAACUUUUACGCUCAAUGUGCGAUUAUCCAACGUCAUCAUCACCACCUCCAUCACCUCUGAGGACAUAAUCACAUGGGUAUGGGCACUCCCCUUGGCAACCGCCAAGCUUGGGGGAGGUGCCCCCGUAUCGUAUCACCAUCACACUCCUAUCUUUACCGCUUUAUUUAGUUCGAUCCUUUUAGUAGUGUCUUGAUUAGUAGUUUGAAGUCUUGAUAUCAAGUAGUUUGAGUUUUGCAUUGUGAUCUCUUUAUGUAAUCAAGUCCGUGUGCUAUCUAUAAUAAAGUUUAGUGUUGAGUCAAGGGCUUUGCUAUGUGCCAUGAUCUUGAGAAAGUAGAAAGAAUAAAAGAGUUCAUAUUGAUCUUAUGGAUAGUGAUAACUUCACACAUAGAAAGUAUGAGGCAUAAAAAUUGUUGAGAGUUGAUGAACGUAGCCUUGGUCAUCAUUGCAAUUAAUAGGAAGUGAUAAGGAAAGAGGGGUUCACAUAUAGAUAUAUUAUCUUGGACAUCUUUUAUUAUUGUGAAGCGCUCAUUAAGUAUGACAUGCUAAAAGAGUUGAUGUUGGACAAGGAAGACAAUGUAAUGGUUUAUGUUUUCCGACAUCUCAGUUAAAGUAUAUUGUCAUUGACCUUCCAAACAUGUUGAGCUUGCCUUUCCCCCUCAUGCUAGCCAAAUUCCUCGCACCAAGUAGAAAUACUACUUGUGCUUCCAAAUAUCCUUAAACCCAAUUUUUGUCAUGAGAGUCCACCAUACCUACCUAUGGAUCGAGUAAGAUCCUUCAAGUAAGUUGUCAUCGGUGCAAGCAAUAAAAAUUGCUCUCCUAAAUAUGUAUGACUUAUUAGUGCAGAGAAAAUAAGCUUUGUACGAACUUGUUGUGGAAGUAAUAAAAGCGACGGACUGCAUAAUAAAGGUCCACACACAAGGGGCAAUAUAAAGUGAUGUUCUUUUGCAUUAAGAUUUUAUGCAUCAACCCUAAACGCGCAUGACAACCUCUGCUUCCCUCUGCGAAGGGCCUAUCUUUUACUUUAUGUUUUUACUUUAUGCUUGAGUCAAGGUGAUCCACACCUUUCCCUUUUUACUUUAUCCUUUGGCAAGCUCCUCGUGUUUGAAAGAUCAUGAUAUAUAUAUAUAUAUCUAAUUGGAUGUAAGUUAGCAUGGGCUAUUAUUGUUGACAUCACCUAAAGGUGAAUACGUUGGGAGGCAACACAAUAAGCCCCUAUCUUUCUCAGUGUCCGACUGAAACUCUAUAACCACAAGUACUGUGUGAGUGUUAGCAAUUAUAGGAGACUACGAGAUAGUUGAGUAUGUGAGCUUGUUGAAAAGCUUGACUCUUUCUGAUGUUACGAUAAAUUGCAAUUGCUUCAAUGACUGAGAUUAUAGUUUGUUAGUUCCCAAUGAAGUUUUUGAACCAUACUUGACAUUGUGAAUUGCUUGUUACUUGAGCAUAGGAAAUCAUAUGACAAAAUCUAUAUAUGUUGUUGUUAUUAGAAUGAUCAUGAUGCCCUCAUGUCCGUAUUUUAUUUUUAUCGACACCUCUAUCUCUAAACAUGCGGACAUAUUUUUUGAUUUCGGCUUCCGCUUGAGGACAAGCGAGGUCUAAGCUUGGGGGAGUUGAUACGUCCAUUUUGCAUCAUGCUUUUAUAUCAAUAUUUAUUGCAUUAUGGGCUGUUAUUACACAUUAUAUCUCAAUACUUAUGGCUAUUAUCUCUUAUUUUACAAGGUUUACCAUGAAGAGGGGGGAUGCCGGCAGCUGGAAUUCUGGCUGGAAAAGGAGCAAAUGUUGGAAACCUAUUCUGCAUAGCUCCAAAAGUACUGAAACUCCACGAAACAACUUUUUGGAAUUAAUAAGAAUUUCUGAGCGAAAGAAAUAGGCCAGGGGCCCCACACCCUGUCCAGGAGACAGCCCCCCCCCUAUAGGGCGCGCCCCCUAUCUCCUGGGCCCCCUGGUGGGCCUCCAGCGUCCAUCUUCUGCUAUAUCAUCACUUUUACCCUGGAAAAAAUCGUGGGCAAGCUUACGGGACGAAACUCCGCCGCCAUGAGGCGAAACCUUGGCGGAAUCAAUCUAUGGCUCUGGCGGAGCUGUUCUGCCGGGGACACUUCCCUCCGGGAGGGGGAAAUCAUCACCAACGAUCCUCUCAUCGGGAGGGGGUCAAUCUCCAUCAACAUCUUCACCAGCACCAUCUCCUCUCAAACCCUAGUUCAUCUCUUGUAUCCAAUCUUGUAUCAAAACCACAAAUUAGUAUCUGUGGGUUGCUAGUAGUGUGGAUUACUCCUUGUAGUUGAUACUAAUUGGUUUAUUUGGUGGAAGAUCCUUUAUGCAUAUUAUUACUCCUCUGAUUAUGAACAUGAAUAUGCUUUGUGAGUAGUUACGUUUGUUCCUGAGGACAUGGGUGAAGUCUUGCUAUUAGUAGUCAUGUGAAUUUCGUAUUCGUUCGAUAUUUUGAUGAGAUGUAUGUCGUCUUUCCCUCUAGUGGUGUUAUGUGAACGUCGACUACAUGACACUUCACCAUUAUUUGGGCCUAGAGGAAGGCAUGGGGAAGUACUAAGUAGAUGAUGGGUUGCUAGAGUGACAGAAGCUUAAACCAUAGUUUAUGCGUUGCUUCAUUAGGGGUUGAUAUGGAUCCAUAUGUUUAAUGUUGUGGUUAGGUUUACCUUAAUACUUCUUUUGUAGUUAUGGAUGCUUGCAAUAGGGGUUAAUCAUAAGUGGGAUGCUUGUCCAAGUUAGAGCAGUACCCAAGUACCGGUCCACCCACAUAUCAAAUUAUCAAAGUACCGAACGCGAAUCAUUUGAGUGUGAUGAAAACUAGCUUGACGAUAAUUUCCAAUGUGUCCUCGGGAGGUCCUUUCUCAUUAUUAGAAAUUGUCCAGGAUUAUCCUUUGCUACAUAAAGGAUUGGGCCACCUUGCUGCACUUCAUUUACUUUAUUUACUUGUUGCUUGUUACUAUUUAUCUUAUCACAAAACUAUCUAUUACCUACAAUUUCAGUGCUUGCAGAGAAAACCUUACUGAAAACCGUUUAUCAUUUCCUUCUGCUCCUUGUUGGGUUCGACACUCUUACUUAUCGAAAGGACUACGAUAGAUCCCCUACACUUGUGGGUCAUCAAUGGUCCAUAGCAUUUCCGAAUUAUUCCAUUUGUGAUAAUAUUUUGUUGUGCGUGUGUGCGAGUUGUGUGCAUAUUAAUUAUGCAGAGGCUGAUCUCAAAAUGAUUAUAUCGCCUUUGAUGUAAUUAUAUGGGCAGCGAUAGAGGCAGGGGGACCAACAAGGGCCUGCCCCCCCUAACAUGUGAGAUUUACACCUAAUUAGUUGAUGAAGAAUGCCAAAUUGGUGAUGAUUUGUUGCUAAAACCCUUACUUUACAACAGUUUGGCCCUCCACAACUUGUUUUGACAACAUCUGGCCCCCCUAAUCCCUUUUUUCUGACUCUGCCACUGGAUAUGGGUCAAUAAACGCUUCAUUUAUCUUAAAAAAGGGAAACUGACAGAGGCAAAGAAUGAUUUCAGCAUAAUUGUAUUACCUUGAUGUAAUGAGAUGAGUUCAAUAAAAGCUUCCCCAAUCUUAAAAUAGAAAGGAAUCUGAACGACCUAAGAAGCCCCCACAAAUUGGAGCACCGGCUACAUGUUUAGAUGCAUGUCGGCACCGCCAAGUGUUAUUUUAUCUUUUGAAAUCACUCCUUAGGACUCGAUGCAUUAAAAAAAUGUUGCCCAGUUAUUUUGCGAAAAAUCAGAUGAAAACCGUAACAACACGCUCGCAAGACAAGGCACCCUUACCUAUUCUGGAUACCCACAAGAUUCACACACACUGCUCGCAGAUAAGAACGUCAUCGAGGUUGCCUACAAACUGUCAUUGUCAACACUUCUCCACCAGCAAACGACUCCGACUUCACCGCAGACGACCAACCAAGAGCCCUCAAAACAAGCAACGCACGAGAACCCUGUUGGUCCAUGCUAAACAAUUGGCUGAAUGUGCCGAGUGUGAUUAAACAUCUACGAUCAUGAACCCAUGACAUAGAUGAAUUUUUUUGUUUCUUACUGCUGCAUAUCAGUAGUCUAUUCGAUUGUUACUAGGAGUCUAGGAAGUACCAUUUGACAGGAUUGCACCGCUGCAUUUUUAUUUAUGUUGUACAAUGUACUCAUAACGUCGUAUUGGUGGCAUGAGGAGCAGGCUCUUGUUGUCGAACGUUCGAGUGUCCCUGAGUGCGAAUCCGGAGCUACAGCGGCGCCGUGAGAUGCGGUGGCAAUGAUGCCAUGUGAUGGUCAGGUGGGGUUUUGCUGGUGCAAGGCACGUUUCUUUCUUCCGCGAGGCCCGUGUCAAAGUGGGAGCUCCGUGUUCCUCGACGUGAUGCCGACAGGUUUCUCGUGCGUCUUUCGACCCGAGGAUUCUUCACUGGUCAGCCGCGGUGAAGUUGGAGUCGCUUGGUCGAGGCGAGCUAGAAGUGACGACGGUGUUCCUCUUUUUAACAGUGUGUGUGGGUCUUGUGGGUAGUCAGGUCAACCGAGGUGCCUUGUCUUGCGGGCUUGUUGCAACGUACUUGUUUGAUUUUUUUUGUCAAUUAACCAGGCUAAUUCUUUUUCUACAUUUUGUAAUGUAUCGAAUAGACUUCAAAAUACAAAGUUGUACCGCUCGCAUGCCACGGAAUGUGAAAGGUGCCAACCCACAUUCCUUACACAUGUAGCACGAUCCAUUAUUCUCGUGGAUCGUCAGUUGCACCUUACACGUGACAGCGAUAGAAAUGAGUUUGGACGUUGAUGGUGAGAAACUUAGAAUUGCCAGCAGUGACAAGGAACUCAUGGCCCAUGCACUGGGCUCGCAGUGUUGAGUAUAUUGAUUAUUAGGAAAGACUAAAUAAAUUAGGAUUAGUUCUAGCUUGUCUUGUACUCCAAGUUGAUCAUUGUACUCUUAUAUAUAUGUCCACGAGGCUCAAGCAAUACAACAAUUAUUUCACCAAACCUCUCUCUCCCUUCUAACAUGGUAUAUAUCGCAAGUCGAUCUUAAACUCUAGCCACCGCUGCUUCCGCACCCGUGCGCCGCCCCUGGGGUGGUCGGCCUCCAUGACCGCCGUCGGGGGCCUCGCCACCCGUACCUAGGGUCCGUCUGCCGACCGUGUUGGCCGGCUGCCCUAGAGAGUCUUUUUCCCGAUCCUUUGAUCUGGGUUUUUCUCUUUUUCGUCAGUUGCUUUGAUCAGCGUCUACUUUUUGAUUUUCCGGUCUAUUCUUGAUCGGUUUGCGUCGCCCACCGCCGCCGUCAACCCCGGGCGCCUCUACUCCGAUCCCGGCGUGACCAGCCGGCCUCUCCUCCGACCCGGCGGCCACGCGCGCCGAGGCGGCCCGUCAGGGCCAGCCACCGUCUGCGCGUCGGUCCGCCCGUCGCCCUGCGCCGGCCGUCACCGCCCUGCUUCGGCCUGGAAACCUGCAUCGCCCCGACCCGGUGGCUUCGUGCCAUGCGAUGGCCAAUCAUAGUCAUCACUCGCGCGCCGGUCCGCCGAUCGAUCCACGUCACCCGCCUUUGCCGCAUCUGCACGGCGGCUCGGCGGUCUACCUCGCUGGCCUCGUCCUCGGCUGUCAGGCUCGUCGGCUGCCUCAAACUCGGGCGCCGCUGCUCCGUUGGUCGCUCGGGCCUCACUGCCUGGGCGUCGGUGCUGCUUUGGCAGCCCGGGUGCCGGUGCUAACGUCCCACGCCGUCCGUCGUCGCCGGCCUCAUCCAGGACUCCGCCGCCACCACGCCUCCAUCGAGCGGCGUCCCCGUCCUCGCGCGCGAUCGGCUUGAUCACCCGCUUGCCGCCGCGAUCCGCCUCAUCUACGCCGUGCGACCAACCUGGUCCGUCGGUUGCGUGCGCCUCCGCAGGUCCCGUGAAGAUUGUCCCGAGUUCAGCGCGCCCCUCCACCGAUCGAGCAACGGGCUGCCGCUGCGUCGCCCAGUAGGGCCGCAACACCGCCGCCACAUGGUUCUCCUCCCGGCUGCAUCAACCCGCGUCACUUCGGGCCGUAGUGCCGCGGCCCGCGAUCCAUCGCCGCCCCAGGGCCGUCCGCUCCAGGCCGUCCCAUGGCUGCACCGACCCUCGCGCCGCCGCUGCGUCGCCCCGUCGGGUCGUAGCGAGCGUGGACGCGAUCCACGCCUCCGUCCCGAGGCCGUCCCCGCGGUUGCACCGACUAGUGCUCCGACGCCGUGCCGCCCCUUCGGGCUGUCGCGCCGCGGCCCGCGGUCCCCACCGCCGCCCCGAGGUCUUCCUGCCGUCGCACGGACCUGCCUGCCGCCGCUGCGUCGCCCCUACGAGCCGUAGCGCCGCGGCCCGCGGUCCACUCCGCCGUCAUCGCGCGUCGACCUCCCGUGGUAUGCGCUGCGCCGUCUCCCUUAGCGCGGGAACGCCACCGUCCGCGCCGGUCUUCGUCACGUUGUCGGGUUCUUCGCCUACUUUGAGCACCGUCGCCGCGCUCCUAACCUAGCCGCCGUUGCCGCCGUUAGGUCACCGCCCCGCUCUUCUUUGGCCGUCGCCGCCGCUACCCCUGUAGCCGCCGCAGCCGCCGGUCCACCUCCUUCGUCUUCGUCCAGCACCAGCCCGUCGCCAGCGUCGCCGUCAUCUACCCCGACCGCUUCAUCUACUCCGACAACCGUGGGCGACAUUGGCCCCGUGCCGAUUGGCGCUGCAACCGUCGUCGAGUCCUUCUCUGCUGGCCUCUCCGACUUCUUCGACAUUGCGUAUAGCUCGUGCAGGUCCCAGUCUACGCAUGCCCGGUGCUGGCAACACCGCCGCGUGCCUUCGUCCACGACGUGUCCCCGGGCCCGGCAAACCUGGUGCGGCGCUUCGUCAACUUCGACAUCGUCCGUCUACGCAUGCCCGGUGCUGGCAACACCGACGCGUGCCUUCGUCUACGAUGUGUCCCCGGGGUUGGCAAACCCGGCGCGACGCGUCGUCAACAUCAUCUGCUUCCUGGCGCACCAUUACUUCGACACCACUGCGCCCACGACUAACUUGGCGCCUUCUUGCGCCCGCGGCUCCACGGCGACUUUCUCGACACCGGCUACCCCGACUCGACAUCGACCACGGCAUUCUUCGCACGGCUACCUCAACCACGGCUCCACCACCCACGCUCACGGCUACAUCGACAAACGGCACAAAGGGCUACCGCCUGCUUGAGCAACCUCAUCGGUUUUCACUCCAGCCACAACUCCGCGAUGCAUCGACCGUUACGACUGUGGGGGGUUGUCCGUCGGCUUGCCUUCAGAUUCUUCUUCAGUCUCACCGUCUGCGUCGCUCCCAUUGUGACUGCGGGGGGAUGUUGAGUAUAUUGAUUAUUAGGAAAGACUAGAUAGACUAGGAUUAGUUCUGGCUUGUCUUGUACUCCAAGUUGAUCAUUUUACUUCUAUAUGUAUGUCCACAAGGCUCAAGCAAUAAAACAACUAUUCCACCAAACCUCUCUCUCCCUUCUAAUACGCAGGAUCCCCAUGGGAAAAAGACAGUAUCGUCGUCAUAUUGCCAAGAGGCUGGGUUCACCUUCCCGCUGUUCGGGAUUCCAGGCCAGGUUCAGUGAACACGGCGCCUCGCCGCGGCAAAGCAGCCCUAUGCAUUCCGUCAUGUCGCGUAGCUCUCCUCUGCUCCUGGUGCCGGACGGGCCCUCUACAACCAUCUCCCAUGAAUCAUCAGGCAUGCAUGCGGACAUGUACACCGGACGAACGGGCGAAUGCAGCUAAGCAGCAAACCGAUGCAACAUCAUUCGUUGCAGAGAAGUUGAAGCCUUGAAGGGGGCCGCAUCACCGGCCAUGCCUUGCAAAGUUGGGCAGGCAUGUGGGAUGUGGCACAGCAGGACGUUGAUCGAGCAGAAGCAAUCCAUGUGGGCGGCAACAUAAGUUAAGCAACACAAGCUGUCAUGCGUGCGGCGUGCCCAUGCUAAUCACUGGAGCAGUCCGGUUCAGGGUCCCAGCGAAUGUAGUUUUCCCGUCUGAAAGGACUUGCCAGUUGCCACUGUCCAUUACCAGCAUAGUUUAUCAGUAGAAAUGUGCUAGGAUCAAUCACUACACGCUAAGAAUGGGUAGAAAAUUAUACAGUACUAGUAUAUAUACGUGAGUGUCGCCUUCGGUUUGAUCGACUGUUACGUGCGGGAAAAGAUGAUUAUUUGUUGCCGGCCGUGACGGUAAACGUCCACGUCCUGCUUCCGGGCGCACGCAUCUUGGCGACUAGAUCAAGAUCGCGCCUCGGCACGAGGAUGCCGGUCCGAACGUUUUAGUCAAGCACGUAUACGUUAGUAGUAAUCCAGAUUUAGCAUAUGCAUUCAUAGAGGAUAACAAUGAAGAGAAGAAAAAACAUUCAAUUGCGGAUGGCGAGAAGAAAGCCUGGCGAUGAGAAAAUCACAUGUUGUGCCAUUGAUGGAUAGCAUAACCUUUUUGUGCAAAACCAAAUAGAUAGCUAAUAAGGAAAGAACAGUACAUUGAUAGACAGGUUAUAGACGACAUAACAGGAGCAUAAUGUUGUUCACUCAUACACUGACAGUUCCAAGAAAAGCAGUAAGGUUCAACUCAUGUCACAUGAGUACAAACAAAGGCGAAGUGCACAUGUCAGUUCCAAAGAAAAGUAUAGAUGCAAAAUAACAUGAUCCAUAGAAAUGAAGAGGAAACGAUCCACAAGUGAAAAGACAUACACAAUUGAAUUGAUUCGGAUAAAAGCCCAAGUACAUAAGUUGUUAGAAUACAUAGCAUCAGAACAACACCGGCAACAGAUUGUACAUAUCAUCCGCAUAUUUACAAACACAAACAAGGCAUAAAGGCUUUAUCAGCCUCUACACACGAAUAUUUGCCGUGACUGAAACAGGAACACUGAGGGUGGAAGGCGCUUGGAAGGACGCAUCACAACAGUCGGCUGGUCUACCCAUUCACUUUGCAGGCACAAACUCCAGAAUGUGCAACAUAUGUGCUGCAAAUGCUGAACACAGGCAAUAGAGAUGAAGUUAGGCCACAACAAAUCUGGCAAUUGAACCGAAGAAAUGGGACGAUAAAAACCAUGAUUCCAUCUCCUAGUCGACCCAGCCGAGCAAGAAAAAAAAUACAAAACUAAAAUUAAAACACACACACGGCAUCACUCAGAUUCAACUACAGGAAUCACACACUAAAUAAUCUUGCUAGCUCCUCGUCGAUCACCCUGCCGAGCAAGAACAAAAAUACAAAACUGAAAAUAAAACACACACACACACACACACACACAACAUCACUCAGAUUCAACUAAAGGAAUUGCACUCUGGGAAUAAUGUGUUAUGAAGAGAAAUUGUGAAGCGUCAUCAUGUUGACAGAAAAAAAACUAAAGCAGUAUGUGCUUUUGUCCAAAACUCACUGAUAUACUAUGUUUCUGUAAGUGAAAUUGGCAGCCUGCAUCUUUUAAUAUGGCACAUCUUCAAUGGACCGGCUGGCAGAACAUUAAAACCUUGUAUUUAUGUACAAAAUUCUUUUGGUGGGCUGCUAGUAUAGCAUAUAAAAACCAUAGGCUGUCAGUAUUGUGCCACAAGGUGUUCACCAUUUUAUCAACACAUAGAAGGCCAAAGUUAUCUAUUCUCUGAUCAGAAGUAAAAAGAUAUACAUUAUGCACCACUUACAUUAGAGUAACCCUGCUAAAUUGGGAGGGGGGGGGUCUAUUUAUACCGACUAUAGGAGAGAAGACAGUAAUAUAGGCUUGUACAAGUCACGUCAAAGGCAACAUAAACAUGCAAGUAGUUGAAAGUGGAGCAUAAAAACUCCGCAAGUAAAACAUUGUGUGCUUCCGCUAUUAAUUGAUUCAAUUUGUGGCUACAUGCAGUAGGCUAGGCAGCACCAUUUAGUUCUUUAGCAAAUCUCUUGAUAAAAAGCAUAUUGGAGAGAGGGAACAAACUACAUGUGUCUAAGGUCAUAAAAAAUCACUCCGUCGAUAGCAUAUAGGCUUCAGAUCUGAUCGCUUUUUUCUAAAAAAAUGUCUUGUCGUGUCCACACAAUAUUAUGCAUCUAAUCCGAGGGAUGUAAGUAACCAAAUUACUGUGACUAAUGUUUUGACCCAUAUUUAUUUGUUCUAAUGUAGCUGAAGCGAAGUCACUGAAUCAAGGCAAUCCUAUGAGCCGCAAGGCUAAAGAGAACAUGUUGAAUAUGCUAAUACUACAUCGCAAAAAAGCAAGUAUUUAUAGCUAAUACUAUAUCUAACAUAACCAUUUCUUUUAUCAUCACAGAAGCAAGUAUUUCUACCCCGCAAAAAAAGCAAGUAUUUAUAGCUAAUACUACAUUGUAAUAAAUGAAUCGGCAGUAAUGAAUUGGUUAGGCUGCUUCACAUUGCAAGAGAAGUCUGCAUAAGAAUCAGACCUAGCAAAAGGUUGGGUGGUCAGGUCAACCUGAAUAUUACGUCAUUUGUGUGCCUCUCCUCUUGUCGUAUGCAGCUGCUCGUGUACUGGUCACCUCCUGGUGGUAGCCGCUCACAAGUGCUCCCUUUUUGAUGAAAAUGCCCGAGACAAAUCACUAACUGAGCCUAAUGAAAUAGCAAAGAAAGUUUUACUGGCGGCACAAAAUGUAGCACAAAUCAAGUAGAAGAAGAGACAUAGAGCACAAUAACUUUUAAAGAAAUAUCAGCUCCAUACGAUAAUUGUGGUGCUAAAACAAAUAUUUGUGGUGCAGGCUUAGGAUUGAUUUAAUUCUUCUUUACAAAAAAGAGGUAGAGAAGCCGUGAGUUAUGAUAUAAUAAAGACUAACUAAGUAACAAACAGUGUAAGAAAGCAAAUUGCUGUGUAAGAGACCAUUAUUUAAUCUUAUGAUCACACUCAGUAGCAAAUGGCUCUAAGGAUCAGCGGCUCAUACUCAGGAAAACGCUCAGGAAAAAUGACAUACUAAACCUAGGGCCGGCUCUAGGAUUUCAAAGGCCCCAGGGCGAACUCCACCGAUGGGCCCAACAGAGAGAAAAUUCCAAUUCAAUACGUCCAAAAUUGAUCAUUUUUGAAGCUACAAUAAGCCGAAAUUAACAGCAUCAGACCAUAGAGCCCAAAAAAUCCUAAUACUUGGAAUCUAGCCAAACCAGGGAGCACAAAAGGCCCCUGUAUUUGGAAUAUAGUCUCAGUCCAACAGCAUCUCCAAAUAGAGAAGACGACAAAUCUACAAGCCCGGGCCUACAAACAAACAAGAACAAAGAAAGGAGAGAGAGAAGGGGUAGACCUUCACUUCCCUGGACGAAGACAAACCCAGUUCCGCUGCCUCGUGCGCUGACUGGCGUGUGGUGGUGAAGAGGUGGCUGGGCGUUGAGGUAUCUUUCGAGUGGAGAGCUCCCAAUUGAAAACACAUCAAGCAAAGAAUUAGAAAACAGAAGUACCGAACAAAUUAAUUAACAUUAAAACACCAUUUCUUCAUAUAAUUAGAAACUGGAAACUGGGAGCCGACUGGAUAACCAAAUUAAUCUAGCAACCAAGAAUAACAUUUUGAUUCGCAGAACUACAACCACAAUACGCAUGGACCCUCAAAUGAUCUUUUUCUAAUCAACCAUGCGACCUAUCUGGCAUGUGAUUAUAUGGCUAAGCAAGGACCAAAUUAAUCUAGCACCUGAAAGCAGCACUUUGAUAUGAAAUAAAGGUAUGAGAGAGAAGAAAUAUUUACAUAAUAUGGGUAUAACCACUGGAGCAUAAAUAAAUGACACCUUUAAAUUUAAAAAAAUGGUUCAGGGUUCAUUGGAUAGUGGGCUCAGAUUCAUCUUUCCUCGAUCAUAUAACCUACCCCCAUCGUUUCUUUUCACCAGAUUAAUCUGUUUAUACAACGAAGCUGCCCUGGUUAUCACUCAAGAAGAACGACCAUCCAAGGACAGAACAAUAAGUAUCACAUGAUCAAAAAGGAUUCUAGAGACAAGAAGGAGGAUCCAACUUGAUACCCACAGGUGCCUCAAUUGCUCAAAGGCACACUUACUUCAUCCACGGUUAAUCAUCAUCGCCCUAGCACGAACGUCACUUAUCAAUUUAGCAAAUCCAGGAGCAUAGCUAUAGGACCAGGGCACCCACAUGUUGACCAGAGCAUCACAGGAGGUCCUAUGAUAGCAAAUGAACAUGAACAACAGCCUGCGAACCCUAGAAUAGCAUGGAUCCACAACUACAGAGCUCAAGCAGGAACCAAUGCAUGAGUAGGGCAUAGAGCAUCAACCAGACGAGCACCACAUCAAUAUAGCCACAACCAUGUUACAUACAAUAGCCGAAGUAGAGGAGCAGGACGAGGAUGGAGCUCACCGAGGAUGGUUGUAGCAGAGGAGAGAGGAGGCUAGGGUUUUACCACGAGCGUGGCCCCCCUUUUAUACCCAUGUACAUGAGAUGAUGAAAAUGCCCUCGGCGGGGGACAGGAAUUACGCGUGGUGCACGAGAUUUUUACCGCGAGACGGUAACUAUCCAUUCCUACAAUGCCUCGGCUUUGAUCCGACGGCCGAGGUCAUCCAGUGGCUCGAUCCGACGGGGACAGGAAUUAAGAGUAUGAACAACCAUGAUCAAGUGCAGUUCAACAAUCAGAUAGGAUGAGAAUAACGGACAUGCUAUACACAACAAUCAUAAUAAAAGAAUAAUAAUUGAGGCCUCAUCCUUAACCUGCAAAAGAAAAUUAAGCAUGCACUUGAUCCUGUUUUUUGCUACUAAUCAGUGAGUCCCUACUAUUAGCUAAAAGGGGACCAACAUUUAUCUUUGUUCUUGCAAAUUGUGAUUAAUAUCACUGAACAACAAUACUAUAGGAUAUCAUGUAGUGCAGUAAUCAUGUACACUUAUGUUCUUAUUAGCCAACUAAGCAAGCAGAAAAACUAAAUCAACGCAUCACUGUGUAGAUAAGCGACAAGCAAGCAAACUGAACAAUUAACACCCUGUAUAACUGUGUAGAUAAGCAACAAGCAAGCAAACUGAACAAUUAACACCCUGUAUAUAGUAUCUCUGCUACAAUCUAACAAUCACACAUAACACUUACAUAUGUAAUUCACAGCAAAAAAAUAUUGAGCUUUCUCAUAAUAAAGAAAACAAUUCUUGCAUAAUACCUGCAAAGCAAUCUGGUUGGAACCUGCAAAGCCAAUCAAGCCCACAACAUCAAUAGCCCCUCAUUUCCAGUGAAUGUAUCCGUUCGGUAUAUUGACCAAUUGUCCAUCCCUAUUCUGCAAAGAACAGAACAUCACUCAAAAGCUUGCUUUGAUUUUCAUCGAGCAACUUGUAAACAUACAACUUGUACACAUGUAUAGAAAAGAUUAUGCACAAACAAAGAUGAGAAGACGAGUACAUGAGAUAAGAUAUCGGGCUAAUCAGGAGGAAGAGAGAAGUGUGGGUACCUGCAAGAAAAGGAUAGAGAAAUUGGAGGUGCAUGGAGGUGGUACGGUGUCUUCUUCCUCUUCUCCUCCUGCUCCCUCCCUUCUCCAAAUCCAUCUUUCAUCUCGUGGUGGGUACAUGAGGCUGACACGGCUGACUGACCUUGAGGAGAAGGGAACACAGUCAGGAGCUGGCAGCAAGAGGGGGUCCAAGAAGAGGAAAGAAAGAGAGAAGAAAUGAACCUGCAGAUAAUCGCAUCUGGCAGUGCUUGGGGAUGGCGGCGUGGGUGUCCGCCAGCUCGAA